AAUCCCUAAUUCUCACUCGCUCCUCCAGAGUCCCUUCCCUUACCUUCUCCGGCUCCGACCUGCCGUUGGAACGGCUUUUUCGACUCGCGCCGCCUCGAGAACCGCUCCUCGCCGAGGAUGCUUCGCUUGCGACGAAGAACGGUAUACUGAAGAUUUUGGUGAGUGAAGCUAAGAAAACACUCGAACAGUUCGGUAUUUUUUGUUAUUUGAUUUCGUUUUGUAUUCUGAUUUUUAUUUGACGACUAAUAUGUUGUAGAUCUGGAUUCUAGUGCUUUGGUUGUUUCUUUUUCUUGAAGUUCUGCAUCUUCUUUUGACAAAAGGGCAAGAUGAGAAAAAAGAAAUAAGGCGGGACAGAGAACAAAAGGACGAAAGAAAAGAAUCGUUUUUUUUUUUUUUUUUCUACUUUGCAUAUAAUGAUAUCAAACUUUAUAAUAAUAAGACAAUUGUUUCCUGCCCCCAUAUAAUUGGGAGACAAAAAUAUUCUUAAAAGAAAUGGAUAUAUAUAAAAUUAUAUUUCGAUCCUCUUUUCCGAAACAUAAUAUUGGAUAAAUUUUUUUGGAAUGUAUUAUUUUUAAUUUUUAAUUUUUAUAUCUGAAAUGAGAUUUUGAAUUUUUUUUUGGAUUUUUAUAUCUGAAACACAAUAAUAUUUUUUGAAUUUUUUUUUAGAAUGCAUUAUUAUCAAUUCUGAAUUUUUAUUUUCGGAAUAAAUUUUGAAAAUAUAUUGGGUGAAAGAAGCAAUUGCCUAAUAAUAAAGAAAAACAGAAACUGUAUUAACAGACAAAGCCCAAAUCAAGAAAGACCAAAAAAUACAAAAAAGACACCAAAACUUAUAACUGUGAAUAGCUUGAAACAUUUCUUGCAUGAUUAUCUGUUUUGUGUUGAGAAAAAUGGAAUAACCGGAAUUGUUUGAAGAGUUACUCCUUGUAUAUACACCAAAACUUAUUAACUGUGAAUAGCUUGAAACAUUUCUUGCAUGAUUAUCUGUUUUGUGGUUAGAAAAAUGGAAUAGUUGGAAUUAUUUGAAGAGUUUCUCCUUGUAUAUAUAUACAUAUACCUGUGUUUUAUAACCUAACUAUAUCUCUAUUGGCAACAGGACUAAUUUUAUAGUGUUAAAGUAUCAUGUCAUGCUUGUAGUCAUAAGUUUAGCAAACAAUUAGAACAGAAACGACAUCAUCAUUUUACGUCCCUCUCGCAGGUUGUUUCAUUUUCUUCUGCAUGUUUCACAUCGACCCAUUACAUGUAAUGUAAGGUUAAAUAUUUGCUUAAAUAUAUGAUUAUAAUCAAUUCCUUAUCUCUAGCCACCAAUCUUAUCCUAAUAAGUUUUUAUAAUUCCAUUCUUUUGUUUGGAAAUGCAUUUACAAUUGACGAGUCCCACAAGUCUAUGAACCAAAUUUCAGAUAUUGUUCAAACGAGGUGAAUUAAUCUUCUCCUUGAUGGCGACUAACCAUUGAGUUUUCUCUUUACUCAUUAGAGUAAACAAUAAGCUCUGCAUAUUCAUACAUUUUUCAAAGCUUUGAUUAUUCUCCUUGUUCUAAGACUGCUAAUACUAUAAUUAUGAUUAGCACCUCUAUUCUCAUCGUGUCUUACCAUUCUUCUACGAGAACAUCUAUUCCAUCAUUAAGUAAAAAGUCAAAUGCUACGUCAAUCUCUACUCCAAUCUCACAUUUUUUAAACUUUUGACUUGUAAGUCAUUUUAGUUUCAUUGAAGACAAUAUCCUGGAAAAUGAUGAUACACUUCUUAAAUCCUGACUCAAGACACCACAAUUCACCUAUGUUCUCGCCGGCUGACCUGGAUCGGGUCUUGGUGGUGGAUUUUGGGCCAACUUUUCUUUUCUGUUGUUGUUGCUUUAAGAUGCUUGAAAUUCAUAGUGAGGGGAGUUUCACUUGUUGACAAGACUUCGACGAUCAAGUCAGUGAGAGCAUAUAAUUAUGAGUAUAGUGAGUAGUGUAUGGAAUGACACUUACCUUUGUUCAAGGUCUUCAUGCCCUUUUAUAGUACUCGUAGAUCCUCACUUUUAUUGCCUUUUUAAUAUAUUUUGCUAGUUGUUUGGGUCAACUCCUUAACACAUCAUUAGGUCGACUUCUUAAUGCAUCAUUAGGCCUAUUAUCGUUUUGGGAUGAGUUAAGUAUUUAUUUUUCUUAAACUAACAGGCAUAAUAGUCUGCUUAAGUGCUCAGGUCGGUCCCAUAGAACGUCUGACUAGUACACACUCCCUUAGCCUCGAUCCUAGCAAGGCGAGGCUUGAGGUUUUAUUGUACGACAAGACGUUAGGUCAGAGGGAGGUUGGUUCACGAUUUUUGAUGUGUCGCUUGAUGGGACGAUUUUAUGAUAGCAUUUUUAAUGGUGUGUACACGUGUUCCAUGAUCAACGAUUUGGGAAAAGGUGUCGUUUCAAGCUCUCUUAAAAUUUUUAAAAAGCCAAAAAAACCCUUUUCUUUCCUUCUGCUUUUUGCUUUUUCACUAAGACUCAAAGAGACAAAAAAAGACUUUCCCCUCAUUGUCUGUGUGUCGUCAUGCCCCUUUGUAAACCAUCGUGAGCCAGGUACAUCCUAUCGUUACUAUCCUUUGAAUAGUAGAACUUAUAUCAUGACCUUUUUAUAUUGUGCUUCCCUAUGUAUUGUUUGGUUUGCUUCAUAUGAUGCCUAUGCUGAACUGCUCUUUUCGUAUUUGUAUGGUUGCUUUGUUUUAGCCAUUUUUUAGAGAUGGAUUAUGCCUUUACUUACCCUUGGGCCAAAAAAGAAUUGCUUAAGGAAACCUUUGUUUAUACCAUUCGUUUAAAUCUUAGAGAAUUGAGGGAGUCAAGGGGUUUAAGUAAGAAAGACGAGAACUUAGUGAAAGUAGUAGUAUGUAGGGAGGACAAACUAGUGUGUAGCGAUGAGUCAUCGGACCCCGAUGGGCCUUUCUAUUUCUUUUAUACCACAUUUUUUUUACCAAAACCACGUUGAGCCUUCCUCAGUUUUUGAAAAAGAGUUGUUGAUCGAGCCUCAAAGACUUGUUCCCAAAGGAGCAGGGUAUUUGCGAAUUCUUGGAGAACCUCAAAGUUACACAUCGACACUUUUGACGAUAGAAUACCUACCGGGUUCUCUCAAAGCUUAUAUUGGUAUACACCCUUUCUAGCUUAAGCUUUUUAGAGAUGUUUAGAUUUUGAAGUUUUGAAACUAGCUUUUUUGUUUGUUUUGUAGAGAACAUGCUUUCCUCAAUCAGCAACAUUGAGUUGGUCGAACGUGCAAGGCGGAUGAGGGCGGCCAAAGAUAACUUAGUGUUGAAAGAGAUUGAUCUGGGUUAGUUAUCAAGAGAAUGAGAUCGGAAGUGUCGAUUCCUUCAGAACACUCACACUCGGAUGGCUGAGCUCUUCCCCAGGAUGCUUUGACAAUCCAAGAAUGUGAAGUUGUUCGAAGCUUGAAAGGGAAAAGCAUGUGGGAAUUGAGUUUUGACAUCUCAACCCAUAAUAGAUCAUGGUUCUUGCUAGAAGAUGAUAUUGCAAGGCUGAAGAUUUGUGAUGAAGAUCGACUUUGCCACGACGCUGAAAGUUUGCUCGACCAAGCUAUGCAUUAGUGUGUUUGGCCAACGUAUAAGUGAUGUGAGUUGAAUUUAGAUUGUUCCAUUUUAUAUGUGACACUUUACUAAGGAUUGAGAUUUUUAGCAAUGAUAUGGUGAUUACCCAAAGAAGAUUCCUACUGAACACGAACUUAACCAAGUGGUUAAGUAAGUGUGAAUGUUCACUUCUAGAGGGCAAAGAAAAAAAUACAAGUAUAUGGUGAUUGAUGAUGAAGGGCAAUGAUAUGGUUAUUUUAGGAAUGAGGAUUGAGAUUUUUAGCAAUGAUAUGGUGAUUUUACACUACUACGUUUUAUAUCCAGUAACAAGAAUAAUUUCUCUCAGAGAUCAUGAUAAUGAUCAUGAUAAUAAUAUCACAACAGAUUUAAAUGAUAAUAAUCAUUUGUGUUAUCUUCAAAAUAACAUGAUAACAGAUUUAAAUAUAUCUGUGAUUUUUAGAAUAAUGUGAUAACAAAUUUAAAAUAUCACAACAGAUUUAAAUGAUAAUAAUAAUUUAUAUUAUCUUCGGAAUAAUAUGAUAACAAAUUUAAAUAUAUAUGUUACUUUCAUAAUAAUAUCAUAAUAGAUUUUAAUAAUAACAAUUAUAUUUGUUAUCUUCUGAAUAAUAUCACAACAAAUUUAAAUGAUAAUUAAUCAUUUAUGUUAUCUUUAGAAUAACAUGAUAAAGAAUUUAAAUAUAUUUGUUAUUUUCAUAACAAUAUGAUAACAAAUUUAAAUAAUAACAAUUAUAUUUGUUAUCUUCAAAAUAAUAUCACAACAGACUUAAAAGAUAAUAAUCAUUUAUCUUAUCUUCAGAAUAAGAUGAUAACAGAUUUAAAUAUAUUUGUGAUUUUCAGAUAACAAAUUUAAAUAAUAACAAUUAUAUUUGUUAUCUUCAAAAUAAUAUCACAACAAAUUUGAAUGAUAAUUAAUCAUUUAUGUUAUAUAAGUAAUAACAAUUGUAUUUGUUAUCUUCAGAAUAAUAUCACAACGGAUUUAAAUGAUAAUCAGAACAACAUGAUAACAAAUUUAAAUAUAUGUGAUCUUCAUAAUAAUAUGAUAACAGAUUUAAAUAAUAACAAUUGUACUUGUUAUCUUUAGAAUAAUAUCACAACAGAUUUAAAUGAUAAUCACAAUAAAUUUAAAUGAUAAUUAAUCAUUAUGAUAACAAAUUUAAAUAUAUUUGUAAUUUUCAUAAUAAUAUGAUAACAAAUUUAAAUAAUAACAAUUUUAUUUGUUAUCUUUAAAAUAAUAUCACAACAAAUUUAAAUGAUAAUAAUCAUUUGUGUUAUCUUCAAAAUAAUGUGAUGACAGAUUUAAAUACAUCUGUGAUUUUCAGAAUCAUAUGAUAACAAGUUUAAAAUAUCACAACAAAUUUAAAUGGUAAUGAUCAUUUAUGUCACAAGUAGUUCUGAAUCAGUUUUACCUGUUCCACGGUUGGCGCCAAAUGUUCUCGCUGAACUGCCUUUUUAAUAUAUUUCGCAAGUUGUUUGGACCGACUCCUUUAACACAUCAUUGAGUCGACUUCUUAACGCAUCAUUGAGUCUAUUAUCGUUUUGGACCUAGUUAAGUAUUUAUCUUUCUAAACUAACUGAACAGAAUAGUGUAUUUAUCCUAACAUCUGACCAGUACAACAUCUAUGUCAUAGAAACAUGCAUUUAACAACACAUGCAAAAGCUUCUAGCUUCGCUUGCCUUAUGUGCGUAUAGGCUACAAAGCCAAAUAUUCUCAUAUUAUCAUACUUGGGACGUUGCUUUGAUUAGAUUUCCUCAAGAGUCGUCAUAUCAAGAGUUUGAGGGACACGUUAAUCAGAUUGGUAUUAGUAGUGACAACUUAAGUCUACAACACCUUUGGAACUCUAGUUGGGUUCUCCACCAUGCACUUCCAAAGUUUUCAAAUGUUUCAUCUUUACUUUACGAGGGUAGACCCACCUUGAUAGAAUGUUUGAACCUAGUAGACCGUUUGGAUGAGUCUGUCUGUGUCUGGUGAAACAACACUUAGUCGCAUUGACGUUGUUGACUGCAAGUCUUUAUUUUGUUUUCAAAUUCUAUUUUAUUUCAUUUUUUAUGGUGUUUUGAUUUGAUUUAUUGUUAUUUGAAUUUCUAGACAUGACAUCACUAUUAAUUAUGGUUGUCUUUCAUUAUCUUUGCAUUACAAUUAUAUUUCUGCAUAUUUUCUUUUAAAAUUAUCGAUAUUUAUCUAUUUUUUUUUUCUCUGCGAUGGUUCUGCCAUAACCCAUUAUGGCUUCCUAUACAUAUUCAUAAAGGACUUUUGGGGUCUCUAUCUGGUAACACUGAUGAAGUUUAUGUUGACUGCAAUUGCAUAGAUGUAUGGAAUUUGUGCCAAAAAUUUCACAAAUUGAUUAGACGGAAUUUCUUUAUCUAUAAUGGUUAAUCCUAACGUCAUCUGGUAGAGAGAAACAAAGAAGCUGUUUUAGAAUAUUAGAGUCAAUUCGUAGUAAUAGAGGAGAAAUUUAAUAUCAGGUGUAUAGUCUAAUUCCAAUCUCCAGAUAAGGUUCUUUUCUUGUCUUAUCAGAAGAUGAGAUUAUAGCUAUUAGGUUCCUUUUUGGAUUUGUUCUUCUGCUCGAUACGGCAAUGAUUAUGGUGUCAGAUUUCACCACCAUUGAGAUAAUUGCAAGAGAAGGAAAUUUAGUCAUGAAAGUGGUUUAGCUUUCUUCAGACAAAAUUGGGUUUGAAGCGUUCCACUGUUAUAGUUGUGAUGAAUCAUCACUCAUCAUUUCCAGAGUAUUGUUGCAUGUCUUGGUGAAAUAUUUACUGAAGUGAAACACUUUGUAUCAUUGAAUAUUGCAGUGGGUGAUGUUACUGACUUAGAUUGGGAAAGACUUGUGCUUUCAGCCGGCUCAACUGUUGUGGUUGGAUUCUGGGCUCGAUGGUCUGGUCCCUCCCUCCCGAUCCUCCCGAUAUUUGAUGAAGUGGCCCAGGAAUAUUCUGGUAGGCUGAACUGUUACAAACUCGAAGUUGAUGAGAACCCAUCAACUGCUACGCGUUAUCCAGCUCGAACUCUCCCCACUUUCAUUAUUUUCAAGAAUGGUGAGAGGAAAGAUACAGUUAUUGGAGCUGUGCCCAAGACAACAUUGACCUCAACCAUAGAAAAAUAUCUGUGAGCAAAUGAAAGUAAAGCUAUUUUUGUCGUUAGUUUCCUCUCAUCUAAGCCAAAUAUCAGGUUGGGAUUAUUUGUUUCUUAAAUAACCAUUUAUGGUCCUGAAUAUUUAUGGAUGCAAACCAUAUUUUCUGAUUUCUUUAGAUAAUUAUAGUUAACAAUGUGUUGCGUAAUUUGCCAUCUAUUAUAGCACAAUUUAAAUCUAUUUACAUCUUGCCUCCUGUUUCUUUAGUUCUUCCGUUCACUUAAGUGGCUGAAAAUUGUGUGGUCACGUGGGGCUAUGAAACAAAUUCUUAUUAAAAUGGGACAAAUGUAGUUGAAAAGUAAAAUCUUAUUAAAAUUGUUAAUUGAAGAUUAAUUAAUGAAUAUUUCAUGUCUAUAUCAUGAUUUAAAAAAUGUCGUGUGAUAAUGCUCACGCUCUAUGGAUGUGUCUGUCCGUGUGACUAACUAAAAAUUGUUUCUCUGAUUGAUGGAUGUAUUCACGAGUAAAACCUUUGUGUUGCAUAAUUUCCAAAGCUCGACUUAAUCCAUGGUGAAGGGAAGUUCAAUAGUAACAUCCACAUACUUUUACUUCUUCUCAGAAAGCAAUACCAUAAUUAAUGGUAGUUCCUCUGUCUACGUUGUGACUGGAAGAAAAUUGUAUUUUCUCCUGAAAUCUAUCUCAUUCACGGGAUAACUGGAUGUGCCAUGAGAUACCAAUUGUUGCUUGGAGUGAGUGGUUAAACAUUCUUGUCUCUCACCAUGGUUGUGGUUAAACAUUCGAAGUCACGAUAUUUAGGAGCACAUAACCCUUUUGUUGGUCGAUUGAAUGCGAACAGGAAUUAAUGAAAUCCAUGGAUUUAGGUUAGAUACGAAGAAUGCGGCACGAGGGUAUGUUGCGCUUGUGAGUGCUUUAAGGUGUUUUUUUAUAGUUCUUCACGGAUGAAUUCUUCAUAGAUUAUUUGAAUAUUUUCACCCUUCAAUUCUUUCAAUUCUUACACAUGGUUGAACUAAAUCAAACUUGCAUUAUUCUGAUUAAUUUCUUGGGCGCAUGAUCCAAUAUAGAGGAGGGAAACAUCCCAUAAAUACACACAUGAAUAUAAGUGGGAUAUUGAAUAUAUUUGUAUUGGACAAAGCGCUCACGGCUCAGUGCUCCGUGGUCAGAUCUCGGUGCAUGGCAUAGGUAGGUAGCUUGGUUGUUUAGCCCGUAAAGGGAGUCGUGAGUUUGACCCAGUCAUAUUGGUAAGCCCGUUGUGGCAUAAUUAAAAUAACAUUUUUAUACAUUAGUAUAAGGCUACUAGUAAAGGGUACUUUUGAACCUAGUGGUACGAAUAAUACAUGUGGUGCCUAGGUCAAGUAAAUGUUUCUUUUAACUUGAGUACGUGUGUUCUAGGGCACAUAGUCGUUAAGUUGCAUGUGGGAUAAAAGAUAACGUUGCACCAUGAGUAGGGUGCCCCGUAAGCAGAAUAUUCCCCUGCUGUAGCACAUAAUUUGGUCCCCUGCUACCAGAUGGUUGUUCUGUUAUUAUUUUAUGCUCUCCUUAGAGAUAAGAUUCCUUUUUGUCGUAGCACCUUGAGAGAAGGCGCCCAUAAAAGGGGGCUUGAGACCCCAGGUAAAGGUACAUUGUUUCUGAGACUGAAACUGAAUACUUCUUGAAUUUUAGUAAGUGCUUUACUGAUUUGUUCAUCGGAGUGCCAUCAACAGGUAGGGUCCCCUCUAUUUCAACGAAGGUACAUUCCAAAGCUACAAGAAAUAGGAAAGAUUCCUCAAGAGCCAGACGAAGCUAGAACUUGCCACCAGAGUCAAUAGGUGAGCAAGUCAAUCAACAAUAACAUUUGGUGCACACCGUGGGGCCUGAUAAAAUCUGAUCCCAUCCACAAUUGUGUUUGAGUUUUUUGGCGUAAUGAGGAACACGAGGCAAGGUCCAUUGGGAUUUGAAGGGAACGACGCCCCUACCCUACAACAACUUAUGGAAACCAUGAGGGCUCUCCAAGAAGCCAACAAGCAGUACAAGCUAUAUCAGGAGCAGAUCCAACGAGAGGCCAAAGCUGAGCAGGAAAGGCUAAUGGCAGGAGCAGUGGCGGAGGCAAUGGCAGAAGCUAAAGUUGAACAAGAAAAGCUCAUUGUGGAAGUUUGAGUUGAGCAGGUGCUCAGACAAGGCCAAUGAGAAAUUGCGCAAGAACUUACAACAAAUUGAUCAAAGCUCUAUAGCGGAGCGAGGUUUGAGUGCACAGCUAAGAGAUCGUCCCAAGCCAUUCUCGUACGCGAUCAUGGAUGCUCUCAUACCGACGAACUACAUAACACCUAAGAUUGUUUUCACGGGAGUAGAAGACCCUGAGAGCCAUCUUACGGUGUUCAGCGCCGAGAUGAUUAUUUAGGGAGGAACAUAUGCCAUCCAUUGCAAGAUGCUCAUGGAUACGGUCACAGGUACAACUCUGCAAUGGUUUAGUGGCCUUCCUAACGACCACAUUGUUAGAAAGUAUGGCUUUAAACUAGAGGGGGGGUGAAUGGUUUAAAAAGGGAUUUCGAAAACUUUUAAGCCUUGAAUGAAAUUACUUCGAGAAUAUCUUGAUUAAGAAAUCAGUUUUUCAAAACACAAAGCUAAAAGCAGAGCACCAACAAAACAAUCGGUUGUUUCGUAGAAACAAACGGUUGUUUAUACCAGUUUACAAAUAUAAAAACUGAAUUUAAAGAGUUAAGGGAUAGAGAAAAUGCACACAGAGAUUUAUACUGGUUCACUCUAAACCCAGAGCUACAUCCAGUCUUCUCAGAAACCACUGAGGAACACCACUAAGUAAUCAAACCUAUAUCACUUACAACACAACCAAGAAAGUGACCUUGAUCCCCUCAAGACACACACUUCUCUUGGCCAACACACCAACACUAAGAAUGCUGAUCUUGAUCCCCUCAAGAACACACAACACUUCUCAGCAAACACACAAAGAUUCUUGUUCAACAGAUACAAGGAUUACACUUGUUACAGAAGCAAUUCUGAAAUCAAUACAAGCAGAAAUUUUAUCUCACACUCUUUGAUCAAUCUCAAUCUCUAAGCAAUCUCAACUCUUUGAAAAUCUCAAAAUCUUGUGUUAGUUCUUAAAACUCAAAUCUAUUUUUCUGAAUAUAUUCAAAGAUGUUGUUUUUUAUCAAAUCUUAACAAACUAUUCAUUGCAUUUAAAGAUUGGUCAAAGCAUUAAAAACUGGAGCGUAAACAGUUGGAAAAACAUUUAAUGCUCAGUCAAAGCACAAAACAGUUUUUUGUUAUGGUACCAUAACAAACAAUCGGUUGUUUCCACGAAUCAAUCGGUUGUUUUGGUUUUGACAGCAAGUCAACCAUAAAAAUAGUUUUCAAUCUUUUCUUAAACACCUAAGUAUAAAACAAUCGGUUGUUUCGACAAAACAAUCAGUUGUUUUUCAGUUAGUUUCAAAAACACUUUUCUUUUAAAAAGAUUGAGAAUGCCUAUGCUUUGGAUUCAAUCAAGAGUGGAUUACAUAAACAAUCUACCCCAGAUCCUAUCUAAGACAGCACAACAACAACAAGCACAACCUAGCCUUCAAGAUCCUUCAAAGGGUUUGGAUUCUUCAAAGCUUGAACACCACUUGGUUCAACACACAUCACCACCUCCUUCGACCAGUUUUCUGAGUUGCUCAGGGAACAAUUCAUUGUGAACCAGGCCCAACCACUAGUCUCAUUUGAUCUUUUCAACGUGAAACAGAGGCAAGGUGAUUCUCUGAAAAAUUAUUUGAACAGGUUUGAGGCGUUCACAAUGAAGCUCCAGACCCAUGACGAGCCCUAUAUGGUCAACGCCUUUGGGUAGGGAAUCACUGAUCAGGAAUACGGAAGUAACAUUUGUUGAGAUACGACGUCGAUUUUUCACUCACAUCAGCGCAGAGGAAGCAUUAUCUAUGAAGCACAACAACACACAUCUAGGGCAUACCAAGCCCAAAGAAUGUAGCCAAGCCCGACCUCUGAGGGUCAACGAAGCCAUAACUGAGAAGAGGGCAGGCGCAAGGCGAACACCAUACUCAGAUAGGAAGAACACGCCCAAGGCAAAAACACGUGAAGACCUGGCAUUUCGGUCAAAGUUCUGAAUGACUUAUAAGGAGUUGUUGAGUAUGCCAGGGGUGAUGGAAAAAUUGAAAUUCCCCCAAAAGUUUGACAGAAACUUAGGGCCACGAAAAGAUACCUGGUGCGAAUUCCACAAAGGAUUUGGGCACGACAUGGAGCGAUGUAUAACUCUGGACUAUCAGUUGGCAGGUUUGGUGAAAGACGGUUUCUUGAAGGAAUAUCUGGAGGGAAACCAAGAAGGGACAAAAGAAGAGAUUGUUUCCGGGGACUAAGGGCAUGAGGUACUAGUCCAUGGCGAGUUGAACACCAUCUCGGGAGGGGGAUGCACUACCUCUAAGCGUAAGAAAUACACGAGAAAGUCAAUAGCAAUAGAAGCGAGGAGACCUGGCCAAUCGGCAGAGCCCGACCUCUGCUUUACGAGAUAUGAUUUGGAAGACGUGGUCCCACAUGACGACAAUCCGGUGGUGAUAUCCAUCGUCAUUGUGGGAAGAAGAGAAGACCGAGUUCUCAUCGACCAAGAGAGCUCAGCUGAUGUGAUGUUCUGGAUAACAUUCAAUAAUUUUUUAUUGUCACCUAACCAGUUAAGGCCAUAUGAUGAAUAUUUGUUUGGCUUUGCGGGAGAUCAGGUGGAAGUGCAUGGACAUGUUGAGCUGAGGACAACUUUUUCAGAUUGCACCUCAGCUCGUACGAUCAACAUCAAGUAUAUAAUAGUUAAUGCUGUCUCGACAUACAAAUUGCUUUUGGGAAGGCCUUCUCUGAAUAGGCUAGGUGCGGUGGCCUCAACGGAGCACAUGAAGAUGAAGUUGCCCUCCCUUGAUGGAGUGGUGAUCAUCAUCAAGUUUGAUCAGAAAGCGACAAGGAAGUGCUGUGAGAAUAGCCUGAAGAGAAGGAAGGGAGUGUGCUCCAUCACUGUUCAGGUGCAAGAGUCGGAGGAGAUCAUGCAAAUUGAAGUCACCAACGUGAGGCGACCUGGACCUGCUGGAAAGGUCCAGGAGAAAGAAAUAGGAGGAAAGAAUUUCAAGCUUGAUUCAACUCUUCAUGCAUAGCUUCAACCCACUUCUCAUCCUUGAGAGCUUCAUCAAUUGACUUUGGUUCAAUUUUUGAUACAAAAGUUGUGUUCCUGUAGAAGUUUGAGAUGAAUCUUCGUGUGGAGACACCUUCCUUUAUCUGCCCUAUGAUGUUUUCCACUGAUAGAUCUCUAGGAAUCCUCCAUUCUUUGGGCAACUCACUCUGUUGCAGAAUUUCAAUCGGUUGUUUCUGCGAAUCAACCGAUUGUUUUUCUACACAGAUUUCCAGGUUCUCCAAACUGAUGCUUUGUUCAUCCUCUUCAGCUCUGGUCUUCGGGAUUUGGAUGUUUUUGUGAUCUACCUCUUCAAAGACAACGUGAACUGAUUCUUCUACAGUCAUCAACUUCUUACUGUAGAUUCUAUAUGCAUGACUUGUGAGAGAAUACCCUAUGAAGAUGCCAAAAUUCGCUUUCUCGUCAAACCUCCCUAAGUUUUCCUUUCCAUUGUUGAGAAUGAAACAACUGCAGCCAAAAACUCUGAGACGGUUGAUGUUAGGCUUCCUUCCAUUGAAGAGUUCAUAUGGAGUUUUCUUCAAAAUGGGCCUAAUAAGCACUCUAUUCAUCACAUAACAAGAAGUGCUCACUGCAUCCGCUCAAAAGUACUUAGGAAGAGAUGAUUCACUAAGCAUUGUCCUUGCUAGCUCUUCAAGAGACCUGUUCUUUCUGUCUACCACACCAUUUUGUUGUAGAGUUCUUGGAGCAGAGAAGUUGUGCAGAAUCCCCAUCUUCUCACAGAACUUGCUAAACUUAUCAUUUUGGAAUUCUCCUCCAUGGUCACUUCUAAUAGAGCCUAUGUUGCAGUUCUUUGUAUUUUGCAACCUUCUUACUAGCUUCUUGAAUGCAGAAAAGGCAUCACUCUUUGAUUCCAAGAAAAGAGUCCAAGUGAAACUAGAAAAGUCAUCAACAAUAACAAGAGCAUAAUAAUUUCCACCUAGACUCAGAGUUCUUGAGGGUCCAAAGAGAUCCAUGUGAAGAAGUUCAAGGGGUUUUAAAGAAGAAACAACAUUUUUUAUUUUAAAAGAACUUUUCACUUGUUUCCCCUUUUGGCAUGCUUCACAAAUGUGAUCCCUCUCAAACUUGAGCUUUGGUAGCCCAAUCACAAGAUCCCUUGAAAUUAACUUGUUCAAGUGAUUCAUGUAAAUAUGAGCAAUUCUUCUAUGCCAAAGCCAAGAUUCAUCUUACUUGGAUAGAAGACAUCCAAUUGAACAUGGUGAAGAGAUAUCUAGAAGAUACACAUUAUUGAUUCUCUUACCUACCAACAUUACCAAUUUUGAUAUGAUUCCACUAGCAAAGUAGAGAUGAUUCUUUAACAUUCUAUGGAAUCAACUUGAGUUGGAGAUAGCAUAGGCACUUUUAAUAGAAUUGGAUCAAUGUUCUAUGUUUCAAGAACUCACCAAAACUUGCACCAAACACCAAACUCAUAUGGAAGAUCCAUCUAUUGCCAAUUGAACUGAUUAAAAAGUGUAUUAAGGCAAAUGAACCGAAUAGAAAGCUUUAAAAACAUAAAUGAACCGAACAAAUCCAGCUAGAACAGAAAAGAGCCGAACAUAAAGUGAAAAGGAAACACAAAACCUCAUAGAAAGAAGCUUAAGACAUGUUUAUCGUUUCGUAAAGCAAGGAAGAUGAAGGAGAGAAGAACUUAUGGAGAUGAAGGACUUGGUUUGGUGAUCACGCCACUUGGAUGGUGAAGGCUCCAAGAUAAGUGAGCUACUGUCGCCACUUGAGAGAACCAAAUGCACUCAAGAUAAGACAAGGUGUAGGAGAAGACAAAGUUAUCACAAUUCUCUCUCAAAUUGAGUAGAGUUUCUCUAUUACCAAUUUCAAUUCUCAAUUUUACAAGAGCCCACACCUUUAUUUAUAGUGUGAGGGUGCUGGAAAAUAGGUGGGAAAAUUCAAAUAAAACUCAUUUGAAAUUCCCACCAAAAACAAGUCACAUGAGAGGUGUGACCUUUUUCUACUAUGACACCUCCUAAAAACUACACCUACACCUAUUCUCCUAAGUCACAUGGAUAAUGUGACUUUAUUUUACAUUUUCACACUUCUUUAUUUAAUAUCCACACCUCCUACAACUACACAAGAGUAAUUCAAAUGAUGCUCUUUUAUUUAAUGCUUUGCCUUGCCCCUCAUGGGAUGGACUUGGGCUUUUUGGGCUUUGACCUUCUUGGGCUUGGGCCUCAUCUUUAUUUUAUGUUUUCUUUUAAAUUUGAGAAGACUAGAAGGAAGAACUUCAAAUGUGAAGGCGAAUGUCCUCUUCCUUCAUUAAUAAAAGCCUCCUUUAUUUGAUUCUCAUCAUAUUUGGUGUUGGGUAGAUAUAUUUCACAUGUGUUUAGGGUUUAGGGUUUACCUUCUUGGGCUUGGGCCUCAUCUUUAUUUUAUGUCUUCUUUUAAAUUUGAGAAGACUAGAAGGAAGAACUUCAAAUGUGAAGGCGAAUGUCCUCUUCCUUCAUUAAUAAAAGCCUCCUUUAUUUGAUUCUCAUCAUAUUUGGUGUUUGACUUGAACAUCACUUGAUAUCCCUUGUCACAUAGAUUGCUAAUGCUCAGCAGAUUGUGCUUUAGACCUUCUACAUAGAGCACAUCAUGGAUGACCAAGAUGUCUUUGUCUCCUAUGGAUCCUCUCCCAGGAAUCCUUCCUUUGUUGUUGUCCCCAUAGGUGACAUGCCCUUCUUGCUUAAAGGAGAUGCUCAGGAACUUUGAUUUGUCCCCUGUCAUAUGUUUGGAACAUCCACUGUCCAAGUACCAUUGUUGCUUGCUCUCCUCCAAGAUUUCCUACAAAGAAGAUUUUCAAGUACAAAGAUUUGGUCCGCUUAUGAAUGUGGGUCCAUUUUGUUAUAUUCAUCAAUUGAAUCUUUAUUGCACUUAGGGAUCCACUUCAUAAAGCCCUUAGGAACAACAUAUUUUCUGAUUUUACAGAACCUCACAGAAUGACCUCUUUUCAUGCAAUAGAAGCAUGUAACAAUCGGUUGUUUCGAUGGUCCAAUCGGUUGUUUUUUUGGCAUUUUCGAAAAUGAUUUUGAAAAUCUAUCUUGUUUGUUUUGUGGGUUAAAGCCCAAUCCAGCUUUUCCAAAAACACAGUUUUGAGAUGCCAAGACAUUCUCAAAGUUGGAUUGACUUUUAGAAAGCUUAUCCACAGUUUUAACAAGAUAGUGGACCUUAUUUUCAAGAUUUUCGCAAUUUUCACAAACAAGAGUAUUACACUUGCAAGAGGAGUUUUUGUAAAUGAUUUCAAGGUUUUCAAAAUCUGUUUUUGAAUUUUCUAAUUCCUCUUCCAGUGAUUUACUCUAUUUUCAAGCCAGUUAUUCUUUUCCUUUAACUGAUUGUUCAAGAGGGCCAAUCAGUUGGCUUCUUCAUGUGUUUCUUGAAAGGCUUGAAGUAAUUGACCAUAAUUUUCAGAGUUUGAGGAGUUAGAUGAACUUACACUACUUGAGUCAUCCUCCUUUUUUGCCAUGAAGCAGAGGUUGAGACUUUUCUUGUUUUGCCUUCUUUUCCUUCUUGCUUGACUCUUUGACCUUGCCUCCUUUGGUUCAUUGUUUCCAUGAGCAUCCUUGAGUGUGUCCCACAUCUCUUUAGCAGUUUUGCAUUUUGAUAUCUUGAAAAACUCAUUAGUAUCUAGUGCAGAAGCUAUUAUGUUUUGACCAGUAUAAUCAAGCUUGGCCAUUUUACAUUCAUCAUUGGUCCAUUGAGACCAAGGUUUUGCAAUGAAAGAACCAUUCUUUUUAAACUUUAGAAUGUAAGGACCAUUCUGAAUUGAGUCCCAAAUUCCUUGAUCAAUAGAUUCCACAAAGAUUUUCAUUAUGGCUUCCCAGUACUUGUAAUUCAAUCCACAGAAUAAAGGAGGUUUGUAGAUUGAAGCACCUUCCUCAAAAGAUUGUUUUCCAGCAAUAGAAAAAAGAUUUUUGGAUCAACUUGAAUAACUUUCAAGAACCAAGCUCUGAUACCAAUUGUUAGAAAGUAUGGCUUUAAACUAGUGAAUGGUUUAAAGAGGGAUUUCGAAAACUUUUAAGCCUUGAAUGAAAUUACUUCGAGAAUAUCUUGAUUAAGAAAUCAGCUUUUCAAAAUACAAAGCUAAAAGCACAGCACCAACAAAACAAUCGGUUGUUUCGCAGAAACAAUCGGUUGUUUAUACCAGUCUACAAAUAUAAAAACUGAAUUUAAAGAGUUAAGGGAUAGAGAAAAUGCACACAGAGAUUUAUACUGCUUCACUCUAAACCCAGAGCUACAUCCAAUCUUCUCAGAAACCACUCAGGAACACCACUAAGUAAUCAAACUUAUAUCACUUACAACACAACCAAGAAAGUGACCUUGAUCCCCUCAAGACACACACUUCUCUUGGCCAACACACCAACACUAAGAAUGCUGAUCUUGAUCCCCUCAAGAACACACAACACUUCUUAGCAAACACAUAAAGAUUCUAGUGCAACAGAUACACGGAUUACACUUGUUACAGAAGCAAUUCUGAAAUCAAUACAAGCAGAAAUUUUAUCUCACACUCUUUGAUCAAUCUCAAUCUCUAAGCAAUCUCAACUCUUUGAAAAUCUCAAAAUCUUGUGUUAGUUCUUAAAACUCAAAUCUGUUUUUCUGAAUAUAUUCAAAGAUGUUGUUUGCUAUCAAAUCUUAACAAAUUAUUCAUUGCAUUUAAAUAUUGGUCAAAGCAUUAAAAACUGGAGCGUAAACAGUUGGGAAAACAUUUAAUGCUCAGUCAAAGCACAAAAUAGUUUUCUGUUAUGGUACCAAAACAAAAAAUCGGUUGUUUCCACGAAUCAAUUGAUUGUUUUGGUUUUGACGGCAAGUCAACCAUAAAAACAGUUUUCAAUCUUUUCUAAAAACACCUAAGUAUAAAACAAUUGGUUGUUUCGACCAAACAAUCGGUUGUUUUUCACUUAGUUUGAAAAACACUUUUCUUUUAAAAAGAUUGAGAAUGCCUGUGCUUUUGAUUCAAUCAAGAGUGGAUUACAUAAACAAUCUAUCCCAUAUCCUAUUUAAGACAGCACAGCAACAACAAGCACAGCCUAGCCUUCAACAUCCUUCAAAGGGUUUGGAUUCUUCAAAGCUUGAACACCACUUGGUUCAACACACAUCACCUCCUUCGACUAGUUUUCUGAGUUGCUCAGGGAACAAUUCAUUGUGAACCAGGCCCAACCACUAGUCUCAUUUGAUCUUUUCAACGUGAAACAGAGGCAAGGUGAGUCUCUGAAAAAUUAUUUGAACAGGUUUGAGGCGUUCGAAAUGAAGCUCCAGACCCAUGACGAGCCCUAUAUGGUCAACGCCUUUGGGUAGGGAGUCAUGGAAAGACCAUUAAAGGACUCACUGAUCAGGAAUACGGCAGUAACAUUUGUUAAGAUACGACGUCGAUUUGUGACUCACAUCAGUGCAGAGGAAGCAUUAUCUAUGAAGCACAACAACACACAUCUAGGGCAUACCAAGCCCAAAGAAUGUAGCCAAGCCCGACCUCUGAGGGUCAACGAAGCCACAACUGAGAAGAGGGCAGACGCAAGGCGAACACCAUACUCAGAUAGGAAGAACACGCACAAGGCAAAAGCACGUGAAGACCUGGCAUUUCGGCCAAAGUUCUGAAUGACUUAUAAGGAGUUGUUGAGUAUGCCAGGGGUGAUGGAAAAAUUGAAAUUCCCCCAAAAGUUUGACAGAAACUUAGGGCCACGAAAAGAUACCUGGUGCGAAUUCCACAAAGGAUUUGGGCACGACAUGGAGCGAUGUAUAACUCUGGACUAUCAGUUGGCAGGUUUGGUGAAAGACGGUUUCUUGAAGGAAUAUCUGGAGGGAAACCAAGAAGGGACAAAAGAAGAGAUUGUUUCCGGGGACUAAGGGCAUGAGGUACUAGUCCAUGGCGAGUUGAACACCAUCUCGGGAGGGGGAUGCACUACCUCUAAGCGUAAGAAAUACACGAGAAAGUCAAUAACAAUAGAAGCGAGGAGACCUGGCCAAUCGGCAGAGCCCGACCUCUGCUUUACGAGAUAUGAUUUGGAAGACGUGGUCCCACAUGACGACAAUCCGGUGGUGAUAUCCAUCGUCAUUGUGGGAAGAAGAGAAGACCGAGUUCUCAUCGACCAAGAGAGCUCAGCUGAUGUGAUGUUCUGGAUAACAUUCAAUAAUUUUCGAUUGUCACCUAACCAAUUAAGGCCAUAUGAUGAAUAUUUGUUUGGCUUUGCGGGAGAUCAGGUGGAAGUGCAUGGACAUGUUGAGCUGAGGACAACUUUUUCAGAUUGCACCUCAGCUCGUACGAUCAACAUCAAGUAUAUAGUAGUUAACGCUGUCUCGACAUACAAAUUGCUUUUGGGAAGGCCUUCUCUGAAUAGGCUAGGUGCGGUGGCCUCAACGGAGCACAUGAAGAUGAAGUUGCCCUCCCUUGAUGGAGGGGUGAUCAUCAUCAAGUUUGAUCAGAAAGGGACAAGGAAGUUCUUUGAGAAUAGCCUGAAGAGAAUGAGGGGAGUGUGCUCUAUUACUGUUCAGGCACAAGAGCCAGAGGAGAUCAUGCAAACUGAAGUCACCAACGAGAGGCGACCUGGACCUACUGGUAAGGUCCAGGAGAAAGAAAUAGGAGGAAAGAAGUUCAAGCUCGGAACAUCGAUAUGUCAGGAAUUGUAAGAUAAGAUAGCUAAGGUGUUGAGCAAGAGUGAUCAAGAGCUUUGAAGAAUUCAAAUUGUGCUUUGAAGAAUCCAAAUCCUAUGUGCUUGAUGCAAGGCUGUGUUGCUGCUGUGUUUUGGGAGGGAUCUGGGUAGUUUUACACUCCUUUGUUGAAUCUAAAGCUAACGUGUUUUAAAUCCUUUUUGAAAUAAUGUGUUUUUCUAACUAAGUGAAAAACAACCUGUUGUUUUGUCGAAUCAACCGGUUGUUUUACUCUCAGGAGUUUUUGAAAAGGUUGAAAACUAUUUAAGUUUGGUUGACUUAACUGCCAAACCAAACAAUCGGUUGUUUCGUGGUUUCAACCGAUUGUUUGUUUGAAAAUCCUAACAAAAUUUUGUUUUGGUGGUUGAAUUAAAUGAUUUCCAAUUGAAUACGCUCCUUCAUUAAAUGCUUUGACCAAUCUUUGGAAAUUAUAAAUAGUUUUUUUAUGUUUUCAAACAAGUGAGAGAAACAAAUUUGAGUUUUUCAGUUGUGAAAGAGUUUAUUCAAGAUUUGAACAUUCACAUCAAAGUUUUAGGUUUUCUAAGAGAGUGGAAUAGGAUUGCAUUUGUAUUGAUUUCAGAUUGCUCUGUAAACAAGUGUAAUAUCUUCUCAACCUUCUGUAUUUCUAGUGUUGUGUUGCCAAGGAGUGUUGUGUGCUCUUGAGGUUGUCAAGAUCAAUACUCUUGGUGUGUGAUUUGCCAAAGUGAGUGUGUUUCUUGAAGGGUUAAAGGUCACUGCUUUGGUGGAUUGUGUUUUGUAAUCUGGUUUGAUUACUUAGUGGAUUACCCAGUGGUUUUCUGGGGACUGGAUGUAGCUCAUGGUUUAAGAGUGAACCAGUAUAAACUGUUGGUGUAUCUUUCUCUUACCCUUAAACUCAUUUAAAUUCAGUUUUUAGUUUUACUGGUAUAAACAACCGAUUGUUUCGCAAAAACAACUGAUUAUUUUUAUACUGCUUUGCUGUUUUAUUACUGUUGUUCUUGGCUAACCUGAUUUUUGUUUUGGAUUCAUACAAAGAAGUUUGUUAAAACUAAAAAGAUUUCAAAAACCUCUCUUAAACAAUUCACUCGCCUCUCGUUUAAGGUCAUAUCUUGCUAAUUCAUGAUGUCUUUCAAACUCUUUCAAAUGGAUGUGAAGAGUGCUUUUCUCAAUGGUUUUAUCAAUGAAGAAGUGUAUGUUGGCAACCACCGAGUUUUGAGGAUCAUCAACAUCCCAAUCACGUUUUUAAGUUGAAAAAGGCUUGGUAUGGGCUUAAACUGUUAGAAUGGUUGGCUUUAAACUAGAGGGGGGUGAAUUGUUUAAAGAGGGUUUUCGCAAACUUUUGAGACAAGAAUGAAAUUCUCUGAAGAAAACAAUUGAUAAAGAAUUCAGUUUGCCAAAACAGCAAUAAAAAACAGCAGUACCAGAAAAGCAAUCGGUUGUUUCACAAAAACAAUCGGUUGUUUAUACCAGCAAACAACAAACAAAAUUGAAUUUAAAGAGAUUAAGGAUAGAGAGAUUGCACACAGAUGUUUAUACUGGUUCACUCCAAACCCAGAGCUACAUCCAGUCUUAUCAGAAAACCACUGAAGAAAUCCACUAAGCAACCACACCUUGAUCACUUACACCACAACCAAGAGAGUGACCUUAAUCACCUCAAGACACACACUCUUCUUGGCCAACACACCAACACUAAGAUUGUUGAUCUUGAUCCCCUCAAGAACACACAGCCAAUCUCAGCAAACACAAAUGAAACUAGUUCAGCAGAGUACAAGGAUUACACUUGUUACAAAAGAUAAUCUGAAAUCAAUACAAGCAGAAUCCUAUUCCACACACUUUGAUCAAAUCACAAACUCUAAGCAAUCUCAGCUCUUUGAAAAACUCAAAAACUCUAUUCAAAAUCUUGUUACAGAAAUCUGUUUUUCUGAAUUUAUUCAAAGAUGUUGUUUGUUAUCAAAUCUUAACAAACUCUUUAAUUGCAUUUAAUGAUUGGUCAAAGCAUUUAAAGACUGGAGUGUAAGCAGUUAAAUCAUUUAAAGCUCAGUCAAAGAUAAAACAGUUUUUCUGUUAUGGUACCAAAACAAAUAAUCAGUUGUUUCCUCGAAUCAAUCGGUUGUUUUGGUUUUAACAGCUCAACCAUUUGAAAAACAGUUUUCAAUCUUUUCUAUAAACAAUCGGUUGUUUCCACAAAACAAUCGGUUGUUUUUAACUUAAUUUGAAAAGCAUUUUUUUUUCAAACAGAUUGAGAAUGCCUAUGCUUUAGAUUCAAUCAAGUGUGGAUUACAACACUCAAACUACCCCAGAUCCUAACUAAAACAGCACAGCAACAACAAGCUCACCCAAGGCUUCAACAUCCUUCAAAGGGUUUGGAUUCUUCAAAGCUUGAACACCACUUGGUUCAACAUAAACAAGCUCCAAGGCAGUGGUAUGAGAGGCUUAAUAACUUCCUUUUAUCCCAUGGCUAUGAAAGAGGAAUGAUUGACAAAAAAAAUUUCAUCAAGAAAGCAAAUUCUGAAAUUAUUUUGGUCCAAAUCUAUGUUGAUGACAUCAUUUUUUGUGCUACCAAAGAUAGUUUGUGUGAGGAGUUUGUUGUUGCAAUGCAAGAUGAGUUUGAAAUGUCCAUGAUGGGAAAACUUUUCUUCUUUCUUGGGCUGCAUGUUAAACAAUCAAAGGAUGGUAUUUUCUUAUGUCAAUCAAAGUAUUGCAAAGAAAUCCUCAAGAAAUUUGAGAUGGAGAGUUGCAAGGAAGCUAGCACACCUAUGCCUUCAAGCUGUUAUAUGGAUGCAGAUGCUGUUGGAAAAAGGGGUAGAUUAAACAAAAUAUAGAGGCUUAAUUGGUUCUUUACUCUAUCUCACAACAAGUAGACCGGAUAUCAUGUUUGUCGUAUGUCUUUGUGCAAGAUAUCAAGCAAAGCCAAAGGAAUCUCACUUCAAGGCUGCCAAAAGGAUUCUCAAAUAUCUCAAAGGAACUACUAAUGUUGGUCUAUGGUAUCCUUCUUACUCACCUAUACAUUUAAUUGGAUAUUUAGAUUCUGACUUUGCAGAGUGUAAGCUGGACCAAAAAAGCACAAGUGGCACUUGUCAUCUUCUUGGAUCAAGUCUCAUUUCUUGCCAUAGUAAGAAACAAGCUUGUGUAGCUCUUUCCACUACAGAAGCUAAAUACAUUGCUGCUGGGAGCUGUUGUUCACAAAUUCUUUGGCUUAAACAGCUGCUUGCAGAUUUUAGAUUGAAGAUUAGUAAGGUUCCUUUGCUUUGUGACAACACAAGUGCUAUAAAUCUCACCAAAAAUCAGAUUUAGCACUCAAGAACAAAGCACAUUGAGAUUCUUCAUCACUUCAUAAGAGAUCAUGUGAACAAUGGAGAUUGUGAGAUGAAGUUCAUUGAAACAAAACUACAGCUUGCUGAUAUAUUCACAAAACCUUUGGCAAAAGACAGGUUUUUCUUUUUAAGAAAUGAGUUAGGCAUUCUUGACUCUCAAAAUCUCUCUUAAACUGCUUUCUAUGCAUAAAGUCUAUUUGUGAAGACAAAUAGGGGGAGAAUUGGUUUCUCUGUUGCUCUACAAACUGUUUUAAACUAUUAAAGCUCUUUCAUUUCUGUUUUUAUGCUUCUGCUGAUAGAAACAACCGAUUGAAUCGAGGAAACAACCGGUUGUUUAUCUGAUAUAUAUUGGUUUUUGGCUGGUUUUUCUGCUAUAAGGUCUAUGCAGAAAACCAAUUAAUGUGCUAUUCUAACCUGCUGUUAAAGAUGCUCUAGUUUGCAUAAGUUUUGCUUUGCAGGUGCUGUUUCAGAUUCAAACAAAGACCAACACAAGCAACCAGGGAUUUGUCUUCAUCAAAUAGGGGGAGAUUGUUGAUCAAGAGUGAUCAAGUGCUUUGAAGAAUUCAAGUUGUGCUUUGAAGAAUCCAAAUCCUAUGUGAUGUUUUGGAAAAAGACCUCUUAAAUGGUGACAACCAUUAGGAGGUAUGAACAAAUCUUCCCUAACAUUUUUUAACCAAGAUGGUGGUGAAAUAGGAACCUUGGGUAAUGAAAAAGAUAAGGAAGGAAAACACCUUGGAGGUGAAAGGAUAAGACCCAUGUCAACUUGGCCUUCUUUGUCUUUUUCUUGUUUACNNNNNNNNNNNNNNNNNNNNNNNNNNNNNNNNNNNNNNNNNNNNNNNNNNNNNNNNNNNNNNNNNNNNNNNNNNNNNNNNNNNNNNNNNNNNNNNNNNNNCAGUAAGUAAAUCAAUUGCAAUAAGGAAAAAACAGUAAGCACUUUUUUCAGAAACAGAGGAAUCCUAAUAGGACUAAAAAACAGGAUUAUGAACUAGCAAAGACAUAAUAGAAAAUGAUGUAUUGGAACUUGUAUAGGUCUAGAAUACAAGUAUGAACUCAAUUCUAAAAAGAAAAUGCACAAAGGAUCAAUAUCAAUUCAGAAAAUUAUAGACACUAAAGCAAGAAACAAUCAAAACAAGAAAAGUACUACUAGAAGUAAUGACAAUUAUGGAAUAACAUGACUAAGACAAAACUUGACAUGAUUACAAAAUUAAAAGACACAUCACAAAUUUUAACAACAAGUGAAAGGAAGCUUANNNNNNNNNNNNNNNNNNNNNNNNNNNNNNNNNNNNNNNNNNNNNNNNNNNNNNNNNNNNNNNNNNNNNNNNNNNNNNNNNNNNNNNNNNNNNNNNNNNNGGAUAAUGCCAUUCCAAAAGAGCAACCAUACUCAUAAGAAUUAUGAGUGCCAUAAACCUUUUCACAAGCACUUGGUGUAAAAGAAAAACAGCAAGAAUACUCAAGUAAAAUUCUAAAACAGAAACUUAAAUUGCAAGAAAUUAAAAGAGCUCUUGAAAUUAAAGUGCACACAACUCAACAAUUAAACAAGAAGAACCUAAGACUCAUGAUACCACAUGAUGUGAUUCCAAUAGCCACAUAGAGAAAGGUUCUUGACCUUCUAAGGAAUCAACUUGAGUUGGACAAUAGUUAGGCACUUUUUCUUAGAAUUGGAUCAUUGUUCUAAGUCAAGAACUCUCCAAAAACUAGCACCAAUUCCAAACUCAUAUGGAAGUUCCAAUUAUAGUCAAAUUGAACCGAACAAAAUGGAACAAAAGAUAAGCAAACUGAAAUAGAAGUGCUGGAAAUUAAAAUGCACCGAACCAAAACAGAAAAGAAUAAGAACAGCUGCUGGAAAAUGAAAGAUAACCAAACCAAAACUCAAGAACACAAGCUAAACAUGAACAAUUGAAAGAGUAGGAAGGAAGGAGAAGAGAAAAGCUUAUGGAGAUGGAAGAGAAGGUGAGUGAUCACGCCACUAGAAGGAUGGUUGCUCCUAGAUGAGUGUGCUGCCGCCACUUGAGGACACCAUGGAUCCUUCAAGAUAAGACUAGAGAAGAAGGCUCAAAAGCUCUCCAAUGCCCACUCAAAAAUUGAGUAUAGUUUCUUUCUCUAAUUUCAAUUCUCAAUUGUACAAGCUAAGCACCUUUAUUUAUAGCCUAGAGGUGCUGAAAAAUAGGUGGGAAAUUUCAAAUAAAACUCAUUUGAAAUUCCCACAAAAAACAAGUCACAUGGGAGGUGUGACCUUUUUCUACUAUGACACCUCCUAAAAACUACACCUACGCCACUCUCCUAAGUCACAUGGACAAUGUGACUUUAUUUUACAUUUUCACACACCUUUAUUUAAUAACCACACCUCCUAAAACUAUACAAGAGUAUUUCAAAGCUUGGCCUUGCCCCUCAUGGGAUGGACUUGGGCUCUUUGGGCUUUGGCCUUCUUGGGCUUGGGUUUGGGCUUUGGGAUUGGGCCUCAUCUUUAUUUUAUGUCUUCUUUUAAUUUUGAGAAGACUAGAAUGAAGAACUUCAAAUGUGAGGGUGGAUGUCCUCUUCCUCCAUUAAUAAAAGCCUCCUUUAUUUGAUUCUCAUCAACUCCUUUGUUGAAUCUAAAGCUAACGUGUUUUAAAUCCUUUUUGAAAUAAAGUGUUUUUCUAACUAAGUGAAAAACAACCUGUUGUUUUAUCGAAUAAACCGGCUGUUUUACUAUUAAAAGUUUUUGAAAAGGUUGAAAACUAUUUAAGUUUGGUUGACUUAACUGCCAAACCAAACAAUCGGUUGUUUCGUGGUUUCAACCGAUUGUUUGUUUGAAAAUCCUAAGAGAAUUUUGUUUUGGUGGUUGAAUGUGCUUUAAAUGAUUUCCAACUGAAUACGCUCCUUCAUUAAAUGCUUUGACCAAUCUUUGGAAAAUAUAAAUUGUUUGUUUAUGUUUUCAAACAAGUGAGAGAAACAAAUUUGAGUUUUUCAGUUGUGAAAGAGUUUAUUCAAGAUUUGAACAUUCACAUCAAAUUUUUAGGUUUUCUAACAGAGUGGAAUAGGAUUGCAUUUGUAUUGAUUUCAGAUUGCUCUAUAAACAAGUAUAAUCUCUUCUCAACCUUCUGUAUUUCUGGUGUUGUGUUGCCAAGGAGUGUUGUGUGCUCUUGAGGUUGUCAAGAUCAAUAUUCUUGGUGUGUGAUUUGCUAAAGUGAGUGUGUUUCUUGAAGGGUUCAAGGUCACUGCUUUGGUGGAUUGUGUGUUGUAAUCUGGUUUGAUUACUUAGUGGAUUACCCAGUGGUUUUCUGGGGACUGGAUGUAGCUCUUGGUUUAAGAGUGAACCAGUAUAAACUGUUGGUGUAUCUUUCUCUUACCCUUAAACUCAUUUAAAUUCAGUUUUUAGUUUUACUGGUAUAAACAACCGAUUGUUUCGCAAAAUCAACUGAUUGUUUUUCUACUGCUUUGCUGUUUUAUUACUCUUGUUCUUGGCUAACCUGAUUUUUGUUUUGGAUUCAUACAAAGAAGUUUGUUAAAACUUAAAAAGAUUUCGAAAACCUCUCUUAAACAAUUCACUCCCCUCUCGUUUAAGGUCAUAUCUUGCUAAUUCAUGAUGUCUUUCAAACUCUUUCAAAUGGAUGUGAAGAGUGUUUUUCUCAAUGGUUUUAUCAAUGAAGAAGUGUAUGUUGAGCAACCACCGGGUUUUGAGGAUCAUCAACAUCCCAAUCACGUUUUUAAGUUGAAAAAGGCUUUGUAUGGGCUUAAACAAGCUCCAAGGCAGUGUAUGAGAGGCUUAAUAACUUCCUUUUAUCUCAUGGCUAUGAAAGAGGAAUGAUUGUUUUUCUGCUGCUUUGCUGUUUUAUUGCUUUUGUUCUUGGGUAACUUGAUUUUUGUUCUGGAUUCAUACAAAAAAGUUUGUUAAAACUUAAAAAGAUUUCAAAAACCUCUCUUAAACAAUUCACCCGCCCCUCUCGUUUAAGGCCAUAUAUUGUAACACAGGGUAAUAUCGAAGCACGUGAACGCUUUUCCUUGGUUAUCUGCAGACAUGCCUGAGAUAGAUCCAGACUUCUUGUGCAAUAGGCUUACUAUGGACAAGAAGGUUAGACCUGUAGUACAAAGAAGAAGGAAGUUUAAUGAGGAAAGGCGCCUAAUCAUCAGGGAAGAGACACAAAAGCUUCUGAAAUUUCACCACAUAGAGGAGAUUCAAUAUCCCGGGUGGUUGGCAAACGUAGUGUUGGUACAAAAGGCUAAUGGGAAGUGGAGGAUGUCCGUUGACUUUAGUUAUCUGAAUAAGGUUUGUCCCAAGGACUCUUAUCCACUGCCCAACAUACUCCUUGGUGACAGUGCCUCAGGUCGUCGACUGCUAAGUUUCCUAGAUGCAUUCUCGUGGUAUAACCAGAUCCGUAUGCACCCCCGAGAUGAGAGUAAGACCGCCUUCAUAACCGAACUCUUCAACUAUUGCUACAAGGUCAUGCCCUUUGGCCUCAAGAAUGCUUGUGCCACCUGUCAAAGGUUGAUGGAUAGAAUCCUCGCCCCAAUGAUUUGGUGGAAUGUAUAGGCGUAUGUAGACGACAUGGUCGUCACUUUAGAAGAGAAGGAUUAGCACAUUGUUGAUUUGGAAGAGUUGUUCAACACGAUAGUUCAAUACAACUUGAAGUUAAACCCAGAAAAAAAUGUGUGUUUGGGGUGGAGGUAGGAAAGUUCCUCGGGUUUUUUCUUACUAAACGGGGUAUAGAAGCGAACCGAAAUAAGUGCGCAACAAUCAUAGGAAUGAGGAGCCCGACCAAUGUAAAGGAGGUUCAACAACUGACUAGAUGCAUGACUGCUUUGUUUAGAUUCUUGUCAGCUGGUGGAGAUAAUGGGUAUUUUUAUUUCCAAUGUUUGAAGAAGAAUAAUUGUUUUGUAUGGAGUCGCGAGUGUGAAUAGGCCUUCAUCAGGUUGAAGGAGUAUCUAGCCAGCCCACCUGUCCUCUGUAAGCCAUUGUCAGGUACUGCCAUUCAUCUUUACUUUGUAGUCACUGAUCGGGCAAUCAGCUCGGUCAUUGUGUAAGAAUAAGACCGGGUCCAGAGGCUUGUUUACUUCGCGAGCAAGGUGUUGCAAGGGCCAAAGACGCGGUAUCAGGCUAUUGAAAAGGUUGCUUUGGCAGUGGUAUUCGCAGCCCCACGACUCCGCCAUUAUUUCCAAAGUUUCACUGUAAUAGUGAUGACUAAUCUGCCCAUCUGCAAGGUUUUUCAGAAGCCCACCAUAGCAGGUCGAAUGGUUCAUUGGACAAUUGAGUUGUCUGAGUUUGACGUGUAGUAUGAACCCCGUGGGCCCAUAAAGGGUCAGGUAUAUGCUGAUUUUGUGGUAGAACUAUCAUCUGAGGCUACCCAGCCAGAUGGUAAUGACUUCCAGUGGGUCCUUUCAGUGGAUGGAUCUUCUAACCAACAAGGGAGCAGUGAUGGGGUCAUCCUAGAAGGACCAAAUGGGUUGUUGAUCAAGCAGGCCUUGAGGUUUGCCUUCAAAGCCAACAACAAUAAGGAUGAAUAUGAAGCCUUGAUAGUUGGGACGUUGUUUGCUAAGGAGUUGGGUGCUCGAAACUUGUUGGUGAAGAGUGACUCGUUGUUGGUUAUUGGGCAAGUCACAGGUGAGUACCAAGAUAAAGACCCACAGUUGGCAUCGUACCUCAAGUAUGUUGUGUUUCUGAAAAUAGCUUUCUCCACGUUUGAGCUGGUGCAUGUCCCAAGAGAACAUAAUUCCCGAGCUGAUUUGCUAUCCAAACUGGCGAGCUCGGGGAAGGGAGGUCGACAAAGGUCAGUCAUUCAGGAAACCUUGAAGUCGCCUACGACCAUUGCGGAGGGGAUGGCAGAGGUCAACCAUGUAGAAGCCUUGGGGGUGAGCUCGGAACAAGGGAGGAGGCACCGAUCGUUGACACAGGAGACAUUGAAAGUGCCAAGGAUAAGCACCUAUGGCUUAUUGGGAGAUGGGUCAUCGGAGGUUUUGCAGGUCGACGCGAUAGAGACCUGGAUGACACCAUAUUAGUGCUACCUAGCUAAUGGUUUGCUCCCGGCAGAGCCUACAGCGACGAAGGCGAUUAAGAGGUGAUCCUGACUGUUGACCAGAACGCUGGAGCCUUGCCUCGUCAAAUCUGGAUCGACUUUGCACCGUGAUAGCUUAUGUCCUUCGCCUUGAUUCACCUCAAGAACCUGCAAAAGACAGAACGGCGCCGCUGCGGCCGAUCACGCUCCGACGCCCAAGUCAGCGACUGAACCACCAAAAUACUAAGAGAAAACUAAGAACUUCAGGAACCAUGCAAUAUUCUCUCUCAGUGUACUCCAGUUCUCGCGAGCGUAAAAGAAGUAUUCUAAAAUGCGCGUACCUCAGAAGUUCGUUAGGAUUCCUUAUAUACCUGUGCAUUUUCUCUCUCUUGACAGUUACACAUCUGGACAUGUGGCUCGUAUCCAGCUGUACACGUGUCACCAUCUGGAGCAUCCUUGACUUGAGCGUCGCCUCUUACUCUUCAGGCUUUUCGACUAAGUUACUUAUGCAGGAAGCAAUUCAGCGUAUAACUGCCUUGGAGCGCGAUAUCUUCUGCGUGGCGAGUACGGGUGUCUUCAUAUACACCUUCCCUGUGGUCUCGCCGGCCGCCAUUAUAUUCUACUUUACUUACUUCACUGUGCAUGCUCGGGUAAGCUGUUCCUCGACCUUAACCUCUGGCCAGCUAGGGAAUGACCAUCUGACGACUUCAUCCUUUGCUUCGAAAGCCUGGAACAAGCUUUCCUGAUCCUUCGGCGAUGUCAUCCUCUCGGCGAUCUUCGAUCGUCUUGUCGCCUAGGUUCGCACCCGGUGACUACAACACAAACUUGGUGACCGCCGUUUUAGGCAUGCUAGAGAUCGGGCACGCCAACUUAACGACUGGCGAUCACACGAGCCUCCCGACGUCCUUCCCUUCUACCAGCCAGGUGUCCCGUUCAACACGCCUAUACUAUUGUUUGCGGCCACGUCAUCAAUUCCGACUACCUGGGCGGUACACAAGCCCCCCAGUCUUAAGCGAAGACUUGUCCAGCGAAAAGACUAAGAGGUCACGUCACUGCCGAUCUACGUGGCGCUGGUGCGGAAUUCCAAACGUUUGUACCCUCUGCUUUUCUGACGCUCCACCAAACCCCUUUCGCAAUCGCCCGACACGUGGUUUCAUCAACGAUCAUCUUCAGUUGUCGUUUGCGCUUCCAAAAACGUUUGAAAAACCCUUAAACCCCUUCAUUUCUACUGUUUCAUCAUCUCUCUGCAUUCUCGAAACGCUCUGAGUUUUCUCUGCAAACCCACAACGCUUCUCAGCUCCCUCAAUCUCCAAUUCCCUUCAACGCUCAUCUGAUCAUCGAAAGGUACCUCUUUUACUUCUUCUGUUGAUACAUGCUGCAUUUUAACCGAUUCGCAUCAUCCAUUAUCAAUUUACUACCCCAUGUUGAGUUUGCAUAUAACCGAGUAGUAAAUUCUACCACCUCUCAUUCUCCUUUUGAGGUAGUCUAUGGGUUUAAUCCCCUAACACCUCUUGAUCUUCUUCCUAUUCCCCUUCUUGAAGAUGUCUUGUGCAAAGAUGGGGAUGAAAAGGCUUCUUUUGUGAAAACUUUGCAUAAAGACAUCAAGAAGAGAAUUGAGAAGAAGGUUGGCAAGUAUGCUGAACUUGCCAAUAAAAGGAGAAAAGCAUUGUUGUUUGAUGAGGGCGAUUGGGUUUGGCUUCAUUUGAGGAAGGAUCGUUUUCCUACUCAAAGGAAGUCCAAACUAAUGCCUCGAGGGGAUGGACCUUUCCAAGUCCUCAAGAGGAUUAAUGACAAUGCUUAUGAGUUAGAUAUGCCUGAUACAUUCUUAGGUAGUCAUACUUUUAAUGUCAGCGAUCUAACUCCUUUUUCUGUAGGUCUCCAGAAUUCGUGGUCGAAUUCUCUCCAACUCGGGGAGUAUGAUGGAGAUCAAGCCCAAGAGAACAUGGAGGCCACUCAUCAAGCUCAAGAAGAGGUGGAGGCACAAAUGGAGGACGCCCAUGGAGGUCAAAGUCCACCUCAAAGGAUUACAAGAAGCAUGUUCAAAGCCUUGGGAGCUAGAGGACAUUUAUUUUCUCUUUUUGUAGUGUCUUUAGUUGAAGGUGCUUAGAGGGAAACCUUAGAAACCUCUUUUGUUAUAGCAUCUUUUAGGCUUUAGUUAGGAGCUUUAGGGGGGUGUAUUAGUAGAUAGGUGUAGAAGUAGAAUAGGGGGUGCCAAAGUAAAGGAAAGGAUCACACCUUCCUUGCUUAGCAAAUAGGCGCCGGUUCUAGUUUGAAUUAGGAGGGAAUUUUAAUUGUUUUAGCUUUCUUUUUCAGCACCUUAGGCUAUAAAUAGAGGUGCCUUCCUUGUAAAUUUCAGAUUUGAAUUUUAUCUAAAGAAACUAUACUCAAAAUUGGAGUGAGCAUUUGGAGAGCUUUGAGCUUCUUCUCUAGUCUUAUCUUGAAGGACCAUGGUUUCCUCAAGUGGCGGCUUCCACACUUAUCUAGGAGCAUCCAUUCUUCUAGUGGCGUGAUCAUCCAACCAUUCCUCCAUCUUCAUGAGCAUUCUCUUCUCCUUCCUUUCUUCUUCUUCAAUUUGUUCAUGUAGCCUUGAGUUUUGAGUUGUUUUUGUUUCGGUUCCUUUAAUUUUCCAGCACCUAUAUUCUGUUUACUUCUUAAUUCUGUUCGGUACUUUUGUUUUUAAUUCAAUUCUGUUCGGUCUCUUCUUUUCAUUCUCCUUUGUUGAUUCAAUUUGACAAUAUUUGGUUCAUCCAAAUGAGUUUGGGAUUUGGUACUUGUUAUUGGUGAGUUCUUGAUCUUAGAACCAUGAUCCAACUUCUAAGAAAGUGCCUCUACAUUUUCCAACUCAAGGUGAUUCCUCAAAGUGUCAAGAAUCUUGUUCUAUGUGGCUAUUGGAAUCACAUCAUUUCCUCUUCUUCUUACUUCUCGUAACUUAGGGCUUCGUCCUCCAUUACUUUCAUCACAACGAACUCCCGUUCGUUCGUUCUCCAUUCUUUGUCCACAAUCGAGUCGAUCUCUGUAACCUUUGUUAAUCCUUUUUCCUUUUUCCUUUGCUGUUCACGCGAUGGCUCGUACGAAAACCACCGCGAAUCCUCCUCCUUCAUCACGAAACCCUCCACCCCAAGCGCAUAACUUACCACGAGCAUCUGGUGCUCUUUCUUCCAGGCUGAGAGGCCUGCGACCUCUCACCCCAAUCUCACUCAGGCAACUCCACCAGUCGCCGGAGGAGCCUCCGUCGACACACGAGACUACAAGAAGCUUUAUCCGUGGGCCACCUCAGCUCUGUUGAAAGAAACCUCUUCCAUAAACACAACGUUGGGCGUGCACCGACUAAGGAAAGGGGACCAAUCUGAUCUUUCAUUCCAUAAGGAGCAUGACAACAAAAUGGUCGUGCUGCCCUGCCACCCGGAUGAACCAAUCUGUGCUGACAAUAAAGCGAGCAACGGCGAGCUGUUCUGCUUUCUCUACACGACGUUCUUCAAGAAGGUGAAGCUCCGACUUCCCUUCACUCGCUUCGAGAGGGAAUUACUAACUGAGCUCAACAUCGCCCCCGCCCAGCUUCACCCCAACAGCUGGGUGUUCGUAAGGGCGUUCCAGAUCAUGUGCGCACACCUAGGACUGCCAGCUUCGGUUGACGUUUUCCUCUUCCUCUUUGAAGCUAAGAAUCCUGGAGACCGCCUCUGGAUUAGCCUGAACGGGAUCGCUGGGAGGUCAAUCCUCUCCAUCUUCCAGCAAUAUUACAAAGAUUGGAAAGGGAAAUUCGUGAAGGUGUGCGCCAACGACCAGGAUCCUUCCCUGCUCGACGACUUCCCCUAGUACUGGGUACACAAGGGGAACAAAGACGCCAAAGAGAGCUUUAGGAGGCCCAGAAGUCCCGACAACAUGGGCGAGCUAGACAAGGAUCUAUGCCUUUUCUGGAAGAAAGUAGCAGCCGCCAACAUCACCUUUCCCACCUCCGCAAUAAUCUCCUUCGAGUUCCUCGAGGACCAACUCGAAGCUCACAUAGGUUAGCACUUACCUCGACAUUUAGGUUUUCGUCUUGUGUUGGAACUGAUUGCACAUCUCUGUUAUCUACCAUCGAGCGUCCUGCUUGUUGCGCACUGGACUUGGUUUUUAAUUCAUGCGCCAUUUGUUUGCAUCAUUCGCACACGUACUCAUAUAUUUUGCUCUUGCUUUGUGCUUACUUGUAUAUUUUUACCCUGUGCAGACCUCAUGUUGGGCAAAGGCAAACUAGUUGAACUGAGGGCGCUCGCCCGAACUCAUAAGUUGGUGACGGGUUCCCAAACCGUGCCCAACUCGGUGGUGGAGAUCGUCGCUGCCCAGGGUAGAUUGCCUCCUCAAGGCCCAGCUCCUCCAGAGACACUGCCCGCCCCCCAACGAAAAAAGCUCAUCUUAAGGAAACCAAAGAGGAAAACUCCUCAAGUGGUUCAAGAAGAUGAGGAUGAGGAUGAUGAGGCGACUGAGGACGGCCUUGUCACCAAAAGGAAAAGGGUGGCACCUUCUUCACCACCCGCUCUCCCAACACCAACACCGCCCUCUCUCCUAGCUCCAGCACCGCCCUCUCCCCCAGCUCCAACACCGCCGGUCCAAGCAACACCCUUGGCAGUCGCGCUUCCUGCGGUUGAAGGCAACAAGCCCAACUUCAUGGAGAACCCUCCUAGCGCCUCCACGCCGUUCGUAUCUGCUGGAGAGGGUCCUCCUUCAACUGCCUCAAUUGCUGAAGCCGCACCAGGUGGGGAUGAAGGCGCUCACAACUCGCCGAUACUCAUAACCGAGUCCCCCACUUCACCACCACGCCAGGAAGCCCCCCUUGCUCAACCAAUUCAAGAGGGUGGUGGUGAGAGUCAGCACCAGGCUCCUUUAGCGCCUCCACCAGCAGCAGCUGCAAGCCUUCCCCCCUUGGUCAAAGAAGUCUGGGGGCCUUUCACAGCUAAGCUAAAGAUGAUGGCAGAGGACCUUCCCUCAAUCAUAACAAAGGCUGUGAAGAGCUCCAACAAAAAGCUUCAGGACGAGAUCUCCACACUCCAGGAGGAGAAUCGCCUGAUAAGGAUCGAGGCGGAAAAGCUGUCUUGCAACCUGAUGAUGGCAGAGAUCGAUCACUCAAGGGUGGAGGACGCCAUGAGUGCCGAGUUGAAGGUUACGCGCAAGGAGGCCUCCGAUCUGCACCAGAAACUGCACCUCCUACAGGCUUAAGAUGGCCAACUUGGAGGCAUCGAUGAAAGCGGAUGCAGCCAAGGUAGAGAACCUUGAAAAGAGGUCGGCUGAUCGGGAGGUUAUCCUUGGAAAGCUCAAGAAGGAGAGGGACGACGCCGUGGACGAGCUCGCCAAGGCUCGAGAGGAAAACGAGAAAAUUGUUGCAGAGCUGGCCCAGGCGCGGGGAGAAGGCAAGAAGGUUGCUGACGACCUUGCUCAGGCUCGUGGGGAAACUGAAGAACUGAAGAAGCGAGCUGACGAGCUGAAGCAGCAAACCGAGGGGCUCAAACAACAAAACGAAGAGCUCGAACUAAGCUCCGCCCAAGUCCUUGCCGCCGGAUUCGACGCCGCCCUGGAGCAAGUCGCCUGCCAGUACCCCGAGCUCGACCUUUCCAUGGUGUCGAUAUGUAAUGAAGUGGUGGAUGGGAAGAUCGUGCCUUCUGAAGAUUAGUCGUCUCCCUCCAUCACUUAUUCCCUGGGAAUUAAUGCUUGUUCCUUUUUGCACAAACUUUACCUGUAAUAACUUUUUCUUUUCUUCUUAUGCAUUCGAACUGAUACCACCUUUAUUAUAAAUUCUCCCGCUUCCGCACAUGGUCUCUCUGUUUACUUUGCUUUUCCUUGUAGAAACCGCUUAAACAAAUUAACAUAGCGAUUAUGCGGGCUCAAUCGUUUACUUACUGCUUCAAACUCGAGCAAACUAUCAACUUUCAAACGAUGGCAUUUUAAUAACUUGUGAACUUAAGGCAACGAACUUCAGCGUGAAACUACUUACUAAACAACAAGCUUCGAUCCAACUGAUAGUUUAAGAUAUAGUUCACCUGAUCUGCUCCAUCGAAAUGGGCCCUUACUCUUGCCAUCACCUGAACUUCUUCUGAUCGCCAUAGGGUCCCGGCGAUGUAAGCUUCCUUUUGCCUUCAUAACUUGGCUAUUGUUCCCUCAUCUGGGGGUAGAGGCGCCUUUCGAAUCCUUCUCUACCUCCCUGAGUUUCAGAACAAUAAGCCGGAUAGCUAGGCGUUCUCUUUGAACCUACCUUAGCCAUCCUUUAAACUUCUUCCACCCUCCACACCGUACCUGAACUCGUUCGAGACGAGAAGGAUUUUAUCUUGCCUGAACUCGCUCGACGGCGAGUAGGUCUUUAUCUUGCCUGAACUCGCUCGACGGCGAGAAGGUCUUUAUCUUGCCUGAACUCGCUCGACGGCGAGAAGGUCUUUAUCUUGCCUGAACUCGCUCGACGGCGAGAAGGUCUUUAUCUGGUGCCUCUACUUUGCCCAGGGAUUACAUCUCCUCUUCCCUGGAUGCACUGAGGACUUUUAACUUGUUCUCGCCUGCACUCGCACAAAGUCGAGGAGGACUUUAAUCUCAUUCUCGCCUCAGGACGCGCGAGGGCGUUGAGGUCUUUUAAACAUUGUUGGUGCCUCCGAUCGCCGAAAGACGAUGAGGACUUUUAACUUUAACUGAUGCCGCCAAUCGCCGAAAAGCGAUGGGGACUUUAAAACUUUUAGAAAGCAUGCAGCAUAUCUUCAAACAUGCCUUAAAUCACAUACGAGUGUCAAGGUCUUUUUCUAAAACUUUCGAAACAACAAGCAUGCAAUCUUAGAAACUUUAAACUUUGAAAACUCUUCUUUAUUGGGUGGCCUCAUUAAAAACCCUCCUUAGGGAAAAAAGAGUGCCCCCUUCAAACUGUUUUAACAGAAAGCUUGCAAAUCUCUUCGUGUUUGUUUUUACUUACAAAGUUUCAACUGUAAUAUAACUUGAGGUGUGUGGCGUUCCAAGUGCGAGGAAUCGCCCCUCCUUCCAAUGUUUCUAAGCGGUAGGCGCCGUUCCCGAGCGCCUCGGUUAUUCUGAACGGUCUCGUCCACUUAGGCGACAACUUGUUUUCCAUCUCGUACUGGUGGGUCUUCCUCAUCACCAAGUCGCCUUCUUUAAACUGCCUUGGCAUCACCUUCGAGUUAUACCUUCGUUCAAUCCUCCUUUUCACUGCCUCGGCUUUUACUCUCGCCUCCUCCCUGACCUCAUCCAGUAAAUCCAGAUUCAACCUUCUUUCCUCAUUCGAGUCUUCCGCUACAAAGUUCUGGAAUCUCGGCGAGCUCUCCUGGAUUUCCACUGGAAUCAUCGCGUCGCAUCCAUAGACCAAGCUAAACGGGGUCUCAUGGGUUCCUGGCUGCUCGGUGGUGUGGUAUGCCCAAACUAUGUGGGGUACCUCCUCAGCCCACAAUCCCUUGGCUUUCUCCAGCCUCCUCUUCAAGCCUCUUAGCAACACCCGAUUGGCGGACUCUACUUGGCCAUUUGUCUGAGGGUGCUCGACGGAUGCAAAUACUUGUUGAAUUCCCACCUCUUCGCACAGCCUCUUCGACAGAUGACUUGCAAACUGAGUCCCGUUGUCUGACACCAGGCACUUAGGCACACCAAACCGGCACACGAUGUUCUUCCACACAAAGCUCUCGAUCUUGUGUGCGGUGAUCUGGGCUACUGGUUCUGCUUCGAUCCACUUGGUGAAAUAUUCAAUUGCCACCACCAAGUACUUCAUCUGCCUGAUCGCCAAUGGGAAAGGUCCCAGGAUGUCGAUUCCUCACGUAUGAAACGGCCAAGGGUUGUAAAUCGACUUUAACUCUUCUGGCGGCGCUUUGUGCCAAUCGGCGUGCUGCUGACAUUGCUUGCAACACUGUGCAUACCUCUUGCAGNNNNNNNNNNNNNNNNNNNNNNNNNNNNNNNNNNNNNNNNNNNNNNNNNNNNNNNNNNNNNNNNNNNNNNNNNNNNNNNNNNNNNNNNNNNNNNNNNNNNUGUUGGCCAGUAGUAACCUGCACGGAGGGUUCUUGCGGCCAGAGCUCGACCCCCGACGUGACUUCCGCAUAUCCCUUCAUGAAGCUCGGCCAUAAUUCUUGUACAUUUCUCUCCGUGCACACAUUCCAGGAGUGGGUGUGUGAACCCAAACCUAUACAACUCGCCAUCAAUCAUUGUGAACUUGUUGGAGUUCUUCUUUAUCUUCCUAGCCUCCGUCGGAUCCAGCGGGAGAAGGCCAUCUGCCAAGCAUCGCUGGUAUUGUGUUAUCCAUGUGUCUGGCUCAUGCGUAGCGCAGACCUGCGUCAUGUUCACCCUCUCCCCCCGACAUGCUCUUAUUCUCGGCGAUCUCAAGGUUUCCUGAGUCAAAGACCUGUGACUCCUCACCGCUUUCUCCGUCGACUUGCUUAUUUGAAGGACCAUGUGGUCUGCCACAAAUGCUCUAGGCGUCUUCAGAGUUUCUUGGAUCACCGUCCUCUGCCUACCCCCUUCGCCCGAACUGGCGAGCUUAGCUAGCAAGUCUGCUCGGGCAUUCUGCUCUCUGGGCACAUGCACCACUUCAAAGGAGACAAAGGAAACCUUCAAUUCCUGCACGUACGCUAAGUAAGCCGCCAUUUGUGGAUCCUUGGCCUGGAACUCGCCUGUUACUUGUCCCGUGACCAACAGCGAGUCACUCUUAGCCAUCAGCACCCUAGCUCCCAUCUCCUUGGCCAGCAAGAUUCCGGCGAUCAGCGCCUCAUAUUUUGCUUGAUUGUUGUUGGCUUUGAAGGCAAACCUCAGGGACUGUUCAAUCAGCACACUGUUGGGCCCUUCCAGGAUGACUCCAGCACCGCUACCCUGCUGGUUCGACGAUCCGUCCACCGAAAGCACCCAACGAAAACCAUCCCCUUCAACUCGUGCUGCCUCCGACGAGAGUUCGACCACGAAAUCGGCGAAAACAUGCCCCUUGAUCGGUCCUCGGGGUUCAUACUUGAUGUCGAACUUCGAUAGCUCCACUGCCCAUUUCACCAUCCUUCCAGCUACAUCAGGCUUCUUCAAGACUUUCUGGAUGGGCAAGUCGGUCAUCACCAGUAUUGUAAAGCUGUGAAAAUAGUGGUGCAACCUCCUCGCCGAAAACACCACAGCCAGUGCAGCUUUCUCCAAGGCCUGAUACCUCACCUCCGGGCCAUGGAACACCUUGUUGACGAAAUAAAUAGGCUUCUGAGCCUGGUCUUGGGCGAGCACCGCACUCACCGCCCUCUCAGUCACAGCAAAAUACAAUAUGAGAGGGGUCCCCACCAACGGUUUGCACAAAACCGGCGGGCUCGCCAGGUACUCUUUAAGCUUGAUGAAGGCCUCUUCACACUCCCUCGUCCAGGCAAACUUAUUGUUUCGCCUUAAACACUGGAAGUACGGAUGGCCUUUCUCCCCGCUAGCCGACACGAAACGAGACAGGGCGGCCAUCCGACCUGUAAGCUGCUGCACCUCCUUCACAGUAGCCGGACUCCUCAUCGCCAAGAUGGCAGCACACUUAUCAGGAUUUGCCUCUAUUCCUCUUUCAGUUAAGAGGAAUCCCAAGAACUUCCCUGCCUCCACGCCAAAAAUGCACUUCUCGGGAUUCAGCUUUAACCUGAACUUGGCAAUUGUGGUGAACAAUUCCUCCAGGUCCGCAACGUGCUUGCUCGUUUCCGGCGAGGUCACGACCAUAUCAUCCACAUACGCUUGCACAUUCCUUCCCAUCAUUGGUGCAAGUACCCUAUCCAUCAAUCUUUGGUACGUGGCCCCCGCGUUCUUCAGCCCAAAGGGCAUCACUUUGUAGCAGUAGCACGAUCUUUCGGUCAUGAAGGCGGUCUUCUCUUCGUCCAUAUGAUGCAUUUUUAUCUAGCUGUACCCCGAGAAGGCGUCCAGAAAACUCAACAACUUACACCCUGCAGCACUGUCGACCAGGGCAUCUAUGCUUGGCAAAGGAUACGAGUCCUUUGGGCAAGCCUUGUUCAGAUCAGUGAAGUCGACACACAUGCGCCACUUCCCAUUGCUUUUCUUCACCAGCACGACAUUGGCCAACCACUCAGGGUACUAAACUUCCCUGAUAUGGCCUGCGGCGAGGAGCUUCUGUGUUUCAUCCCUGAUCGCCUGCCUCCUCUCCUCGUUAAACUUCCUUCUUCUCUACCGCACUGGUCUGACCUGGUUGUCCAUUGCUAGGCGAUGGCACAAGAAGUCUGGGUCGAUUCCCGGCAUGUUUGAAGCAGACCAUGCGAAAGCAUUCAGAUGCCGCUCUAUCACCUUGGCGAUCUGGUCUUGGAGUUCAGCCUCCAAAGAUCUUCCCAGCUUGAAGACUUUUCCCCCGAUCUCCCUCUCGAGCCACUCCUCGACGGGUUUGGGUCGGGUUUCCCUGGCGAUCACCGCCUUGGCGAUUCCCAGCUCCCUCGCUUCCUCUGGGCGAUUCCUCACCUCUUCUUCCCGAUCGGCGUUCUCCUCCCUUGCUUCAGCAUCUACCAUGACGACGUCGCUACCGGCGGUAGCCUCCAGCUCCGUCGACCUGGGCUUCACACCGGGAGGCGGGGUGGUAGUGAUGUAACUUACUGACCUCUUAUUUUUCACACUAUUCUCAUAGCACUUCUUCGCUUCCUUCUGGUCAGAUUUGAUGGUGAUCACCACCCCCUCCAUAGACGGCAACUUCACCUUCAUGUGCCUGGUCGAGGACAUAGCUCCUAUUCUGUUGAGUGUUGGUCUUCCCAACAGAAUGUUAUAUGCUGAGGGAGCAUUCACGACGAGGUACUUGAUUUUCUCCGUCCUCGAGCCCGCCACAUCUGUGAAUGUAGUUCUUAACUCGAUGUACCCCCUAACCUCCACCUGGUCACCAGCGAAACCGUAUAAGCACCCUCCAUAGGGCCUCAGCUAGUCAAGGGUAAUUGCAGCUGUGUGAAAGUCGGCCAGAACAUCACAUCUGCCGAGCUUCCUUGUUCCACCAGUACCCUGUGGACCUUCCUCCCCGCUGUGACGAGCAAGAUAACUAUGGGAUUGUUGUUAUGAGGCAACGUCCCUGAGAUCUUCUCUUGUGAACGUGAUGUCCACAUCUGGCGAGUGGUCCUCGAACAUGUCCACCGUCAUCACAAACCUUGCAUACUUCUUCCUCUGUGAUGCGGUGCAUCCACCACCUGAGAAACCUCCUGCGAUGGUAUGGAUCUCUCCAUGAGUGGGCAUCUCGUGCUGCUGAGCCUCACCACCCGCCGGCUGGGAGCUCGACGCGCCCCCCGUCCUCCUGUCCAACAGGUAAUCAUUCAGGAAACCGCUCUUGACCAGGUCGUCGAGCUGGUAUCCGAGUGCCAAACAUGAGUCGACGGGGUGACCAAAACUCUGGUGGAAUUCGCACCAGGCGUCUGGUUUUGGUCCUAACACCUUGUCGCCCACUUUCUCGGGUGCCUUGAGCUUGGCUGUUAUGUUGGGGAUGGCGAUCAGGUCCGCCAACCCCAUGACAAACUUAUGCUUUGGCGGGGCGAUUGUACUCCCUGAGGCGCCCUGGGCCCCUGCCCUUGUUUUUCCUUGGAUCAUAAGGAUGGCGAGUCCUUUGAUCCCUCUUGGCCGCCGCUGUCUCCAGCACCCUCUGUGGUUGGAUCCUGGUCUGGGCACAUGGCCUAGCGGGGGCCACGCUCCCUCUCUUCUCGGCGACCUCACUCUCAUCGACGAUGUGGGCCACCGCAAGUCACCUAACCUCAGCAAACGUGGCGGGGUGAGCCCUGAUCAGAGCCUCACAGAAAGGUCCCGGCAGCACGCCCUUUUUGAAGGCGUAUACCAGCAUCUCCUCGUCUUUCGCAGGCGAGCGGACCAUCUGUGCUCCAAAACGAUUCAGAUAGUCCCUGAGGGACUCUCCCUGGUAUUGCCUUAUGUCGAACAGGUCGUAAGACACCCUAGGUGGCGCUUUGUUCACAAUGUACUGCUCGACGAAAAUCUUCGAAAACUGUUGGAAAUUGGUUAUGUGACCUGUAGGCAGGCUCACAAACCAUUCCAGCGCUGUUCCCUGAAGCGUGCUCACAAACAUUUUGCAAUACAUAGCAUCCGAGCCUCCUGACAGCAUCAUCUGCGUGUGGAACGUGGUGAGAUGUGCCUCAGGAUCCUCCACGCCGGUGAAAGUAGCCUUCACGGGUACCACGCUCGCAGGGAUAGGCGUGUAUGUGAUCGCCUGAGCGAAUGGCAUAGGGAAAACGCGAGGUGGCGACGACGAUGCGACCUUCGUAGAAACCUGCAACUUCACCUCAGAUCCUCCACUUCUUCAACAGGCCCUCGAUUCCCUAACCAAAAACGCAAUCAAACAGAAACACACCGAACGGCCGAUUGAACACCGCGCGAACGGCAAGAAACUCCAAGAAAAACGAUCGAAAGCUUGAACGGAUGGUGGAAAACCUCACUCCACCGAUUAAAACUUCGAACAACGGUAGAAACCUCGAAUUCACCGGACAAGACUCACACGAGCGGUGAAAAACACGAGUUUACCGAACAACAUCUUGAACGAACGGCGGAAAAUGGUUACACCAGCACGCAACCACACAGAAACUACCGAAACUUCAAGAACUCACGUUGCGAAAGGGGACAGGUUUUACACGGCCCCACGGUGGGCGCCUGAUGAUCCUUCCUGUUGACCAGAACGCUGGAGCCUUGCCUCGUCAAAUCUGGAUCGACUUUGCACCGUGCUAGCUUCCGUCUUUCGCCUUGAUUCACCUCAAGAACCUGCAAAAGACAGAACGGCACCGCUGCGGCCGAUCACGCUCCGACGUCCAAGUCAGCGACUGAACCACCAAAAUACUAAGAGAAAACUAAGAACUUCAGGAACCGUGCAAUAUUCUCUCUCAGUGUAAUCCAGUUCUCGCGAGCGUAAAAGAAGUAUUCUAAAAUGCGCGUACCUCAGAAGUUCGUUAGGAUUCCUUAUAUACCUGUGCAUUUUCUCUCUCCUGACAGUUACACAUCUGGACACGUGGCUCGUAUCCAGCUGUACACGUGUCACCAUCUGGAGCAUCCUUGACUUGAGCGUCGCCUCUUACUCUUCAGGCUUUUCGACUAAGUUACUUAUGCAGGAAGCAAUUCAGCGUAUAACUGCCUAGGAGCGCGAUAUCUUCUGCGUGGCGAGUACGGGUGUCUUCAUAUACACCUUCCCUGUGGUCUCGCUGGCUGCCAUUAUAUUCUACUUUACUUACUUCACUGUGCAUGCUCGGGUAAGCUGUUCCCCGACCUCAACCUCUGGCCAGCUAGGGAAUGACCAUCUGACGACUUCAUCCUUUGCUUCAAAAGCCUGGAACAAGCUUUCUUGAUCCUUCGACGAUGUCAUCCUCUCGGCGAUCUCCGAUCGUCUUGUCGCCUAGGUUCGCACCCGGCGACUACAACACAAACUUGGUGAUCGCCGUUUUAGGCAUGCUAGAGAUCGGGCACGCCAACUUAACGACUGGCGAUCACACGAGCCUCCCGACGUCCUUCCCUUCUACCAGCCCGGUGUCCCGUUCAACACGCCUAUACUAUUGCUUGCGGCAACGUCAUCAAUUCCGACUACCUGGGCGGUACAAGAGGAAUGUGGCAAGGUACACCCUUAUAGAUGGAAAGUUUUUUUGUCAUAGUUAUACCCAUCUCAUCCUCACUUGUGUAAGUGGGGAUCAGUGUGCUUGCAUCAUGGCAGAGUUCCAUGAAGGCAUUUGCGGAAGUCAUGUGGGAGGGAGAACUCUCUCGCUAAAGGUCGUCGAGCUGGGUAUUAUUGGCUAACUAUGAAGAGGAUUGUAUGAGACACGUACAAUAAUGCGAACAAUGUCAGAAGCAUGCUGAUUGGCAUCAUGCGCCACCUGAGGAGUUACAGUCAAUAUAUAGCCCCUGACCUUUCCAUACAUGGGGAAUAGACAUCUUAGGUCUUUUUCCUUUGUCAAUUCAUCAGAUGAAAGUACCUUGUGAUAGCCAUUAAGUACUUCACAAAGUGGAUAGAGGCUGAGCCAGUUGCACAAACCCACAAGGUGCAACACUUUGUGUGGAAAAACAUUGUUUGUUGUUUCGGGAUCCCUAGGCACUUGGUGUCUGAUAAUGGUACCUAGUUUGCAAGUCAGCAGUUAUGCAAGGUAUGCAUGGAGCUCGACAUCAAACAUGUAUUUGCAUCUGUGGAGCACCCUCAAAUGAAUGGCCAAGUCGAGUCUGCCAAUAGAGUCUUGCUCAAAGGUUUGAAGAGGAGGUUCCUCAAAUUUUGUGGGCUUAUCACACUACUUCUCAGUCAAUAAUCAAGGAGACACCUUUUAGUUUGGUAUAUGGGUCAGACGCCAUGAUACCAGUAGAGAUCCAAGAAAGCUUGCCUCAGUUCCAGAACUUCGUGAUAAAGGAGUCUAACCAAGGAAGGAAGGUGAACCUGGAUCUGCUAGACAAAAUGCAUGAACAAGAUCGCAUCAAUUCUGAAGCUUUAAAGAGAAGGAUGGAGGUGAAGCAAAAGACCAAUUUGAAGCCCCGACAGUUCCGAGUUAUCGACUUGGUGAUGCGAAAGGUGCACCCCUAUCAGCUGGAAAAUAAGUAGUGUCUAAAAUGGACUGGCCCAUUCCACGUGGUGGAGGUGCUUGGGAACAGAGCCUAUGGGCUUGAAACCCUUGAAGGGGGAGCUAUACCUCGAACAUGGAAUGGGGCGAACCUUAAGUUUUAUUUCAGUUAAGAUAUUUUGUUAAUGUUUUCUUUAUGAACGAUGUAGUGAUUAAGGGGACACACUUUUUCCCUUAAGAGGGUUUUUUAACGAGGUCACCUAAUGAAAAUUUGUUCUUGAAAGAUGAUGCAUUAGAGUUUUUUGUUUGUUACAUGAUAAGGCGACUUGCCGGUGAGAUUAUCUGAGUAAGCGUUAUGUGUGUUACUAAUUAUGUAGUGCCUGACGAGGCGACUUUUCCUUGGUAAGAUUCCAAGUCUAGGUGUUUCGAAGUUCAUUGUGAUUCAGUUGGGGCGACCUUUCCUUGGUAAGAUUCUGAGUUCAGGCGCCCCGAAUCACAAUUAGUUGUAACUAAGAUUUUUUAGUUAAAAGCAGAUAAGACGACCUCACUCAGUUAGAAUACUUGAGUAGACGUUCUAUGGAAAAAUUGGUCAUUUAUAGGAAGGUAAUACGACCUACCUCGGUGUUGGUAAGACCACCCGAGCUCGGGAGCUCUGUAGAUGAAGGCUGAGACUAAGAUUGUCUAAGAAGUCGGGGUAGUCCGUCGAGAGGGCAAUCAUCCGAGUUCGAACACCCUAUGGGGUAGUAAUACACCGCGAAAGAAAUUGUUUAAGAGUUGACUUGGUGUGUAAGCCAACACCCGAUUUAGAUGCUCUAAACAAAAGUAAUUUUUUAGUAGUUGACUUGGUGUGUAAGCCAACACCCGAGUUAGAUACUCUAAACAAGGGUAAUUGUUUAGGAGUUGACUUGGCGUGUGGGCCGACACCCAAGUUAACUACUCCAAACCAAUGUGAUUGUUUAAGGAGUUAACUUGGCGUGUAAGCCAACACCCAAGUCAAAAGCUCCAAGAUUAUAAACAAAUCAUUCUUAGUGUAGGGGAAAAAGGAUCAAGCUUGUAAAAAAUGCGAGCCUUUGAGUAUUGAAAGCCCUGCUUAGCAAGGUUAAAGUAUGUGAUCCUUAUUUAAGUAGUUGAAGGGCACUCAUGUGAGUUAAGAGGUUUUAUGCGGCCAGAGGGUAUGGAUCCUCCAACGAUUAGUUUGUCAAAGCAUUACGAUUUUUCGUGCUUGAUUGAGGUAUUAAGUUUGUUGUCUUUUUAGCUUAAGUGGGUUAGCAUAGGUGUAAAUUGGCUCGGGGCGAUAUCCAGACAACCGGGCCAGGGCUAAUGUCGAGCCAAGCAGACCCAGACCGAUGUCGAGCCAAGCAAGUCCAGGUCCAGGUCGAUGACCAGCCGAGCAGGUCCAAGUCCAGGUCGAUGUCGAUGUCGAGUUGAGCAGGCACGGGCGAAUGUCGAGCCGAGCGGGCCCAGGCUGAUGUCGAGUAGAGCGAGCCCGAGCCGAUCUCGAACCGAGCGGGUCCUGGCCGAUGUCGAGUCGUCUGGGCCCCGGGUUGAUGUCGAAUCGUCCGAGCUUGGGCCGAUGUCAAGUCGUCCGGGCCCAGGCCGAUGUUGAUUCGUUUGAACCCGGGUCGAUGUCAAGUCAUCCGGGCCCGAGCCGAUGUCGAGUCGUCCAGGCCAGGGCAGAUGUCGAGUUGAGAGGGCUGGAGCCGAUGUUGAGCAGAACGGUUCAGGGCUGAUGUCGAGCCGAGCGGUCCCGGGCCGAUGUAGAGCUGAGCGGUAUCGGGCCGAUGUCGAGCCAAGCGGGCCCGGGCCGAUGUCGAGUCGUGCAGGCCCGAGCCGAUGUUGAGUCGUUUGGGCCCGAGCUUAAUUCAAGUCGUCUAAGACCGGGCUGAUGUCAAGUUGUCCCGGCCCAGACCGUUGUCGAGUCGUCCGGGUCCGGACCGAUGUCGAGUCGUCCGGGCCUGGACCGAGUCGUUUAGGCCCGAGUCGAUGUUGAGUCGUUCGGCCUGGACUGAUAUCGAGUCGUCCGGGCCCGACCCGAUGUCGAGUCGUCCGGGCCCGGGCAGAUGUCGAGUUGAGAGGGCUGGAGCCGAUGUUGAGCAGAGCGGUCCCGGGCUGAUGUUGAGCCGAGCAGUCCCGGGUCGAUGUCAAGCCAAGCAGGCCCGGGCCGAUGUCGAGUCGUGCAGGCCCGGGCCUAAUUCAAGUCGUCUAAGACCGGGCCGAUGUCAAGUCGUCCAGGCCCAGACCGUUGUCGAGUCGUCCGGGUCCGGACCGAUGUCGAGUCGUCCGGGCCUGCACCGAGUCGUUUAGGCCCGGGUUGAUGUUGAGUUGUCCGGCCUGGACCGAUGUCGAGUCGUCCAGGCUCGGACCGAUAUCGAGUCAUCUGGGCCCGGGUCGAUGUCGAGUCGUCUGGGCUUGGGCCGAUGUCGAGCCAUCUAGGUCUGGGCCGAUGUAGAGUCGAGUUGGUGUACGUCUAGGUUGAGUCGGCUUAGUCCUAAUUCAAGCCAAGUUAGUUUGUGUCCAUAUCAAAAUGGAUUUAAAGUAAUUGACAAAGUGGAUUUAAUCUAGAUUUAAUCCACUUUAAAUGGAUUUUAAAAAAAUCCAAAUAUAUUUGAUCUAGUUAAACUGGAUAUGGAUUUUAAAUCCAAUCCAUUUAUUUGGAUUUGGAUUGGAUCUAGAUUGGAUUUUAAAAAAUCCAAUCCAUGACCACCCCUAAUCACAACAGAUAAAAUAUCUCUUUAUCUUUUAUCUCUGGAAUAAUAUCACAAUAGAUAAAAUAUCUCUUUAUCUUUUAUCUUUGGAAUAAUAUGACAACAGAUAAAAUAUCUCAUUAUCUUUUAUCUCUGGAAUAAUAUCACAACAGAUAAAAUAUCUCUUUAUCUUUUAUCUCUAGAAUAAUAUCACAAUAAAUUAUAUCUCUGUCUUUUAUCUCUAGAAUAAUAUCACAACAAAUAAAAUAUCUCUCUAUCUUUUAUCUCUAAAAUAAUAUCACAAUAAAAUAUCUCUCUCUCUUUUAUCUCUGGAAUAAUAUCGCAACAGAUAAAAUAUUCCUUUAUCUUUUAUCUUCAUAAUAAUAUCACAAUUGAGAAAAUAUUCCUUGACCUUUUAUGUUCAUAAUAAUAUCACCACAAAUAAAAUAUUUCUUUAUCUUUGUUACCUUUUCUGGGUUGACCAACAUCUGAGCUGAUCUUACGACUCACCUCUUGUGCCCAAACACCGAGAUGACCUUCCCCAAACACUUGGAUCGAGAUGGCGAGCUCUCCUGCAUGUUACACAUGCCCCCCGUCUUACCUGCCACUAGGUAAUCAUUUACUCACGGGGCGCCUAUACUCGAGUGGUAGUAUUGGCACCGAGCUAGGUCGACUUACCAUGUGCCAAUUCAAACUAAUCAAUAGAGCUAAAUGCAUCAUCUUCUAAGAACAAAUUUAUCACACAUCGUUAAAAAAAGAAAGCAUUAAGCAAGAAUAUCUUAGCUGAAAGACAACUCGAGGUUUGCCACAUUCCACGCUCGAGGAAUGGCCUCAACUGGUUGGCCUUGGCUUCUUCGUCUACAUAUUAGAGUAGACUUUCAUGGUCUCCAUGAUUUGCUGCAAGGUGGGGUCCUUGGUCCCUUCACAUCCCAGUGGACCUUGCCUCGUGUUCCUCAUUAUGUCACAAACUCAAACACAACUGUGGAUGGGAUAAGGUUUUAUCGAACCCUACGAUGGGCGUCAAAUGUUCUUGCCGGUUAACUUGGUUGCCGGUUGACUUUGAUGACCGGUUCAGGCCCCGCCUGUCUCCUCUGGAAUUUGCACUUCCCUUGGUUGAUGAAUGCUUUACCUGUAGAGACAAAAGGGCACCCUUACGGCCGUUUGCACUCCGACGCUCAAGUCAGUAAGGGCUAAAGAAUAAUAAGUAUGUAAAACAGUUUUAGUCUUAGAAACGACGUACCUUUACCAGGGAUCUUAACUCCCUUUUAUAGACUGCUUUUAGGUUACCUUAUUGUAACAACCCCUCUCUCACCAGAGCCUUAUCUCUAGUGAAAUUAGGUUUGCUGGAAGGACAUUCUAUUACGUUGUUACACAAUCUUAGAGCACAUAAUCUUCCUCUUUGGAGUGCACAAUCUUAACAACAUGGUCGCCAGGGUACCAACUCAUGUACCAGCAUUACGAGGUCCAUCUGUUACUGUAGGUGCCCUAGUCCUUACCUAUCAUGCAUGCAACUUUCCCCUGAAAACCCUAGCGCUCUUGGGCCUUGUCGUCUUCAGGGGAUAUUUACUUAUGUUAGACCCGGAUGUACUAUACACACCAUAUACACUUCUCUUGUUGACUAGGCUUUUCAUUUAUACACGACUUUCAACACACGCAUCUCUGGGGGCCCACUUACGUGGUCCACUAUCUCGAUCAGAUCACCGAGCCGACUUGUUCCACAGGUGCCGAUGUCUGAUGCCUGAUGACGAUGUCCGAUGUUUGGUCCAGUACACAGAUCUUUCUUGUCAAUCCGAGCCAACAUGCUAUCUUCGAAAGGGGAUAAGAGGAAAUUAGCAACAAUAAAAAAAGUCAACACCAUCGAGAGUAAAGAGUGAAAAGUACCGAUGUAAGCUUUUAGAGCCCUUGGGGCGAACUCUUUGCUUAUGAGAGUGGUAGUGUCGAAUACCACCUUUAAGCUCGAGAGGAAUUGACAGACCUUCUGGUCACGCUAGGGCAUAUCUUCCGGGCGUCGAGAACCUUGGAAGCGUGGCUUCUUGGUCCAGUACAGAGGAAACCCAACCAAGAGAGUUGGAUCCCUCUUAUUAGAUCGUACCUUUAAGAAUUUACCUUUAAAGCCCUUGUAGGAUUGUUGGAAGAACGAUAACAAUGCUCUCCCAGCCACCCCGUUGAAAGACACCCAAAGUUGGCGGCCUAAGUGUUUGGCCUCAAAGAAAUACAAAAAGACUUCCAUAAAUGGCAAAAGGCCAAACUGCGUGCAAAGAAUGCAGAAACCCCGAACAAAUGGCCAGCUAUUUGGGCAGAGGCCAUGUUGAUCUCAGUAAGGAGCUCUUUCUCAAAGUUGAACAGGGGAAGAUGAAGAAGGAUUCUUUUGAAUACGGUGGCAUAGAAGUAGUAAAAGGGACCUUCAGGGUCCGAUGACUCAUCGCAGUAGACGAGUUCAUCUUCUCUACAUGGGAUUAACCUAAUGGCUCUAUAUUUCUCUUUUCCAAAAAAACAUUUAUUUUUUCUAAGGGCCACUAUUAGCUCACGAGAGGGGUAGAUAGAGACCAAUUCUAAUAGGUUUUGGGGUGCCCAGGGGUAUAAAGCUUUGUAAUUCAUUGCUUGAAUAUAUAAAAAUAAAAACACAAGCAAAGUACAAACACACAUUCAGACAAGACAAACCACAUGUAACAAUACAUUUCAAAUUCAAGCAAAGCAAUGUAACUAACAAAUAUAACAAUCAGUAUAAGUAGGAAAUGGUAAAUUCAGAAGAAUCCCCAACUCAGGAAAUAUGGUCGCAAUGAAUACUCUCAACUGAUAAGGAUGCAAAUACAUAAUAAUUGAUUUGAGCGAGAGGAGGUACCUUGUUUCAAGGAGCGAUUGAGGAUGAGGGAGUUUCCCAGGUUCGCGAAGGGGGUGGAGUGAGAAGGAGAAAAACACAAAGAGUUUGCAAAGAUUAGAGAAAUGGAACAAUGAAGAGUAGCAGGUAUCUAAACGUUAACAUAAUGAUUAUGGGAAUGGUAAGCGACAACACCUUUCCACUAUUGAUAAGAGCGCUACAUGUGCGUCCAUGAUUGAGUAUGUUGAAAUGUCACCUCAAAAACCCUUCGUACGUCGCGCUACACCUGCUCGUUGCGAGACUGUCACUAGAGCACUCGAAAAGCCUUUUUGCUUAGCCAAGCUAAACUCGAGCCAGAGGGGCUUGUGUACUGGACAGAGCGCUCAGGGCUCAGUGCUCGGUGGUCGAAUCUCGGUGUAUAGCAUAUGCAAGUCAGCUCGGCUGUUGGGCUUGUAAAGGGGGUCGUGAGUUUGGUCGAGUCAUAUAGGUAAGCCCGUUGUGGCAUAACUAAAAUAAUAUUUUUAUACCUUAGUAUAAGGCUACUAGUAAAGGGUAUUUUUGAACCUAGGGGUACGAAUAGUACAUGUCGUGCCUAGGUCAAGUAAAUGUUUUUUUAAACUUGAGAACGUGUGUUCUAGGGCACAAAGUGGUUAAGUUGCAUGUGGGAUAAAAGAUAACGUUGCACCACGAGUAGGGUGCCCCCGUAAGCAGAAUAUUCCCCUGUUGUUGGCACAUAAGUUGGUGCCCUACUGGUAGGUGGUUGUUCUUUUAUUAUUUUAUGAUAUCUUUAGAGAUAAGAUUCAUUUCUGUUGCAACACUUGAGAGAAGGCGCCCAUCAACAUAAUGUUUUCCUGUUGAGUAUGCUUUCAGUUGAGAUUAGAUUCUCAUGAGGAAAACUGUUACAAGAGAUAAGCUAUAAAAGGGAGUUUGAGACCUCAGGUAAAUGUAUGUUGUUCCUGAGACUGAAACUGAAUACUUCUUGAAUUUUAGUAAGCCUUUUAUUGACUUGUUCGCCGGAGUGCCAUCAACAAGUAGGGUCCCCUCUGUUUCAACGGAGGUACGUUUCAGAGGUACAAGAGAUAUGAAAGAUUCCUAAAGAGACAGACGAAGCUAGAACUUGUCAACAGACGAGCAAGUCAACCGGCAAGAACAACAUCAUUAGAGUGUUGACAAGAGUUAGUUGAAUUUGAUUAACACAUGUUUGAUUUAGUUGAACCAUGUGCGAGAAUUGAUGAAGAAUUUAUCUAUGAGGAACUUAGAAGAACACCUACAUUUUUUACUUUUUAUAUUCUACUUUAUUUUUCUGCACAACUAUCUCAACCUGUUAUUUUAAUGGUUAUUGUUAACUUUUUUUUUUUAUUUGUAAAUAUAUUUUGAAUACUGAUACAGUAUCCCACUAAUGAAUUCUUAACCUAUCCUAAUUCAAAAUAUAAUCAUUCUAACUUUUACAUAAUUUUAUUCAAUGACCAUAUGCAAUAUAAAUUAAUAUCCUUUCAAGUGUAUUUAUGAAUAGAUAUUAAAAAUAUUAAAUAAUACUAAAAGCAUUCAAAUAUGUCAUUAAUUAGUUUGUGCUGUCAAUGACUUUAGAGCUAAUUAUCACAUAAUUGAUAAUUUAGUAUAGGAAAUAUUUUUCUAGUUUUUUAACACGUGAGCAUGUUUAAGUUCAAAACCAAGAUUACAAAUGUACAUUUAUUAUAACUUAUAAGAACGAAGUUGACCACUUGGAAAAUAAUAUAAAAUAAACUCCAUCAAUUAAGUGGUGUAGGUAAAACAAAAUGAUUUUAAGUAUUUCUAGAAAUUAUAUUAAACAGCAUAAAAUGGUUUAAAUAAUUCUAAAUUAAUGUGUAUUGAUAUUUCAAAAGUUAUUUAAUUUUGGAUAAAAUUGAGAAAAGGUGAUGGUGUGUUGUAACACAAAACUAGUUGUAAGAUGUAACCAAUGGGCGUGUGUCUGCGUCCCUUCAGUAUCAUCUCAUCCACAUAAUAUUAGUAUCAAUAUCUUUCCAAAAUAAAACAAAAUAAAAAAUAAAAACAAAAAGUAGAAAUGAUAGUGGGGAUUGCAUCAUAGUUCUACCCAACACUUUUGAUUUCACAGCUCUUCUUCUGGACCUGGGAUUCUCUCAUCCAUGGCCACCGUGCAUUUCCAAUCCCUAACCCUCACUCGCUCCUCCAGAGCCCCUUCCCUCACCUUCUCUCCUCCGGUUGCCGUCAUCGGCAGCCGCAUCUCUGCUUCGGUGCCACGAUGCUCCGGCCUCCGGCUCCGAUCCUCCGUUCGAACCGCUUUUUCGACUCGCGCCGCCUCGAGAACCGCUCCUCGCGGCGGAUGCGUGGUUUGCGAAGCACGAGAUACCGCCGUCGAAGGUUAGAUUUCGAUUUCGAUGCGAAGAUUUGUUGUUCAGGUUCUGUAGGAGUUUUGUAAUGUUGUUGUGGUUUGUCAAAUGUUCUGUGAAAUUUCUUGUGCGCUGUGUGGAUUUGGAAUGUUAAAAUCAUUGAAUUAUUCCAACGAUGAUGCUAAUUGUUUGAGCCUUUGAGCAUUUUGGUGAGUGAAGCUAAGAAAACACUAGAACAGUUUGGUAUUUGUUUUAUUUGAUAUUUUUUUGUAUUCUGAUUUUUAUUUGACGACUAAUAUUUUGUAGAUCUGGAUUCUAGUGCUUUGGAUUUUUUUCUUAUAGCUGUGCAUAGCUUGAAACGUUUCUUGCAUGAUUAUCUGUUUUGUGGUGAGAAAAAUGGAAUAGCUGGAAUUGUUUGAAGAGUUUCUCUUUGUAUAUACAUGUACCUGUGUUUUAUAACCUAACUAUAUCUCUAUUGGAAACAGGACUAAUUUUAUAGUGUUAGCGUAUCAUGCUUGUAGCCAUAAGUUUAGCAAACAAUCAGAACAGAAACUGCAUCAUCAUUUUACGUCACUCUCGCAGGCUGUUUCAUUUUCUUCUGGCAUGUUUCACAUCGACCCAUUACAUGUAAUGUAAGGUUAAAUAUUCGCUUGAAUGUAUCAUUAUAAGCAAUUCUUUCCCUCUUGAUAAUGUCUCUAGCCACCAAUCUUACGCUGAUAAGUUUUUAGAAUUCCAUUCUUUUGUUUGGAAAUGCAUUUACAACUGACCAGUCCCACAAGUCUAUGUUCAAACGAGGUGAAUUCAUCUCCUUGAUGGCGACUAACCAUUGAGUUUUCUCUUUACUUGCUAGAGUAGGCAGUAAGCUCUGGAUAUCCAUACCUUUUUCAAAGCUUUGAUUAUUCUCCUUGUUCUAAGACUGCCAAUACUAUAAUUAUGAUUAGCACCUCUGUCCUCAUCGUGUCUUACCCUUCUUCUACAAGAUCAUCUAUUUCAUCAUUCAGUAGAAAGUCAAAUGCUAUGUCUAUCUCUACCCCAAUCUCACAUUUUUUAAACUUUUGACUUGUAAGUCAUUUUAGUUUCAUUACAAUAUCCUGACAAAUGACGAUACAAUUCUUGAAUCCUGGCUCAAGACACCAUAAUGCACAUCUAUACGCAUUCUCUAUAUCAUAGAAACAUGCAUUUAACAACACAUGUGAAAGCUUCUAGCUUCGCUUGCCAUAUGUGCGUAUAGGCUACAAAGCCAAAUAUUCUCAUAUUAUCAUGCUUGGGGCAGUGCUUUGAUUAGAUUUCCUCAAGAGUUUUCAUAUCAAGCGUUGUUGAGGGACACGUUAAUCAGAUAGGUAUUAGUAGUGACAACUUAAGUCUACAACACCUUUGGAACUCUAGUUGGGUUCUCCACCAUGCUCUUCCAAAGUUUUCAAAUGUUUCAUCUUUAGCCUUAUGAGGGUAGACCCACCUUGAUAGAUUGUUUGAACCUAGUAGACCGUUUGGAUGAGUCUGUUUGCGUCUGGUGAAACAACUCUUGUUGAAGAGGGUUAUGAAUUAUUAGAGGACUUUGUAGUCUCGUUGAUGUUGUUGACUAUAAGUCCUUUUUUUUCAAAUUUUGUGGUGUUUUGAUUUGAUUUAUUGUUAUUUGAAUUUAUAGACAUGAUAUUAUUAUUAAUUAUGGUUGUCUUUCAUUAUCUUUGCAUUACAAUUAUAUUUCUGCUUAUUUUCUUUUAAAAUUAUCGAUAUGUAUCUAUUGUAUUAAUUUUUUUGUCUGCGAUCUGCCAUAACCCAUUAUGGCUUCCGUGUACAUAUUCAUAAAGGAUUUUUGGGGUCUCUAUUUGGUAACGCUGAUGAAGUUUAUGUUGACUGCAAUUGCAUAGAUGUAUGGAAUUUGUGCAAAAAAUUUCAAAUUGAUUAGAGGGAAUUUCUUUAUCUAUAAUGGUUAAUCUUAAUGUCAUUGGUAGAGAGAAACAAAGAAGCUGUUUUAGAAUAUUAGAGUCAAUUCGUAGUAAUAGAGGAGAAAUUUAUAGUUUAAUUCCAAUCUUCAGAUAAGGUUCUUUUCUUGUCUUAUCAGAAGAUGAGAUUAUAGCUAUUAGGUUCCUUUUUAUAUUUGUUCUUCUGCUCGAUAUGGCAAUGAUCAUGGUGUUAGAUUUCACCAUCAUUGAGAUAAUUGCAAGAGAACUAAAUUUAGUCAUGAAAGUGGUUUAGCUUUCUUCAGACAAAAUUGGGUUUGAAGCGUUCCACUGUUAUAGUUGUGAUGAAUUAUGAUAUCCUGCACUAAUAUAAAUUAAUCUAGUAGUUUUUGAAGCAUUAAGGAUUGAUGUUUUACAUUUUAGCAUCAUUACUCAUCAUUGCACUCUAUGUGAAGCGCAUGGGUCCUAAUUAUCUGCUGCUUUACAUUUCCAGAGUAUUGUUGCAUGUCUUGGUGAAAUAUUUACUAAAGUGAAACACUUUGUAUCAUUGAAUAUUGCAGUGUCGGCUAUUACUGACGCAAAUUGGGAAAAACUCGUGCUUGAAACCGAGUCUACUGUACUGGUUGAAUUCUGGGCUCCAUGGUGUGGUCCCUGCCGAAUGAUCCAUCCGAUAAUUGAUGAACUUGCCAAGGAAUAUUCUGGUAGGCUGAAGUGUUACAAACUCAAUACUGAUGAGAGCCCUUCAACUGCUAGCCGUUAUGGAAUUCGAAGUAUUCCCACUGUCAUUAUUUUCAAGAAUGGUGAGAAGAAAGAUACAGUUAUCGGAGCUGUGCCCAAGACAACAUUGACCUCAAGCAUAGAAAAAUUGCUGUGAGCAAAUGAAAAGCUAUUUUUCUCGUUAGCUUCCUCUCAUCUAAGCCAAAUAUAUCAGGUUGGGAUUAUUUGUUUCUUAAAUAACCAUUUAUGGUCCUGUAUAGUUAUGGAUGCAAACCAUAUUUUCUGAUUUCUUUAGAUAAUCAUAGUUAAGAAUGUGUUGCUGAAUUUGCAAUCUAUUAUAGCACAAUUUAAAUCUAUUUUACAUCUUGGCUCCUGUUUCUUCAGUUCUUAACCGUUCACUAAGUUGCUGAAGAUUGUGUGGUCAUGUGGGGCUAUGAAACAAAUUUAAAACCUUUGUGUUGCAUAAUUUCCAAAGCUCGACCUAAUCCAUGGUGAAUGAAAGUUCAAUAGUAACGUCCAUAUACUUUUACUUCUUCUCAGAAAGCAAUACCAUAAUUAAUGGUAGUUCCUUCCGUCUAGGUUGUGACUGAAAAAGAAAAUUGUAUUUUCUCCAAAGUGUGAAAUCUAUUUCAUUCAUGGGAUAACUGGAUGUGCCAAGAGAUACCAAUUGCUGCUUGGAGUGAGCGGUUAAACAUUCUAAGUCACAACAUUUAGGAGCAUAUGAUUCUUUUGUUGGUGGAUUUAAAGCGAACAGGAAUGAUUGAAAUCCAUGGAUAUAGGUUAGAUACGAAGAAUGUGGCAUGAGGGUAUGUUGCGCUAGUGAGUGCGCUUGAAAAUGAGAGAAAAUAUGGAAACUGAGAAGGAAGUUAAAACUUUUUUGGUGCUUCAAUACCAUACUAUAUUUAAAUUUAUUUUGAUUUGGGGUAUGUUUGGUAAAAGAGAAAAAAAGCAAAUAAGUAGAAAAAAAGGAUAAAUAAAUAAGAAAUAAAAUGAGAGAAAAAUUGUUUGGUUGAAGAAAAAUAAAUUAAAAAUUAUUUUAGAAACAAAAUGAAUAUUUUUUUAUUAUAUUGAAAUUUUAUUAUUGAUUUUUUUUACUAAUUACAUCAUUUUAUUACUUUCGUUAUUAAUAAUUUUUUAUGAUAGUCAUACUAAAUGGCGGGAGGAGGAAAGAGCUUAUGAAAAGCAUGAUAAAAGACUAAUUGGGUAAGGGGUAAAUUCUUCCUCUAGCUCUAGAGUUUCUUUUAACACUAUUUUUUAAAAUAUUAAAAUUUUUGAAACUAUGCAGUAGUACAGACAUGGAGAUACGUAAAAUCUUUAAAAUGUAGAACAUAGGACACGGAUCUAUAUAUUAUAUAAUUAUACGUAAAAUCUUUAAAAUGUAGAACAUAGGACACGGAUCUAUAUAUUAUAUAAUUAUAAAUUAUAUAAAUUAACAAUAAAGAUUUAUAUGGACAAAUAUGUUUCAGAUAUUUUAAAUUAUAAAUUGUAAAAUUUAGAAGGUAUUUUCGAAUCUAUUUGCAAUUAAAAAAGUUAAAUUGAACUUUUCAUAAAAGAUAUGGAAGUGCACCAAUAAGGCAUGGAGGUGCACGAAGAGAAGUAAAAAAAUGCAGAUAGAGCGGAAACACAACUUGAUUGAAACAAAAUGGAAAUGAUCAAUUAAGUUGGACCAACACUAUUUCUAUUUAAAAUUUUGUUGGCAAUUGCUUCCUGCAUUAUAUUAUAUCACUGCACCCAAUUCCAGUAAAAAAGACAAAAAAAUGUCUUUAAUGUAUUAUUUUUUAUAUUGCAGAUUUUCUUAUCUAGAAGGGCUUUUGAUUUUUGUUUUUGGAUUUUUAUUUCUGGAACAAAAAGCUAUUCCAAUCUACUUUUCUGAAUUGUAUUAUUUCCAAUUUCGGAUUUUCAUUUUCAAAAUAAAGAAUAUUUUUGAAAUUUUAAAAUUGUGUUGGGUGCAGGUUUAAAAAUAUUGGGUGUAGGAAGAAUUUGUCAAUUUUCUUUUCUUUUUGGAAUCUCAGGCAUGUUUAAUUAUAUUUUUCAAAAACUUAUUUACUCUUUUAAAAAAUAAUCAAUUUUUCCUUAUUUUUUUUCUUUCUUUCUUCUUAAAUGAAGACUUAGAUUGUGUUUAAUAUUCCAAUUAAUUAGGAAUAAUUUUUAUUUUGUGAUAUAAAAUGAAAACAUCGUAAUACAAAGGAUUAUUAACUUCUAUCUUUGAUAAUUUUUUACUAAAAAUAUGAUCCAAUAAAAUUAGUAUAUUUUUAUGAAACAUAAUUGGAAUCAUCUAUAAAUUGAGUCAAUCUAGUUUGGUUAAUUGAAUUUGUUAAGGUAGAUGAAUAGUUGGGUCUUUACCAAUAGUAAUACUAAAUUUUGAUUGCUUAAGAAUAUUGUUUCUAAGUGUGUAUAAAUAAAAACAAGUUUUUACACUAACAAGACAAACUUAUACAAAGAUUAUUAACAUUUUCAAAGCAAGAAUAUUUAUGUUAAGACUUUAGAUGAUCUAAUCAGUCUUAGACAAUCUCAUGAUAAGAGGCUCUAAGUAUGUUUUGAUGAUAAUUGAAAACUAUAAAGAUGUGCUAUGAUUUCUAUGAACAAUACACAAAAGUUACCAAAAUAGCAGACGUUGUCCUGAAAAGAAGAAAAAUGAUGUUACAAAAAAUGUUAAAGAUUAUGUCAAGUACUAUAUAUCCUUGUAAGAAUAUGAUAGGAAUGAACAUAACAUUAGUUGAAAACGUUAGAUGAACAAAGUGUUGAAAAGGACUAGAAGCUUGUCCUCACAGAAAGCGUCAGACAAUGUCACAAAGGAACUUGCUAGAUGAUAUUCAAACAAUGAAAGAGCUAUACAAAGGUCUCACAAAGACGGUAGACAAUGCAUACAGAAGAAAUCAGUGGACCAAGCUUAAUAUACAAUGUUAGAAAAAAUUAACACAAAAUGUCAGAUGAUGAAAGUGUUGAAGAUGGAUGAAACUUCUUCUCAGCAAGUCUUAGUGUGUGUGUUUGAUGUAGAAAAAUGUAUUGUUUGCUUUGAAGUUAGUGAGGAUGGUAUUAGUGGUCAUAGUAGGUUAGAGUGAGUUUAAGGUAGCCUUUUACUUCGUGACCUACUUCAUACCCUUAACCAAGGUGGUAAGAUCAAGCACAAAAAGUUUUUCAAAACUCUUUUAUCAACUACCUUAAGUUUUCUCAAAAUCAGGUUACUACACAAAAAUAAAUCUGUUGAUUUGUAAAACAAUAUAUUUAUUUCUGAACUGGGUAAUGUUUUUCAAAAUUCUGUUAGGGCACCAAACAGUUUGUUGCAGCAUGUUAUUUCUUUUAUGAUGAGUUGGAAGUGGUUUUAAAACCAUCUUGUGUAUUUCAGAAAAACAAUCCAUUUAUUUUAACUUCAACCUGUUCUUUUUAUAACAACUUUCAACUGUUUUUUGAUAAACUGUUAUGAAUUGGUUUAUAUAUAAAGAGAGGCACAUCUCACAUGAAAGAUGACUGAGUGAUCACGUUUUUUAACACAGAUCAAAGAGUUUUCAUUGAGAGACAAAAACUUUGAAUGUGUUCUUGAAAGGUUCUCUUAAGGAAUUCAAGUGUGCUUGUUCAUUGUGUGCCUUGGUCAAGGGUUGAGGUUCUGUCAUUGCUGAACUGCAGAAAAAUGCUGUUGUUUUAGAUUUCUGUUUGUGAAAAUUUUAAAAGCUCAAUUCACCCUCCCCCCCCUCUCUUGAACUUAGACACUAAUAGACCCAACAAAAAGCUCGACAGUGUGAUAGACGAUGAUACACGUUGAAUAAUCAUUUGACAAAGAAGUUUCCAAACUUAGUAUUUACAUUCUAUAUAUGUUCAAAUGAUUAUCAAAUAUUUUCUAUACUCGUUUUGAUAUUUAGAAUUCAGUGAAAACAAAUUAAAUCAAAACGAAUAGUUGAAACUAAGAAUAUAAUGUGUUGCAAAAUUGAUUUGAAGUACCAUGCAAACUAUUUCUAUACACGUGCUUUAAUAUUUUAAGGAAGAAAUAUAAUUUCCUGAGUAACCAUAAGCUGAUUUCGAAUACAACUAAACUCUAAUCAUUAAAACUACAACAUGCCCAAGCUUAAGCUAAACUACCUUCUCAGAUAUUGCUCACCCGUGAAGCUCGCUCGUUUAGAAGCAAAGCAAUAAAGGUAUCAUUUUGAAAAGACUUUAUAAGUACAUGCCCUAGAAACUUAUGUCGAUAAAGAACCAUACCUCGCCCAACCACUCAUAUGCAACACACUAAUGUUAUCUCCCUGCAUUCAACAUCAGAUAGAAUCAAGUUUGUAGAAUGGGUUAAUAUGUGGGAAUAACGCACAACCCUCAAUAUAUCUUCCAUUUGGAGCCCCUUUGAGUCUGAUUGAGAUGAUUACCAUAUAUCAAUCAAUGUACUUAAAAAUUGUAUGGGUCAUGCAAACAAAGUCUCAAUCCGUUCCUUAGAUCAUUUCCAAUAAUCCUCAAAAUAUGUUUGAUAAUGAAGAUUAUGAAGAAUGGGAAAAAUAUGAAAUUUUUUGCACUAUACAGACAAGGAUGCACAAAUUGUAUGAAGAAAGACUCAGAAGAAACAAGUCCUAUAGAAAGGUCAACACCAGCUGAAAAGCAAUCAUUUUUAUUUUGGCUUAAUGCACCACAUUACUCUUUCAACCUCAUACAUGAUCGUUGUAGAUCGUCCACUGCAAGGGUAAAGAGGUUUUGCAAUACAAAGGCAUUUGAUCAUAUCAUUUAAGUAAGGAGCCUUUAAGUCGACCAACAUGGUAUAUGUUGGGAUCCCUCAUGGAGAAAAACCCAAUGCUUUGGACAUCCCAUGACUUUCUUCUACUUGACAAACUCAAGUUUAGUGUAGACUAUACAAGUAGUCUUGAACCAGAAGAGAAGCCUCUCAAAAAUACCAAUACGUUUCGUUUAUACCCUAUGUUGACAUCAUGUUUUCUUCUUCUACUACUAGAUUGGGCACUAUGCAAACAAUAUUGCUAUCAUCUUCUCAUUGGAACAACCUUUAUAGUGGUUUUACCCAUAUGUCGUAUAGUGUUCUACCCAAAAGGUACUACCCCUCUAUUGAUGAUGCUUAAAAAGUGGGAGAGAACUACAAAGGAAAGUUGUCUUAAGAAAAAAAGAUAUAAAAACUCCUGCUCAAAAGAAGAUGAAGGCAUUGUGAGACAAUGUCCACUUAAGGGUGGACCUAACAUGAAAAAGAGAAGAAAGUUUUAAAACCAACUUCCAAUAGAUGAUAUUGACAUAAUAAUGUCUUUUUUCCAAAGUAAAGCCUAAAAAGAAAGAGAGGCUACUAAAAAUGUAAUGAACUCAACCUCCAAGGACAACAAAUGAUAUAUGUUUUAGGAUGAGCCUCUGAGAAAAGAAAAGGAGAAGGGCUUACUAAAGAAAGAGAGCCAUGGAAGUGGAGCCUAAAAAGAAAAAUGUCCACAAGCCCAAAGGGGAACCUCCAAACGAAAAAAAAAGACACAAGUUAAAGGAGAGCACUUGUCAAAGUAUUUACCACUGACGAGCUGCAUAUAUUUGUCAAAAUUUGCAACUCAAAAGGAGCAGAUUUUGAUAAAUCUUGCAACUCAAAGUUGAUGUCACUCAAUGUUUUAAUCCAUUGAUUUUUAUAUGAUUUGUUCUCUAUAAUUGUAAAUUUUCAUGCUAACCUUUAUUGUUUUAAGCACCAUAAAAUAAGGGGAAGAUUCUUAGAGCAAAUCUCCAACACCCUAUGAUUUUGACUAAGUGAUUAAACCAAGAAAGCAAUAACCAAUGCAAUUGUGUCUGAUAGAAGCUAAAGAAAAAGAGCAGAUCAUACAAGUGCAAGUGUUUCGUUCGAAAGAUUAUAAGAACACCUUGUAAACUACUCAAUUCGUCUAAUAGAUUAUAGAUGAUGAUCAUAUUAUAAGUACAAUCAAAGACUAUAAGUUCACAUAAACUCAAAGAAUAUUCCUAAAGCUUAAGUUUGUAAUAUAAAGAAUGUCUUCACCGUCUGUCACUAAAGAGAUCCACACCAAGUAAAAGUUUUAUUCAAAAUAUUUUCUGGGCUUCGAGCUAAAGUUGGAAUGACUACAACGUUUCUUGACACGAGCUAUAUUCAACUUUGGCUUGACUAUCUAUCCUGUACAGUGUGCACUUUUACCAUUGUUUGGUGUAAAAUGUUCUAUUAUCGAGGAAGAUAAGUAUUACCUGUUAUCAAAGAAAUUGCAUGACUAAGAUAAUAGAAACCAAUGUUGCAUGAAACACAUUUAUUGAUUUUCAAUGGUCAUGCUCGUUAGACGAUGAAGAAGGAAGGAGGGGAAAAUCAAGUGAGUUCAAAGGUACUCAACGGUCAAAAAAAGGAAUGUAAUGACUACUUUCUUUAAGCAUAUAUGAUGUGAAUCAAGUCAACAAGAAGAUGCCCAAAGAUGCUAAUUUACACAAUGAGAAGUCAUCUCAAAGUAGGGACCUCACCAGAGGGAGAAUUGGACAAGGACCAGAGCACCUAAAGUUCUUCCUGCUAGUCUUCUUAAAGAUUAGAAUAUGUUGUAAAUAAUUGGGCUCACUUUGGGGGUCCAAAUAACAAAUAUAGGCUAGAAUAAGGUACCUUUAGCAUAAUAGGGGGCGUGGGUAGCCUUUUAGCUUGUUCCUAGCCCAUUUGAAGGCAUUUUGACCUAGUUUCUAUAAGGACAAGCCUAGGAUGCGGGAUUGACUUAGUCAAACCCUAAGGCUGCCUAUUUCUUCCAUUUUCCCAUCCUACCCCUUUAGCUUGUUCUCUAAGGCUCCUUCACCUAUAAAUAGGAGGCCUACCUAGUGUAUUUUACAAGUUGAAGGAAAUAGAGAAAAGUUACUCUGCACAUUUUGUGUGAGAUGCUAGUGAGGCUUGUUCCUCUUAGUCUUUAGUCUUAUCUUGUGAGAAUUUGAGAGCUCUCUAGUGGCGGCUUCCAACACUUAUCUUGGAGUCGUUUCAUCAUCCAAGUGGCGUGUUCAUCAUCUCAAACUCCAUUUUGAUGGAGGAAGGCCCAAGCUCACCACACUAUGAAAGCCAAGCUUCCAAGACCAAGACCGUCUAGCCUUCACAAAGAAGCGUCUAGCCUUCCAAAAGGAGCGUCUAGCCUCACAAGGAGCGUCUAGCCUCACAAAGGGAGCGUCUAGCCAUGAUGAGGAGCGUCUAGGCCAAGGCUACAUGAGGAGCAUCUAUGAAGAGUCCUAGACCGUCUAGCUUCACACACACAAGGGCCAAAGCUACGGUUUGGGAGAGAAAAGGCUUUGUUGCAUAAAAGGCCCAUUAGGGGUACUUAGUAAGAUAGGUAGUGUAGAAAGAACUUUGUAAAGGAAACCUUCUAGAACCUAGGGUUGUGUGGCCGGUCAUUGCAUGGCACAUGACUUAGAAUUUAGAUUUAAUUUUGGUUUUCUUUUCCUUAGAAAUGUAGCUUAACAUUUAAGCCCAAAUAGCCUAUAAAUAGGAAGGCUAUCUCUUUGUAUUUGACAAGUUUAAUUGAGUAUUGUUAUGCUGCCCAUUUUGUGCACUAGCUAUACUUCUCCUAGAAAUCUAGGCUAUAAACUUCAUUCCUUCACCUUUCUCCUUUGAGCUGGCCUAACCUCUCAAACCCAUACUCAUCAUGCACCUUCAAAGCCAACACAACUCCUAGGAGGGCUUUGUUUCACUCACCCAUUGCUUCCGCAUCAUUUUUACUACUUUGAUUCAAGAAGAACACAUGAAAUGCCAUCAUUUUUCUCAUAAGAUUCCUUUUCCUUUAUCUUUUCCUUCCAUUGUCAUUCCAUUCAAUUCAUAAAUAUGUUCUUGUUUUGCUUCCUUGUUUCUAUUCGGUCAUUUCCUUUUGUUAUUGCUUUCAUUGUUUAAUUGCGCACCAUAUAUUGUCAUCAUCUUCACCUUAUAAUUGUGUUUUCCUUUUUCCUUUGUGAAAUGAACCUUCACAUCUACUUAACCACUUGGUUAAGUUAAUGUCCAGUGAGGAUUUUCCUUAAAAAUCCAAUUUAUGGUGCGCAUUAACUUAAGGAAAAUCCUCACCUACAUGUAUAACACAAGACACAAAUUUAAUUAACUAGAUUGUCUACUCUUCAUCAAAACUUGACUCAAAUUCUCACAAUGUUGACAUGCCAAAUCAACCCCUCUUAAGAUUCCUCUUAAGAUUAUAUGCUCAAUUUGGUGUUGUCAAUACUAUGAACAAAGAAAAAACUAUUCUUUGAACUACAAGUGUAGUUUAACAGAAAACAUGUCAAUUAAAAGUCUACCAACCUCUUUGAAAGCAUUGACACAACAAGGACAAGAUAUUUGAACGCAAGUUCCAAUAUUCUUAUUUAAGACAUCUAUAUAUAAAAGUUUUUCUAUAAAAAAUUAGAGAAACAAGUGAUUAUGACUAAUUUCAUGUGAAUUAUAAGUUUUAUGCAUGCAACAAUGUUGUGAAAGUGUAAGAUCACUAAAAUGUUUAACUACAUUAUAUAAAAGAAUUAUUUUCUAUAAAACCCUUACUAUGUGAAGUUCUUUCUAUCUAACAAGGAACUUAAUAGUUUAUAUUCUCUCUACUAAAAGUUUUUGUUAUAAUAAUUAAACAACUUUUUAAUUGAAUUGUAGUGAAAAGUGAUAAUAAAAUAAUAGUUGGAAAGAUUAAAAGUGAUUUUAUGAAAAAAAAUACUUGUUUUAUAUUUUAGAAAGGGAUAAGAAAGAUAAUAAAGAGUGACUUUUUUAUUUGUUGUAAGUGGGAAGUAAUAAUAAAAAUAUUUAUAAUUAAUUAUUAAUUGGUGAAUCCUUUAUAGUUUGUUAAGAAGAACUAGACAUAAGUAUUGGGGUAAAUUAAUAUAUAAAUAUAAGUAUUGCAUUAUCUUUUCCUAUUGUAUUAAAAUAUGUAAGGAAAAACAACAUUUAUGAACAACAACUUUUUGACCACUGUUUCGUUACUCUUCCUAUUCGAGUUUUACAUGUUCGAAUCAUACCUAGAUACAGAAAAAUUUAAUGUUUUUUAAUUUUUUUAUAUUUUUUAUUUACUAUAAGUUGGAAAUAUGUUUUUGUUAAUUUUUAUUCAAUAAUAUUCUAUAAUUAUGAAAUUAUAUUAAUAAUAUAAAUAAUAAGUUUAAAUUUUUUAUAAAAUGUUAUGUUAACAAGUACAGGUUCAAAAAAUAAAAAACCAUAGUCGAAUUUUAAUGGAUUGAGUUGAGUAAAAUCAAAACACUUAAAUAUCCUACUCAAUUUGUUUAAGUUAAUUUGGCUCAAUCUAAUAUUAUUUUUCACAUUAAGCACAAAGAAAAAAAAAUAUAAAUAUUAAACUAAUUAAGAGAGUUAAGAAAAAUAGUAUAAUUAUACUAUAUAUCUUUUCAUAACAAUUACAUAUAUUAUAUAGAUUAUCUUUAUAUAGACUUGUCAAAAUUGACCAAAUCAAAGGCAACACACAAACUAUUCCAGAUGCAAUUCUUUUUUGUUGAUGAUAUCAAGCUGUAAAGAGAGAUAUUUUAGAAAAAAAACAAAUUAAUAUUAGUUAAACUAAGUAUUUUUUAACUUACCUUUCUAAUUAAUAUGAAAUUAUUCUUUUAUUAAUAUGAAUUCAAUUAUCUUUGUUUGUAGUAUAUUUUAUAAAAAAAAUAAAUUAAAUAAGAAUAUUUUUAAAAAAUAUCACAAUUCUUAUAGCUUCCAGUACGUACCAAUACAUAUAUCUAACAAAAUCUGACAAUUGCUGCCAAGAUAAAGGUUGUAGUACUUUUUAUAUAUAAUAUUUGUUUGUAAGAUAGAGUUUAGGAUUUAGGGUUUUCUAAAAUUAAUUUUAGAAUUUUUUAAUACUUAACUGAUAAUUUUAUUUUUAUAAAAAUUAAAUAUAUUUUUUGUGUUUACGUACUAUAACAUAAAAUUGGGUUUUGUAUUUGAUCUAAAUUUGAUACAAAUCAAAUCGACAAACAAAUGAUUAAGGACACCACAAACUCUUGACAACUAGGUCAGACAUUUCAAAAUAUAAGACAAGGCCCCAUCAAAUCUCAGAAGAGUCUCAGUAGAGGGAGAACCAGACAUAAACCAGAAUACCAACUGUUCUUCUUUCUAAUCUUCUUACAAGACAAGUUAAGUAAAUAAAUUUGGCUCACUUUGGGCUUCAAUUAGAAAAAUAAGCUAGAAGAGGGUGUACUUAGUAAAUUGGUUGUGCCAAAAGCCCACCAUAAACGAAGCUUCUAGAAACUCACCCAAGUGCUCACCUUUGACCUAAAUUCUAGAAGACUCCUCCAUGUGCUCACAUAUGACCUAGUUUCUAGAAGCUUGUAGUCAUUUACACCCCCACCCUUCCUCUCCAAAGCACUCAUAUCUAUAAAUAGGGUGUCUCCCCUCUUGUAAAAGACACAUUGAAUUUUGAAUAGAAAAAAAACUCUGUUAGAGUGUUUAGUGAAUUGAGUCUCCUAUUAUCUUUGGGUCUUAUCUUGAGUGCACAACACCUCAAGUGGCGAUUCUUCACCACUCAUCCCAUGCAUAAGCUUUCUCUUCUCUCUUCAUCUUUUCUUUUCUUCACCAUGCGCCAUUUCCUUUCAUUAUUAUGAUCAUGUGUUCUUCUUUUCCCUUUUUUGGUUUCUAUAUUGUUUGUCUUUCCAUUUAUGCUCUUUCAUUUUUGCACCUCAUCAUUAUCAACACCUUAUAUUGUGUUUUUCUCUUUGCCCUCUAGAAAUGAACCUCACACUUACUUAACCACUUGGUUAAGUUCGUGUCCAGUUGGAAUCUUCUUUGAGUUUUUCACCAUAAUUGUUUUUUUUUAUCAGUAAAGAAUUAAUUUAAUUGUCAGGGACACUUCAGGGGUGUCCCAACCCUUAUGAGAAAACCACCAAUCCACCCCCUAUAAUUGUAAAUCAAACUACAGUGAAUCCAAACUUGCAUAAAAAUAUGAAAGGGGACAUGGCUUAGCUUGUUAUUUUAGGCAUUCCUACACUACAAAAAAAGUGUAUAAAGUGGCAUUUUUAAUAUGGCGGUUAUUAAUAACCGCCACAAUCUGCCGUAUAAUAUGACAUUUUAGUAACCGCCACAAUGACCUUUAGAAUAUGACAUUUUUAACUACCACAAUUCUCCUUCAAAAUAUUUUCACUCUCCCGCAUUUUUUUCCCACCACACCAUUACUUUUCCCCAAAUUUUUUCCCCCUUAGAGACCUCACACUUUGACCCCUUUCACCCCUCUAGACCUCAAAGAGACCCUCUCACCCGACCCUUUCACUAACCCUUUUGAACCCUCGAACUCCCUUUAUACAAAAUCUUUCACCAUUCACAUUUAGCACUCUUUCAAACUCUUUCGAGUCCUCUCAUAGUACCCUAACUCUUCUCUCUCCCUCUCAUUACUGCAAACCCUCUAACCCCUCUCGCAGAACCCUAACCCUUCUCAAUAUCGUCCUUGGUUUUGUUCACCAUUGUCGCCGGCUUGAGCGACGCCCUCCUCACAACAAUUUUGGUGGUUCGUCAUCGCAACAGGUACGUCAUAAAGGGCGUGUACUGUUACCAGAGGUCGAGGCGAUUGGUAAGGAUGUCGAUGUGGCCGACGAUUUCGAGGAUGUCGUAUUGUGAAGGGAGGGUUUCGGUGGAGGGUGCGCAAGGGUUGGUAAAAUUGUUGUUGCGGCGGCUAGGGCUUCUUGAAGGACAUCACAAGAAAAACCCUUAUUUCUUCGAAAGGGGUCGAUGCCAUCAACAAAUGCCGAGUCUCCCAAGUCUCCUGCUUCUUCGCCUUCACCACUCCCAACGCCACCACCUUCCCCCCUUCGGGGCUGGCUCUAACGGCUUUUCGGUGACUAAACUGGCAGAAAUCAGCAGUUUCUCGUUUUCAUCUACGAACAAAAAAUCCGAAGAAUGUAGAGGUAGGGAGGAAUGAAGCAGGUGAGGAAGAAGGUCCACAGGUGCGGGGCUUCAGUGAGGAAGAAAUGCGAGAGCAAAGGGAGUGAGUUUCAAACCCAUUGCCAUUGAUAAAACCCCCGUCGAUAUUAGAACCACUUUCACAGAAACCUAACCCAUUCUUCCUUUUUUCUCAACUUACCUUUUAUGCUUGUACUAACCGUCUGUCACUGGAUUUUUUGUGUGUAUUUCCAAUAUUAUUCAAAUAUCUUAAUUGCUUUUAAAUUUUCAUUUUAGUACAGAUCAAACCAUUGGAAAUUUUGUUAUGCAGAAUGUGUAUAACGUGCCAAUUCUUGUUUAGUUAUUGAGUGAGUUGCUUUGUCCUGACAAUUUAAUAUUACUAUUGGAACAUUGUCAUACACCUAAGCUACUUAAUUUCAUGACUAUUGCAAUAUCAACUCAGCUUCUCUGUGGGUCAUCUCCUAAGCCCAAUGAUUAAACCUCUUUCUUGAUAUAUAUUUUUUUCUGCAUAGGGAUUGGUGGAUGGUCAGACCAUAGUGAAAUGAUGAACGAUUUUUAUGCCUGCAAUCGUUACGAAGAAGCUAAACAAGAGGGAAUGGUAAGGGACCAAACUCUAAUUUUCUUGAUUUAGGUUUCAGACUACCAUUAUUUGACUACCCCUAGCAUAUAUUUUGAUAAUGAUAUCUGUUUAUGAAAUUAAUCUUGUUGCAUGUAGUAUGAUGAAACUGAAAGAAGAAGAGAAAUGGCAAAGAAUUCGUUGAAGAGGUACUGUUUUAUUUGUGUUGUGUGAACUGAAAUAUUCAUAAGUGGCAAACAUAUACUCUAGAAUUGUGGACUGCAACUUAAUGUUAUUGAAUUGAUUUUCACGUUAUCCCUUUUUCCAACUUGUAAAUGUAAUUUAUCACUAAUCAUUGAUAGUGUUCAUCUUUUAUUAAAAAUAUUUUGGUCUAGAGUGUAGAUUUAUAAUUUUACUCCUAUGUCAAAUUUCUGGUCUAUGUACACAGUUCCUAGGAAUUUCAGAUUAUUGGUUGAACUUGAGAGAGAUGAAAAGGGAAUUGGAGAUGGAAUCGUUAGUUAUGGAAUGGAUGAUGUUGAUGAUAUAUACAUGCAGUCAUGGACAUGACUAUUAUGAUGAAAACUUUAAGGAUUUUCCUUCCUCUGCUUCUACUCUCUUAACUACACCUCUUCAUCUAGACUCAUGCACGUGCCGCAGCUACUUUUGCACUUCAAAACCUGUGAGACAGGUGAAAGAAUGCACUUCAGCUUUACUCCGAUUUGCAAAGAAGACAAGCAUCCCGGUCCUUUUGGUGAGCAUACAUGUAAAUUAAUUUUGUGAACAAUAAGUUUUAGAUUAAUUUAGUGUUUGUACUUAGGUGGUGAAACAUUUAUCUAUUAAUGUACUGUAAUAUUUUUCAUGAUAUAUACUUGUUUUAGGAAGACAAUCCUUCUGAUAUGCCCUUUUUUUCUCAAUUUUAUCUUAUGGUAAAUUUAGAAUUUCUUUAAUAUUCUCUCAGUGAACCUAAAAUGGCCGAGUUCUUUUGUAUUAUGUAAUAAUGAUUUGCUUUACAUGUAUGCAUUUCGUUUAUGGAUCAUUUGUGGCAUUUCUGUUAAAAGGCUUUUGAAUUGUUGACACACAUGGCCAUGGAUUUUUUUUUUCUAGUUUCUCUUACCUUUUUGUUUUGUAUUUCAGAUUGGUCAUGUGACAAAAUCUGGAGACAUUGCAGGACCUCAUGUCUUGGAGCAUAUUGUUGAUGUUGUUCUGUAUAUGGAAGUUGGUAUCUUGUUACAACUUUCUUUCUUUGAACAGUCAGUAAAGAUUAUUUGUGUUUAUCGUUAUACUUUCUACUACUUGGCAUGUUUAUAGGAGUUCAUUUUCCUUUUAUUCUUGUUAUUGCUUGAGGCACCUUAAAUCUGUAAAGCCUUCAUGUGGCUCAUUACUGAAUUUUUGUAAUUCUUAUAUCUUUUGUGCAUUUUGUCAUUCCAUCAACUUUAUUGUUUUAUGUAUUUUCCAAAUUUAAUACUUGUGGGGACUACGAGUUUUUUUUGGGUUUAAAACAAUUCCAUUUCAGUUUGUGAUGUUUUGAUGCAUGUGAGACACUCAAUCUUGAAAUAAUACAUGUGAGGUUCACAUUUUUAUUGCCCAUAAAUUACUAUUUAGUACCUAUUUGUAAAUUGAAAUUUUAAGUGAAAACAGGAACUUUGUUUCCUUGUGCAAUUUGCAUGCUAUUUAUCCAAGUUAACCAUCAAUGUCAUAGGUUAUUCUCAUAGACCAUAUCUUGCCAUAUAUUAUCAUUGUCUAAAUGAAAUUCACAUUAUGUUGAUGACGACUUUAGGAAUAUAUGUGAGUUAGCAUUCAUGUGAAGAUAUACAUUUCAUGAUGAUCCUUUAUUUUUAAUUAUUACUACAGGUUGACAAUGACCCUGAGUUUCACUCUUAGCUCGACAAGUCCAAAGAUGUGAUUGAGGAUGAUGCAGUGCUUUCUAGUCCAGCUUUGGAAUCAAAAACUGAAAUCCUUGGCAGUAGUAGUUUACUGUAGGAGAACACAAACAUGGUGCAUAACUUAGAUCAUUCGGGUGAUGGAAGAAGUCAAAAUGGAAUAGGAGUCCAGUAAGAUUGGCAAAACCUGAUAGUAGGGAUCAGAAUAUUAUAGGAUCAUGUGGAGACAUCAAGAUAAAUUAGAACUAAGAGUUCUGUUGUAGUAUGUUCAAAUAUGAGUUUAUAUUUUGAUAAUUUAAUUUAAUUUAAUUUACUUAUUGUUUGGAUUAGUUUCACAUUAUUAAGUUUGUUCUCUCAAUGAAUGAAGUUAUCUUUUAAUUAUUAUAUUUAUCAAUUUUAAUUAUAUUAUGAAGUAUAAUUAUAUUAUGAAAUUAGUUUAUGUUAUAAUUUAAUUAUAUUAUGAAACAUAACUGUGUACUGAAGUUUAAUUAUAAUAUGAAAUUAAUUGAAAUUAUGAAAUCAAAUUAUAAAAUAGAAUUAAAUAAAUUAUUAUAAAUAUAAAAAUUAAAAUUAAAGUUUAGUUAUAAUAUGAAAUUAAAUAAUAUUAUGAAAUCAAAUUAUAAAAUAGAAUUAAAUAAAUUAUUAUAAAUAUUAAAAAUAAAAUAAAAUAUUUAAUAUUCGAAUUAUGACAGUUAUAAUGAGUAUUAUAAACGUCAUACUAUACUGUAUUAAGUGGCGUUUAAAACUGCCACUAUUUACGUUAGAAUUGGUUUACCCAGUUUCAAAAUUAUGACAUUUAUAAUGACGCCAAUUACACGCUUAAAACCGCCACUUUAUUCAAUGCAUAAUAUGGCGUCUGCUACAACGGUUCUCUUUUUUCCGCCACAUUAAACUUUGUGGCGGCAAGAAUUCUGGCAAUAUGCGGUACCGCCACAGACGUAUAAUGUGGUGGUUAAAAACGCCAGUUUUUGCGAAAAUAACCGCCGCAGUAUACACAUUUUUUUGUAGUGCUACUUCCAUCUUUACGCACUGCAAAAAAAAAAAUUCCAAUAUCUACUUAAUUUGUUCUCCUUUACCAUUCAUCAAGCCUUGCUUAAACAUAUCAUUUGAUGGUCUAGUUGGACCAACCCUCACAGCUUCUUAGUCAUAGCAGAAGCUUCUCCCUGUACUUCUUCUACUACCCCUAAAUCUUCUAACAUCUUCCUUCAUAAUUAUUGGAUUAAGACUUCAUCUUGUGGUAAAUAGUGGAUGUGGCUUCAGUGGCAUAGAACCCCCGCAUAAAUUCUGAUGUAGUUCAACAACAGCUUCAGAUAUGGAGACCAACAAAGAGCUAUAAUGAGAUCUGCACAGAACAAUAGACCCAUCCCUGCUACUCCCACAUCUGUUCCAACUCCAUACUGCUCCCUGCUCCUAGAUUGGAAGUUCCAGGCUGAGGGCCAGUAACCUCUGUACUAAUUAACGACCCCUGCAUAUACUAAAUUGAUCCCAACUAAUUUGCACCUCAUGCCACAGAUUGAAUCAACUCCAAAUAACAACAACUUAUUUUGGCUCGAAACGUGGUCCGCUAGCCUCUAACUCAGAGGGAACACGAUUGCUGGUUAGACCUUAGUCUAGACAUUUCUAUCUGCACUUCCUAUAAUUGUUAAUCCAAAAAAAUCAUAAACAAAAGAGUCACUACAAGAAAAUCAUCAAAUAGAAACCAUUGUUUAGAGACCAAAAUAAUUAGUUGCAAUAGUAACUAAAUUAGAGACCAUUUUAGAAACUAAAAAAAAAAUUGGUUUCUAAAUUAGUUUCUAUUAUUGUUAAAUAGUUUCUAAAUUGGUAUCUAAUUAGCUACCAAAGUUUUAACUACCAAUUAUUUAGAUUCUAAAAUUGUUGGCAAAAACCUUGGUUGCUAAUUAGAUACCAAUUUAGAAAUCAUUUAACAAUAAUAGAAACUAAUUUAGAAACCAAAAUUUAUUUAGUCCCUAAAAUGGUUUCUAAUUUAGUCACUAUAGCAACUAAUUAUUUUUGGUCUCUAAAUUUGGUUUCUAUUUCAUGAUUUUCUUGUAGUGAGUAAUCUAUAAAAAUGUGCAAUCCUAAAAUCAACACACAUCAUGUGGUAUUCAGAGCAUGGUUUUAAAUUGUGUUUAUCUUUUCUGAGUUGAUUUCUGCCUUUUAAUUGUUGAACCAAGUGAUGUUCAAGCUUUGAAGAAUCCAAACCCUUUGAAGGAUGUUGAAGGCUUGGCUGUGCUUGCUGUUGCUGAGCUGUCUUAGAUAGGAUCUGAGGUAGAUUAUUUAUGUAAUCCACUCUUGAUUGAAUCCAAAACAUAGGCAUUCUCAAUCUUUUAAAAGGAAAAUGUUUUUCAAACUAAGUGAAAAACAACCGAUUGUUUUGUCGAAACAACCGAUUGUUUUAUACUUAGGUGUUUUUAGAAAAGGUUGAAAACUGUUUUUCAAAUGGUUGAGUUGUUAAAACUAAAACAACCGAUUGAUUCGUGGAAACAACCGAUUGUUUGUUUUGGUACCAUAACAGAAAAACUGUUUUAAGCUUUGACAGAGCUUUAAAUGUUUUAACUGUUUACGCUCCAGUCUUUAAUGCUUUGACCAAUCUUUAAAUGCAAUGAAUAAGUUUGUUAAGAUUUGAUAACAAACAUCUUUGAAUAUAUUUAGUAAAACAGAUUGGGGUUUUACAAGAACAGAUUUGAGUUUUUCAAAGAGUUGAGAUUGCUUAGAGAUUGAGAUUGAUCAAAGAGUGUGAGAUAGGAUUUCUGCUUGUAUUUGAUUUCAGAUUUGCUUCUGUAACAAGUGUAAUCCUUGUAUCUGUUGAACAAGUUUCUUCAGUGUGUUUGCUGAGAAGUGUUGUGUGUUCUUGAGGGGAUCAAGAUCACUUUCUUGGUUGUGUUGUAAGUGAUCUAGGUUUGAUUACUUAGUGGAAUUCCUCAGUGGUUUGAGAGAAGACUGGAUGUAGCUUUGGGUUUAGAGUGAACCAGUAUAAAUCUCUGUGUGCAUUCUCUCUCUCCCUUAAUUCUUUAAAUUCAGUUUUGAUAUUUGUAUACUGGUAUAAACAACCGAUUGUUUCUGCGAAACAACCGAUUGUUUUUCUGGUGAUGUGUUUUUAGCUUUGUGAUUUGGCAAACUACAUUCCUUAUCAACUGUUUCUUGAGAUAAUUUCAUUCUUGACUUAAAAGUUUUUGAAAUCCCUCUUUAAACCAUUCACCCCCUCUAGUUUAAAGCCAUCCAUUCUAACAUUAAUUUCAACACAUUUAAAUUAUUGCUUUUAUCUUCAAGCAAUUUCAAUUAUGCAUUUAAAUUCUUGUCAUUUACAAGUCUGGUUUUUUAUUCAUUAAGAAAUUUAAAUUCUGCUUUUGAAUUAUUUUUUGUCAAAUUUUUUCCCUUGCCUCUUUUGCUUGAGUCUUAUGUUCUUAGUGUUCUAGGAGUUUUUAAAUCCAUUCUACUUAUUUUAACUUUAAUUGUGAAGAGUUAAAACAAUUAGAAUUUGUUUAAGUGGUAGUUGAUUUAGUUCCAAACAAAGAAUUCGAGUGAAAUAUGAAUUGAAUCCUAAUCUAUUUAAGAAAUUUUGAAAGUGAAGUACAAAUAUGCAUGCCAAGAUUUUGGACAUUUUAAAUCUGUAAAAAUAAAAACAAAUACAAAAACAAUUUGAAUACAAUUCACUUUUCAAGUUUAAAGUUCUAAGAUGAUUUUUUUUAUAUCGCAAAUUGUGUUUACAUUUUUAGAAUUUUAUCCUUCUUACUUUUACAAUUUCUAAGAAAAUUAAAAAAAAGAAGCUUCAUAGUUAAAAGUUGAAGUAAGUUUCUUUGAGUCUUUAUAAGUGUUUUAUUGUUUGUCUAGUUAAAAAGUUUGUCAUCUUCUAUAUUCUAAUUUGGUUUAGGUUUCUUUCUUUUAACUUUUCUAGUUUGUCUUCAAAUCUUUCUUAAGUUUUGUUGAGGUUCUUUUGUCAGUAAGUGAUAAGAGCUUUGACCUCUUUCACUUAAAGUAUUUCUACCAAGUGUAGACCCUUUGAAAAAAAAUUGCAAAACCUCUCUUGGGUGUUUCUACCCUUUUUCUAUUCUAUAUUGAAUAGUCGAGUUAUACACAUAAGUGAGUGCAUUAUUUGUUGUUAAAAACCAAUUGUUUAAUUUUUGUUGUGCGCAAAUAUGCAUCAUUUAUCUUUAGGGGAAUAUUCCAAACCACAAUCUUCUCAAAAGGCACGUCUUUUGGGGGGAGCUUGAGGAUACCAAGAGGAGCUUGGCCCACAAGGAACAGGAAAUAAGGAAACUAGUGAAAAGAAUACAAAGGCUAGACAAUGGGAGCCUAGAAGAGCUAGGCAUUACAUGCAUUAUGGAAGUCAAGAAGAAGAAGAAGACUGGAGAGUGCAAAAUUAUGUAGCCAGGCACCAUCAUCAACAACCAAAGAAGACCCUAACUUUUGUAAAAUUACCUAGUUUUAUGGGGAUAGUGAACCAAAUGCAUAUCUAGGAUGGAAAGCUAAGGUAGAACAAAUUUUAAAUGUGUAUAAGGUCGAAAAGGACUAAAAGGUUAAGUUAACUUCCCUAGAAUUUGAGGACUAUGCCAUGCAAUGGUGGCAACAAACCGUAAUGGACAUUGGACUAAAUAAGAGGUCAAAUGUGAUCUCUUGGAGUGAUUUAAAAAUAUUCAUGUGUGUGUGCGGUUUGUUCCUCCUCACUAUAGGAAGAAACUCUUGUUGAAGCUUCAACGAAUUCAUUAAGGACCUAGGAGUGUAGAUGAAUCCUUCAAAGCUUUAGAAGUAAAUUUGACUAAGAUUAAUAUGCAUGAAAAUGAAGAUUCAAAGAUUGUUAGAUUUGUGAGUGGAUUAAGAAGAUAAAUUCAAAAUGUUGUAGAACUUUAUGAGUAUACAUCUUUAGAAAAAUUGGUUCACCUAGCCAUCAAGGUUGAAUCACAACUUUUAAGGAAAACAUCUUUCAUACAUACUCAUAAUGAUGGCUUUUACAACUCAUCUUGGAAGGAUAAAAAUAAAUUUCCUAAACAAGAUAAUCCUCCACUUCCUCUAAAGAGUCCACCCCCACAAACUUCUAAACACAAUCCUUCUCCUUCUAGGACUAAAUCGCCAACCAAAAUCUUAAAUAAAAAAUGUUUUAAAUGUUUAAGUUUUGGUCAUAUCACAACAAAUUUCCCUAACAAAAGAACCAUGAUGGUAAAAGGGGGAUAGUAAUAAGUGACAUUGAUUAUUCCUAUUAGGAUUCCUCUGUUUCUGAAAAAAAUGCUUACUAUUUUUCCUUAUUGCAAUUGAUUUACUCACUGGAAAAUUCUGAAAUUCUGGAUUUGUGAUAUUCAAAGUGUUAGAAAAGAGUAGAAAAAGAAUCAUUCAAAAAUUCAAAGUACACAAAAAAUGAUAAAUAAAAUAAAAAAAGUGUACAAUUCUGCCGAAAAGAAUACGGUAAUCUGGCAGCGAUUUUAAAAAUAUUAUCUCAAUUAAUUGGCUUACUGUUUUUAAUUGAUUCCAGUGCCAUUAUUGAGUUAACAUCUUGAAGUUUCUAUGGUUUAAAUUUCAUAAUCCAGUUCGCUCUACAUUAUUCCAGUUAAAUCAGUGAAUAUCAAGCACAGUUUGCAUUAAAUUUUUUUUUCCAGUAGCUAAUUUUUUUGUUUUCUUCAUCUACUCUAGUGCUUUUCCUUAAGUAUUCUUUUGUGUGCCUAUUUUCUCAUUGAGUUCUUUAUUUUCUUGAUUGUCUUUCAUUCUUUACUCUUUGAGUUUGUCUUACAUAUAGUUUUCCUUUUGCAAUUACCUUUCUUUGCUUAUACCUUUUCUUGUUUGUCUUUAUUGUUUCAUUGGUUUUGUGGUGGUUGCCUUUGAGAUUGGUGUGCUUGCUUUGACAUCUUUCAUUUGAGGAUUCCAAGGCCUCAAGAUCAGAUUGGUGCAAGAACAUUAUUUCUUUGAGAGUGACCUCUUUUUCUGCCUCUUUUCACUUCGGCAUUCUUGCUGGCCACACUCACUGUUUUUGCUAAUUUUUGUUUCUUAACUUGUUUGCUGUUUUUGUGUGUUUGCUGUUUUUUAUUUCCAAAAUGGCUGGAUUUUCAAGUGAUGCAUCAUACAAGCAGAUUUCUCCUUCCAAAACUUCAAUCCUUGGUGAAUUACAUGAAGCUCAAAGAACCAUUAGACGCUUGGAGGAGAAAUUGCAAAAGAUGGAGGUGCAACAAGCUAGACCAUCUCCUUCAAUUCAUGAUGAGCAUCAUAGACCUUCAACAAGAGCUUCUUCCAAUGAUUUUGGCCGUGAAGAUGAGCAUAGGAGAAGGAGAACUCCACCCCAAGUCCAUGGACAAAGACAUCAUCACCAAGGGGAAAGAACUCACUACGGCAAUGGAUUCUAUCAUGAUGCAAAGUCUAGGCUUCCUUCGGUCAAGCUUCCUUGUUUUAAUGGCUCUAGUGAUCCUAAUGUAUAUUUAGAUUGGGAGGCUAAGUGUGAACAAAUAUUUGAGAUCCAUGAGAUCCAAGAUGAGCAUAAGCUUAAGCUAGCCACCCUAGAGUUUAGUGAUUAUGCCAUGAAAUGGUGGCAUGGAAUUGUAAAGGACAUUAUCUAUCACAAGGGUCCUCCCGUGGACUCUUGGAACUCUUUAAAGGAUCAUAUGCGCGCUAGGUUUGUGCCCCCACAUUUUAGGAAAGACUUCAUGUUGAGACUCCAACAGUUUCAACAAGGCACGCUAAAUGUGGAUGAAUAUUAUAAGGAGCUUGAGACGCUUGUGCUUAAAAUUGAAUUAGAAGAAAGUGAGGAAGCUAUGAUUGCUAGGUUUGUGAGUGGUCUUAGGAAGGAUAUUUAAGACAUUGUUGAGUUACAAGAGUAUUCAUCAUUGGGCUCUUUAGUUCAUCUUGCAAUGAAGGUGGAAGCCCAACUUGCUAAGAAAAACUCUUUCAAAAAUGCUUCCAAUGAUGGAUACUACUCCAAGUCUUGGAGAAACAAAAAUUCUUUUUCUAAACAUCCUUCCAAAGAUUCUUCUUUCAAACCCAAGGAAACUAAGCCAUCUACUUCUAGACCUAAGUCUCCCACUAGAACAUCCAAUACUAAAUGCUUUAAAUGUAUGGGUUAUGGUCAUAUAGCUGCAAAUUGUCCUUCCAAAUGAAGUAUGUACAUGCAUGAGGGCAUUGUAGUUACUGAGCAUGAUUCGGAUUCUCCUAAGCAUUCAUUGCAUUCUCAUGCAUCUAGUGAGGAAGAGAGCAAAUGUCCACUUGAAGGGGACUUGUUAGUUGUGAGAAGACUUCUUGGACAAGUUUCACAACCUUUUGAUGAAAGUCAAAGGGAAAAUAUUUUCCAUACAAGAUGUCUUAUUCAAAACAACAUUUGUUCCUUGAUAGUGGAUGGGGGUAGUUGUGCAAAUGUGGCUAGUACAAGAGUAGUAGAUAAGCUUGGAUUGCCUACUAUCUCUCAUACAAAGCCCUACAAAUUACAAUGGCUUAGUGAAGUAGGAGAAAUAAUUGUCAAUAAACAAGUCCUCAUCCAUUUCUCCAUUGGAAAAUACAAAGAUGAGGUAUUAUGUGAUGUUCUGCCCAUGGAAGCCACUCAUGUUCUUUUGGGAAGGCCUUGGCAAUUUGAUAGAAAAGUUUUACAUGAUGGCUUUACCAACAAACUAUCUUUUGAAUUCCAUGGUCACAAGGUUACUUUAAAAUCUCUCUCUCCAAGAGAAGUCCAUGAGGACCAAGUUAUCAUGAAGAAAGAGAGGGAGAGUGAAAAAGAUAAAAAAGAUAAAAAAGAUAAGAGUUCUAAGCCUACACUCCUUGUGUCUAGGCGUGACAUUGAAAGGGAAAUAGUGGCUCAUCAUCCUCUUUUCUUAGCCAUCCCUAGAACUCUUAGAGUAGAAUCACUUUUUGAUAGACCUCAUUGCUGGAAAAUUUGGUAGAAGAGUUCCAAGNNNNNNNNNNNNNNNNNNNNNNNNNNNNNNNNNNNNNNNNNNNNNNNNNNNNNNNNNNNNNNNNNNNNNNNNNNNNNNNNNNNNNNNNNNNNNNNNNNNNNNNNNNNNNNNNNNNNNNNNNNNNNNNNNNNNNNNNNNNNNNNNNNNNNNNNNNNNNNNNNNNNNNNNNNNNNNNNNNNNNNNNNNNNNNNNNNNNNNNNNNNNNNNNNNNNNNNNNNNNNNNNNNNNNNNNNNNNNNNNNNNNNNNNNNNNNNNNNNNNNNNNNNNNNNNNNNNNNNNNNNNNNNNNNNNNNNNNNNNNNNNNNNNNNNNNNNNNNNNNNNNNNNNNNNNNNNNNNNNNNNNNNNNNNNNNNNNNNNNNNNNNNNNNNNNNNNNNNNNNNNNNNNNNNNNNNNNNNNNNNNNNNNNNNNNNNNNNNNNNNNNNNNNNNNNNNNNNNNNNNNNNNNNNNNNNNNNNNNNNNNNNNNNNNNNNNNNNNNNNNNNNNNNNNNNNNNNNNNNNNNNNNNNNNNNNNNNNNNNNNNNNNNNNNNNNNNNNNNNNNNNNNNNNNNNNNNNNNNNNNNNNNNNNNNNNNNNNNNNNNNNNNNNNNNNNNNNNNNNNNNNNNNNNNNNNNNNNNNNNNNNNNNNNNNNNNNNNNNNNNNNNNNNNNNNNNNNNNNNNNNNNNNNNNNNNNNNNNNNNNNNNNNNNNNNNNNNNNNNNNNNNNNNNNNNNNNNNNNNNNNNNNNNNNNNNNNNNNNNNNNNNNNNNNNNNNNNNNNNNNNNNNNNNNNNNNNNNNNNNNNNNNNNNNNNNNNNNNNNNNNNNNNNNNNNNNNNNNNNNNNNNNNNNNNNNNNNNNNNNNNNNNNNNNNNNNNNNNNNNNNNNNNNNNNNNNNNNNNNNNNNNNNNNNNNNNNNNNNNNNNNNNNNNNNNNNNNNNNNNNNNNNNNNNNNNNNNNNNNNNNNNNNNNNNNNNNNNNNNNNNNNNNNNNNNNNNNNNNNNNNNNNNNNNNNNNNNNNNNNNNNNNNNNNNNNNNNNNNNNNNNNNNNNNNNNNNNNNNNNNNNNNNNNNNNNNNNNNNNNNNNNNNNNNNNNNNNNNNNNNNNNNNNNNNNNNNNNNNNNNNNNNNNNNNNNNNNNNNNNNNNNNNNNNNNNNNNNNNNNNNNNNNNNNNNNNNNNNNNNNNNNNNNNNNNNNNNNNNNNNNNNNNNNNNNNNNNNNNNNNNNNNNNNNNNNNNNNNNNNNNNNNNNNNNNNNNNNNNNNNNNNNNNNNNNNNNNNNNNNNNNNNNNNNNNNNNNNNNNNNNNNNNNNNNNNNNNNNNNNNNNNNNNNNNNNNNNNNNNNNNNNNNNNNNNNNNNNNNNNNNNNNNNNNNNNNNNNNNNNNNNNNNNNNNNNNNNNNNNNNNNNNNNNNNNNNNNNNNNNNNNNNNNNNNNNNNNNNNNNNNNNNNNNNNNNNNNNNNNNNNNNNNNNNNNNNNNNNNNNNNNNNNNNNNNNNNNNNNNNNNNNNNNNNNNNNNNNNNAUCUCUUGUUAGAGAAGCUCAUGAGAGGGGUUUAAUGGGACAUUUUAGGGUUGCUAAAACUUUGGAUGUGUUGCAUGAACAUUUCUUUUGGCCUCAUAUUCAUAAACAUGUUCAUAGUUUGUGUGAUAAAUGCAUAGCUUGCCGCAAAGCUAAAUCUAAAAUGCAUCCCCAUGGUCUAUAUACUCCUCUUCCUAUCCCUCCAAUGCCUUGGGUAGAUAUAUCUAUGGAUUUCAUCUUAGGCUUACCCAAGACAUCAAAGGGAAAGGACUCCAUUUUUGUGGUAGUGGAUCGUUUUUCAAAGAUGGCUCACUUUAUUCCUUGCCACAAAGUGGAUGAUGCAUGCCACAUUGCAAACCUCUUCUUCCAAGAAGUGGUUCGCCUACAUGGGAUUCCUAGGUCUAUAGUGUCCGAUAGAGAUCCUAAGUUCUUGAGUCACUUUUGGAAGACCUUGUGGGGCAAGCUUGGAACUAAGAUUUUAUUUUCUACAACUUGCCACCCACAAACUGAUGGUCAAACCGAGGUGGUGAAUAGAACUUUGGGACAACUAUUGAGAUGUUUUAUUUCGGGGAAUCCUAGAGUGUGGGAGAAUUUACUACCCCAUGUUGAGUUUGCAUAUAAUCGUGUAGUAAAUUCUACCACCUCACAUUCUCCUUUUGAGGUAGUAUAUGGGUUUAAUCCCCUAACACCUCUUGAUCUUCUUCGUAUUCCCCUUCUUGGAGAUGUCUUGUGCAAAGAUGGUGAUGAAAAGGCUUCUUUUGUGAAAACUUUGCAUAAAGACAUCAAGAAGAGAAUUGAGAAGAAGGUUGGCAAGUAUGCUGAACUUGCCAAUAAAAGGAGAAAAGCAUUGUUGUUUGAUGAGGGCGAUUGGGUUUGGCUUCACUUGAGGAAGGAUCGCUUUCCUACUCAAAGGAAGUCCAAACUAAUGCCUCGAGGGGAUGGACCUUUCCAAAUCCUCAAGAGGAUUAAUGACAAUGCUUAUGAGUUAGAUAUGCCUGAUACAUUCUUAGGUAGUCAUACUUUUAAUGUCAGCGAUCUAACUCCUUUUUUUGUAGGUCUCCAGAAUUCGUGGUCGAAUUCUCUCCAACUCGGGGAGUAUGAUGGAGAUCAAGCUCAAGAGGACAUGGAGGCCAAUCAACAAGAUCAAGAAGAGGUAGAGGCACAAAUGGAGGACGCCCAUGGAGGUCAAAGCCCACCUCAAAGGCUUACAAGAAGCAUGUUCAAAGCUUUAGGAGCUAGGGGACAUUUAUUUUCUCUUUUUGUAAUUUCUUUGGUUGAAGGUGCUUAGAGGGAAACAUUAGAAAUCUCUUUUGUUAUAGCAUCUUUUAGGCUUUAGUUAGGAGCUUUAGGAGGGGGGUGUAUUAGUAGAUAGGUGUAGGAGUAGAAUAGGAGGUGCCAAAGUGAAGGAAGAGGCCACACCUUCCUCAUGCCUUGUAAAUAGGCGCCGGUUCUAGAAUGUAUUUGGGGGGGGAAAUUUGAAAUUGUUUAGCUUGCAUUUCAGCACCUUAGGCUAUAAAUAGAGGUGCUUCCUUUGUAAAUUUCAGAUUUGAAUUUUAGAGAAAAGAAACUAUACUCAAAUUUUGAGUGAUCAUUGGAGAGCUUUUGAGCCUUCUUCUCUAGUCUCAUCUUGAAGGAUCCAUGGUGUCCUCAAGUGGCGGCAACACACUCAUCUAGGAGCAACCAUCCUUCUAGUGGCGUGAUCAUCCAACCAUACAUCCAUCUUCAUGAGCACUCUCUUCUCCUUCCUUUCUUCUUUUGUUAUUUUAUUGUCUUAGCUUGUUUCCUUGUUGAAUUUGGUUCGGCAGUUUCAACUGUAGUUUGUGUUGCUUCGGUUCUUUCUUUAUGCCUUGCUGUUCUUCAUCUUUCAUCUUCAUUUUCCAGCUUUUUGUUCGGUUCAUUUUAAUUUCCAGCAUUCAAUUUCAGUUUGCUUAGCUUUUGUGCCUUUUUGUUCGGUUCAAUUUGACAAUAAUUGGAACUUCUAUAUGAGUUUGUGUUUUGGCACUAGUUUUGGUAAGUUCUUGUUCAUAGAACCUUGAUCCAUUUCUAUGAUAAAGUGCCUAGCUCUUAACCAACUCAAGAUGAUUCCUAAGAAUGUCAAGAAUCAUUCUAAUUGUGCUAGUGGAAUCACAUCAAUAGUGGUCAAUCUUCUAGGUCUAAAAACCAUACCCCUUCAAAAACCCCUAGUGAAAAUGAAUGUGAGAUACCUUGUGAAGGUAACUUAUUGGUGGUAAGGCGAAUGUUGGGGACUAUUCAAAAUUCUUUUGAUGAAACCGAAAGAGAAAAAUAUUUUCCACACCCGCUGCCUUAUCAACAAUAAGUUAUGUUCCAUAAUCAUUGAUGGGGUAGUUGUGCUAAUGUGGAAAGUACAAAAGUAGUGGAGAAGCUUGUAUUAGCCACUAUCUCUCAUACAAAGCCCUAUAAACUAUAAUGACAUAGUGAAGAGGGUGAAAUUAUGGUUAAUAAACAAGUCCUCAUAACUUUUGUCAUGGGAAAAAUACAAAGAUGAGGUUUUAUGUGAUGUUGUGCCAAUGGAAGCCACACAUGUGCUUUUGGGAAGGCCUUGACAAUAUGAUAGAAAAAUUUUACAUGAUGGUCAUACCAAAAAGAUUUCUUUGAACUUUCAAGGGCAUAAGAUUAUAUUAAAACCCCUCUCUUUCAAAGAAGUUAAUGAGGACCAAGUAAAAAUGAAAACCAAAAGAGAAAAUGAAAAAGAUGAAGAAAGAAAAGACAAAACGGGUAUCAUCAACUCAUGUAGUAAACAUAAUAAUGUUGACUCAUACUAAAAUACAAAAUGCACCUCAAAGGUAUUCUUCUUCCUUGUCUUAUUCAUCUCCUGAUCAUUCUAAAUACUUGACAUCUUUGAUAAAGAUAUUUAGGGAUGAUAUUCAGAAAACCUCUUAAAGAUUUUCACCUUCUAAGAGGAUUUUCACAAACAAAUCAUUUCAUCCCCAAAUAUUCUUUUCAAACAUGGCCUGUAUGUAGAAGUCACCCAUACGAACACCCAAAGCUUAAUGAAAAUAAGUUUGCUUCACAUACUAAGUCUAGAAAUGUUUCGAUCUUUUCUGUGAACAAACUAACUAUGUUAUUUACAUCACAACAUAUUAAUCAUUCAAGAAUUUUUCAUAUCUCUUAAUUUACAUCACAACAUAUUACUCAACAAUCAGAUGUCUAUUCUCAAUUCUCAUAUCACAUUCACCAUCACGACAUAUGAAUAAUCACACUUCAUUCAUUCUAAUAUACUAAGCAAUCAAGUGUCUAUUCUCAAUUCUCAUAUCACAUAAAUUCACUGACAUACAUCAACAAACACUCUACUUCCAGAAGACUCGUGUAUUGAAAUUAUACUCAAAGACCUACACCUGUCAUAUCACUAAGUUUUCUCCACAACAUCAUCUCCAUAUUAGGAAAUUCAUCCUCAUAUGAUAUGGAUAAAUUCCUUAUGAUAUACCUAAUAUAGAUUUCAUUUGCACCACAUGAUAGAUCAUAGGAACCUCCUUCAACUCUCAACACAUCAUUACAAAAAAAACCUCCUUUAGCUACCACCAAAAUCGGUCGCUAAAGCUAUAAAAUCGGUACCUAAAUAAAUUUGCGACCGAAAUAGCGACCAAAUGCAAGUGGAAGAAAAAACCCUAGUCAAAAACUACUUAGCGACCAUUUUUUAGUCGGUCACAAUUUUGCGACCGAAUUUUUCGGUCACUAAUUCGAUCGCAGAAAAAUUUGGUCACUAAAAUCAUAGGUGACCAAAUUAGCAACCAAAACCUAAUGAAAAAAUUGGUUGCUAAUUCGGUCACUGAAAUAAUAUAAAAUAGCGACCACCGUAUUUGGUCACUAAAGAGGUUACGUAGGUAAGAAAAAUUUAGUGGCUAAUUCGGUGGCUAACUUCUCAUGACAGCGACUGAACAUAUUUCGGUCGCUAAAUUGUUUUUCGUGAAGAGUAGCGACUAAACCAGUUUUGGUCGCUAUUUUUCUUUCUUUGGCUUUUUAGCUACCAAAUUGAUUUCAGUUGCUAGGUUUGGUUUCAGAACUUUAUCGACCAAUAUUUCAAUCACUAAUUAUAUUUGUAUUAUAUUAUUAUUAUACUUUUUAAUUUUUUUCCUGUUUAUAAAUAAUUUGAAAUGUAGAAAACAAUAGUAUAGAAAAUAAAGAUAAAUUAUAUUGCACAAUUUAAAAUAUUGUAAACAAAUAAAAAAAGUUAAAUUACAUAAGUCAUACCACCAAUCCUCUCAUAAUCAUCUCUAAUAUGGUCUCUUUUAUAGUCUUCAACUUUCACCCUUCUAAAAGUGAAAGAAAAUAUCAAUCUAUCAUAUCCUCACAACAAAGUUUGCACUGGACUGAGUAACCCGAACCGUAUUUUUUGUGUGAUGGCAUUUUUCUGCAACAUUUUUUGAUAAAAGAUAAAAUAUAAUUAAAAUAUAAACUUGUUAAAUUAUGAAAGUGAUGAGAAUCAAAAAGAUGUUAUCAAUAGAAGAAAUGGACAAGGGCCAAAGCAUUUAAAGUUCUUCUUAUUAGUCUUUGCAAAAGAUGAGGCCCAAGCCCAAAGCCCAAGCCCAAGAAGGCCCAAGCCCAAGAAGCCCAAGUCCAAACCAUGAGGGGCAAGACCAAGCAUUAAAUAAAAGAGCAUCAUUUGAAUGACUCUUGUAAGAGGUGUGGAUAUUAAAUAAAUAGGUGUGAAUGUAUUAGAGAGAGUCACAUUGUCCAUGUGACUUAGUAGGGGGGUGUAGGUGUAGUUUUUAGGAGGUGUCAUAGUAGAAAAGGUCACACCUCCUAUGUGACUUGUUUUUGGUGGGAAUUUCAAAUGAGUUUUAUUUGAAAUUUCCCACCUAUUUUCAGCACCUCUAGGCUAUAAAUAAGGUGCUUUCCUUUGUAAUUUGGAGAUUGGAAUUUUAUAGUAGAGAGACUAUACUCAAAUUUGGAGAGAAUUUGUGAGUUUUGAGUCUUCUUCUUCUUUGCCUUAUCUUGUGAGNNNNNNNNNNNNNNNNNNNNNNNNNNNNNNNNNNNNNNNNNNNNNNNNNNNNNNNNNNNNNNNNNNNNNNNNNNNNNNNNNNNNNNNNNNNNNNNNNNNNNNNNNNNNNNNNNNNNNNNNNNNNNNNNNNNNNNNNNNNNNNNNNNNNNNNNNNNNNNNNNNNNNNNNNNNNNNNNNNNNNNNNNNNNNNNNNNNNNNNNNNNNNNNNNNNNNNNNNNNNNNNNNNNNCAGUGGCUAGCUUUUCAAUUCUGUCCAGUUUUUAAUUCUUGUUCUUCAUUCCUUAUGUUUUGAUUCCAUUGACAAUACAUGGACUUCCAUAUGAGUCUUGGUUGGUGCUAAGUUUUGGUGAGUUCUUGAAUUAGAACAUUGAUCCAAUUCUAAAGUAAAGUGCCUUUCAAAUCCAACUCAAGUUGCUCCUAAGAAUAUCAAGAAUCAUGUGUUCUUGUAGUUACAUAUUUCACUUGAAGGUACUCCAUUCCACAAGCAAGACUUGGUUGAGGACAAAAUAUUUUCUUGGAGUGGUUUGAGUGCUUUCUUGGGCAUUUUCCAGCAACCUAUNNNNNNNNNNNNNNNNNNNNNNNNNNNNNNNNNNNNNNNNNNNNNNNNNNNNNNNNNNNNNNNNNNNNNNNNNNNNNNNNNNNNNNNNNNNNNNNNNNNNNNNNNNNNNNNNNNNNNNNNNNNNNNNNNNNNNNNNNNNNNNNNNNNNNNNNNNNNNNNNNNNNNNNNNNNNNNNNNNNNNNNNNNNNNNNNNNNNNNNNNNNNNNNNNNNNNNNNNNNNNNNNNNNNNNNNNNNNNNNNNNNNNNNNNNNNNNNNNNNNNNNNNNNNNNNNNNNNNNNNNNNNNNNNNNNNNNNNNNNNNNNNNNNNNNNNNNNNNNNNNNNNNNNNNNNNNNNNNNNNNNNNNNNNNNNNNNNNNNNNNNNNNNNNNNNNNNNNNNNNNNNNNNNNNNNNNNNNNNNNNNNNNNNNNNNNNNNNNNNNNNNNNNNNNNNNNNNNNNNNNNNNNNNNNNNNNNNNNNNNNNNNNNNNNNNNNNNNNNNNNNNNNNNNNNNNNNNNNNNNNNNNNNNNNNNNNNNNNNNNNNNNNNNNNNNNNNNNNNNNNNNNNNNNNNNNNNNNNNNNNNNNNNNNNNNNNNNNNNNNNNNNNNNNNNNNNNNNNNNNNNNNNNNNNNNNNNNNNNNNNNNNNNNNNNNNNNNNNNNNNNNNNNNNNNNNNNNNNNNNNNNNNNNNNNNNNNNNNNNNNNNNNNNNNNNNNNNNNNNNNNNNNNNNNNNNNNNNNNNNNNNNNNNNNNNNNNNNNNNNNNNNNNNNNNNNNNNNNNNNNNNNNNNNNNNNNNNNNNNNNNNNNNNNNNNNNNNNNNNNNNNNNNNNNNNNNNNNNNNNNNNNNNNNNNNNNNNNNNNNNNNNNNNNNNNNNNNNNNNNNNNNNNNNNNNNNNNNNNNNNNNNNNNNNNNNNNNNNNNNNNNNNNNNNNNNNNNNNNNNNNNNNNNNNNNNNNNNNNNNNNNNNNNNNNNNNNNNNNNNNNNNNNNNNNNNNNNNNNNNNNNNNNNNNNNNNNNNNNNNNNNNNNNNNNNNNNNNNNNNNNNNNNNNNNNNNNNNNNNNNNNNNNNNNNNNNNNNNNNNNNNNNNNNNNNNNNNNNNNNNNNNNNNNNNNNNNNNNNNNNNNNNNNNNNNNNNNNNNNNNNNNNNNNNNNNNNNNNNNNNNNNNNNNNNNNNNNNNNNNNNNNNNNNNNNNNNNNNNNNNNNNNNNNNNNNNNNNNNNNNNNNNNNNNNNNNNNNNNNNNNNNNNNNNNNNNNNNNNNNNNNNNNNNNNNNNNNNNNNNNNNNNNNNNNNNNNNNNNNNNNNNNNNNNNNNNNNNNNNNNNNNNNNNNNNNNNNNNNNNNNNNNNNNNNNNNNNNNNNNNNNNNNNNNNNNNNNNNNNNNNNNNNNNNNNNNNNNNNNNNNNNNNNNNNNNNNNNNNNNNNNNNNNNNNNNNNNNNNNNNNNNNNNNNNNNNNNNNNNNNNNNNNNNNNNNNNNNNNNNNNNNNNNNNNNNNNNNNNNNNNNNNNNNNNNNNNNNNNNNNNNNNNNNNNNNNNNNNNNNNNNNNNNNNNNNNNNNNNNNNNNNNNNNNNNNNNNNNNNNNNNNNNNNNNNNNNNNNNNNNNNNNNNNNNNNNNNNNNNNNNNNNNNNNNNNNNNNNNNNNNNNNNNNNNNNNNNNNNNNNNNNNNNNNNNNNNNNNNNNNNNNNNNNNNNNNNNNNNNNNNNNNNNNNNNNNNNNNNNNNNNNNNNNNNNNNNNNNNNNNNNNNNNNNNNNNNNNNNNNNNNNNNNNNNNNNNNNNNNNNNNNNNNNNNNNNNNNNNNNNNNNNNNNNNNNNNNNNNNNNNNNNNNNNNNNNNNNNNNNNNNNNNNNNNNNNNNNNNNNNNNNNNNNNNNNNNNNNNNNNNNNNNNNNNNNNNNNNNNNNNNNNNNNNNNNNNNNNNNNNNNNNNNNNNNNNNNNNNNNNNNNNNNNNNNNNNNNNNNNNNNNNNNNNNNNNNNNNNNNNNNNNNNNNNNNNNNNNNNGUGAAUGGCUUCUUCCAAUUCUCAAAAUCUAGCAAGCAUCUUCCUAUAAGUGUUCUUCUUCCUUUUCUUCAAUUUUCCAUUUGGUAGUUUUUAAUUUCUAGUGUUUUCCUUCAUUUUCUACCGUUUACAUUUACUUUUCCAGCUUUGUUCUUUGUUUCUUUUCGGUUCAAUAGCUAGCUUUUCAAUUCUGUCCAGUUUUUAAUUCUUGUUCUUCAUUCCUUGUGUUUUGAUUCCAUUGACAAUACAUGGACUUCCAUAUGAGUCUUGGUUGGUGCUAAGUUUUGGUGAGUUCUUGAAUUAGAACAUUGAUCCAAUUCUAAAGUAAAGUGCCUUUCAAAUCCAGCUCAAGUUGCUCCUAAGAAUGUCAAGAAUCAUGUGUUCUUGUAGUUACAUUCACAUCAGAAAGUGAGAAUUACUAAUAAAAAAUAGUGUUUAUCUUUAACCGCAAAUUUAUAAAUGACCUCUGGUUGUCAUAGGUUAACAGUCACAGGAUAGUUCUUAUCACGUUCUGUGGAAACAAAAACCUAAAAUCAUAAUUUAUGUUAAUAUCAUAAAUUUUACCAAAAGGUAAUGACACUUUAGAAUAUGAAGAAAAAUAGGUUUCAGAUGAAGAAAAGACAACACUAAUUUAACUAAUACCUUGCCAUCUUUGUCCGUGGAUGUGGGCAAAAUGUCAAAAAAGUUGGAUAACUUUCUAUUGACAGCUUCUUCCUGCACCUCCAUGAUUUCUUCGGGCACCUCCAUAAAAUUUAAAAAUACCAAAAUUAUCCUUCAGUAAAAAGAUAAAAAUGAGAAAGGAAGUUACUUCGUGUGGUGGGGUGCAUAUGGAGCUUGAGUGGUGGUGGUCCGUGAAGUGGUCCUUGAAGUGGUGUUGGAGGUGGUGCUUGAGAAGGUGGUUGAGGUGGUGCACGGUGAUAGGUAGCAGCGGUGGUAGGUGGUGCACGGUGGUAGGUAGCAGCGGUGGUAGGUGGUGUUGGCAUUGGCACCGUUGGUGAGGUACAUUCUCAUUCUCAUUCUUUUGCCUUAAAUAAAUAUUUCCGCAUUAGUUAAUCCGGUGGAUCCACGGAUCACAUAAUCCGGUGCUUAAGUAAAGCGUUUCAGAUUAGAUAACUUUUGUGCAUACCGGAUCCGGAACCUGCCAAAUUCAUAUUUCCGGAUUGUGUAAUCUGGUACCAAAUGAACUAUGGAUUACACAAUCCAGAAGUGAUUUUAGAACUUUCAAUAUGUCUUGCGUAUUACGUAGUCCGGUACUCAUUUUGCUAUAUGAAUUUCAAUUACGCAUUACACAAUUUGGAACACCAAACAUGACUUACGAAUUAUACAAUCCGAUAGUCAUUUUGCUGUGAAAAUUUUGACUUAUGGAUUACACAAUCCGGAAGUCACCUGAAAUAACUUAUGGAUUACGUAAUCCGGAAUUCAUUAUGCUGUUAAAAUUUGACUUAUGGAUUAUACAAUCCGGAAGUCAAGUUGUCAAUUGCAAAAUCUUAUGCUAUUUUUGUUUUGCAUAUGUGAAUUUAUGGAAAUUAUAAUAAAAUUAAAAUUUAUGUUUUAUGAAUGAAGGUGUAAGUAUGGAAGAAUUAAUGAAUUUUGUGCAUCAACAUGGAUUGUUUAAAGGGGACUAUGGUAUCCAUUUUACAACAGAUGAGGUGAAUAAAAUUUCAUUUCAUUUAUGUUUAUUGCAUUAUAAUUUGAAGAAGUGAUUUUGUAAUAUUGUUAGAAUAACUUUGUGUAGGUGUUUCCUUCGCGAGAAGACUUACUUGAAUGGGUCUGUAGGGUUGGUUAUGGACUUGGUUUUGUUAUUGUCAUUAUUAGGUCUGACAUAGCAAAUGGUAAGCAAGGGAGAAAGACAUAUGUCUUGUUAGGCUGUGAAAGGGGGGGUAGUUACAGAAAGUAUAAAGAUGGUUUGGAGGUUAGUGUAACUGGUACUCGAAAAUGUGAAUGUCCCUUUAAAUUGCGAGGUAAACCUGUUGGAAAGGGUCAAGGUUGGGUACUUAAGGUAAUAUGUGGUACUCAUAAUCAUGAUUUGUAUGAUACCUUAGUUGGUCAUCCAUAUGUAGGCAGAUUAAAAAUGAAUGAACAUUCAAUGCUUGUUGAUAUGACUAAAAGCAUGGUUAAGCCAGGUAACAUUCUACGUACUUUGAAGGAGAAUAAUGAGGAUAAUAUGACAACAAUAAAGCAAAUAUACAAUGCAAGAUACUCGUACAAGAGAUCAGUUAGAGGACCAAGAACUGAAUUACAACAGUUAAUGAUGUUGUUAGACCGUGACAACUAUCUUCACUACGUGUCAUGAGUCUUCAAAUAUUGUUAGUGAUAUUUUUUGGACUCAUCCUGAUGCUGUGAAACUCUUGAAUGCAUUUAACAUUGUAUUCUUAAUGGAUACAACUUACAAAACAAACAAAUAUCGACUGCCUUUGCUUGAGAUUGUUGGUGUAACUUGUACAGGUUUGUCCUUUUCUGCUGGUUUUGCAUUCUUAUCUAGCGAGAAAGAAAAGAACUUCAUAUGGGCAUUACAAAAAUUUAGAGGGUCACUUUCGACAUCGCAUGUGNNNNNNNNNNNNNNNNNNNNNNNNNNNNNNNNNNNNNNNNNNNNNNNNNNNNNNNNNNNNNNNNNNNNNNNNNNNNNNNNNNNNNNNNNNNNNNNNNNNNCUUUGAUGAUGCCAUCAUAUUGUGUUUCCUAAAACAAGAAAUUUUCUUUGUCGGUUUCACAUCAAUAAGAAUGUUAAAGCAAAGUCUAAAAUGUUGGUAGAUUCUGUCGAGGCUUGGGAAGUUGUGAUGGAUUCAUGGAAGACUAUCAUUGACUGUAUAGAGAUUGGUAAAUUUGAUGAGUUUGUGAAAAAUUUUGAAACUAUUUGUUCACCGUGGCCAUUACUUUUUGAAUAUGUGAAGAACACUUGGAUUAUUCCGCACAGAGAAAAGUUUGUCAAGUGUUGGACAAAUUUGUUAAUGCAUUUGGGAAAUACAACAUCAAACAGGUAUAUAUGAAUACCUUUACUUUGUUUAGAACGUGUAUAAUGUGUAAUUGUUUUAUUAUGUUUUAUACUUAUACAGGGUCGAAUCAGCUCAUUGGUCUUUGAAACGAAUAUUACAAAAUAGCAUGGGAGACCUGUGCUUGUGUUGGGAUGCUAUCAAGCAUGUUAUUAUACUUCAACAUAACGAGAUUAAGGCAUCAUUUCAAAUGAGUCUACAUAUGAUAGGACACACAUUCAAUGUGCAAUUGUAUAAAAUGUUGGUUGGCUCUAUAUCUAAACAUGCCUUAAUUCUCAUUUUUGAAGAGUUUGAUCGGGUCAAUGAUGUGGGGUUUGAUAGUGAACGAUGUGUGAUGUGAUUCCACUAGCCAUAUAGAGAAAGGUUCUUGACCUUCUUAGGAAUCAUCUUGAGUUGGAUAUUAUAGAGGCACUUUUCUUAGAGUUGGAUCAUUGUUCUAAGACAAGAACUCACCAAAAACUACUACCAAAUCCCAAACUCAUUUGGAUGAACCAAUUUUAGUCAAAUUGAACCGAACAAAAGAGAAAGAAAAGCAAAGGAACAAGAUGAAUGGACAGAAUUAUAAAACUGCCAAACCAAAAUACUCAUAAAAACAGCAAGAACACCAAACCAAUUUACGUAAUUUCCUACCGUGAGAUACCAAUUUAAGUUCUCCCCGAUCCUAAUAUAAAUGUUGUAUAUAUUAAAUAUAAUUAAAUAAAUUUAAACAAUAAUUAAUAAAGAUAAUUUAAUUGAAGGUUUUUUUGUUCUUACCUACUAGUACAAAAUAUGAAAACAACGACCCUUUAUUUAGUGCGGCUUUGCGCUUAAACGCAUUUGUAAAAAACGCGGUGGCAUUUUUGAAAUUAAAUUGAUUUACAAAUGCAGUCUUUAGUAUGACCGCAUUUGUAAUUCAAUUCAGAAUGAUUUACAAAUGCGGGCAUAGUAAAGACCGCAUUUGUAAAUCAUUUUAAUUGAACCCCUUGUUAGUCCCACUCCCAAGAGCACAAAGGGGAGUUGUGCGGCUCCUCCAACAUCAGGGGAUGAUAUCAACGGGCAGACAGAGGUUUGUGAGCUACUGGUAGUGGGCGGCAAACUUUCUCGGGUGGUGGCACUUGGAAAAGUCUAUAAAAACGCCACCACCUUACAUAACGUUCCUCUCUCCCCUGAUAUGGCGAAGGUAACAGUUGAAAAAGUACGAUUUCCUGAUGCUCGUGUUCCACUACCUUCAGAUGAGGUAACCACUGUGGCCGAUGCAUUUCAGACAUUCGUUGUCUAGCCCAGAGAGCUCAUUCGAUCUAUGCCCGAACCUCAUGUAAUAAUUUCGUUUCAUUAUAUUAUUUUUAUUUAUAUUUAUAUAUUACAUAUAAUUUAANNNNNNNNNNNNNNNNNNNNNNNNNNNNNNNNNNNNNNNNNNNNNNNNNNNNNNNNNNNNNNNNNNNNNNNNNNNNNNNNNNNNNNNNNNNNNNNNNNNNNNNNNNNNNNNNNNNNNNNNNNNNNNNNNNNNNNNNNNNNNNNNNNNNNNNNNNNNNNNNNNNNNNNNNNNNNNNNNNGAUGAUUUACAACACAGAUUUAUCAGAAUUUAUAUCUGGGAAACAGGAACUCAAUAUAAGUAUAAUUCAAUUUUUUAUGAUGUAAGUAUCUUUACCUAUUAUUCAAUUUACUUUAUGUUAAAUUAUUAUUGAUUAUGCUUUAACUAAAAACUUGUAGGUUUUGCAUAGAGUCUGUAUCACUGAGGGGAAGGAAAAUAUGUACGUAAUUAUACUAAUCCCGUUGGACCAAACUCAACUGAGACUCAAGCAUACAUCACUAACAUCCUGCAAAAAAAGAGGGAAAACAAAUUUAUUUAUGCCCUUAUAUUAAUGAGUAAGUUUAAUUAUAUGUCAUCAAUUAUUAUUAUUUCAUGUUUUAAAUAUUUACUAACUCUUUUCAUUGAUCAUAUAAGCAUCAUUGGCAGUUACUUGUCUUAUCAAUGGUUGAUAAGACUGCUGUGUGGUUCGUUCCCUACACAAGAAGAUGCCCACAAAAUUUAAGGAUAUCAUUGAUACGUAUGUAUAGUAUAAACUUAACUUUGUAUUUUACUAAUUAACCAUCUACUAACGAUUUUUGUAUUAACCAGUUCAUGGCGUGGAUAUAACAUCCUAAAAGGUCGAUCCAGUUCAAAUAAUUUGAACUACAUAAGAGUAAAGGUUUGUAAUUUUUNNNNNNNNNNNNNNNNNNNNNNNNNNNNNNNNNNNNNNNNNNNNNNNNNNNNNNNNNNNNNNNNNNNNNNNNNNNNNNNNNNNNNNNNNNNNNNNNNNNNNNNNNNNNNNNNNNNNNNNNNNNNNNNNNNNNNNNNNNNNNNNNNNNNNNNNNNNNNNNNNNNNNNNNNNNNNNNNNNNNNNNNNNNNNNNNNNNNNNNNNNNNNNNNNNNNNNNNNNNNNNNNNNNNNNNNNNNNNNNNNNNNNNNNNNNNNNNNNNNNNNNNNNNNNNNNNNNNNNNNNNNNNNNNNNNNNNNNNNNNNNNNNNNNNNNNNNNNNNNNNNNAACUCUAGCAUAGGUAAACAAUAGUGGUUUUAUUAUAUGUAAUUUGAUCACUUGUAAAUGUACAUUUUGAUGAUUUCAAUUGAUUACUAUAUUUCUGUAUUUGUCUGGCUGGGUUUGAUCAUUAUGCAGGUUAUUAAAAUAUAUGGUUUCUGCACAAAACAAAGUGAACUUUAAAAAAAAUAUCACUAUUUACAAAUGCGGUCAUUUACCAAGACCGCAUUUGUAAAUAGUGAUUUAUGAAUGCGGUUUUUACCAAGACCGCAUUCAUAAAUCCUAAACCCCAAACCCACUCCCUAAUUCAGAAUAAUAUACAAAUGCGGUUAUUUUAGGUAACCGCAUUUGUAAAUGUGAUUUAUGAAUGCGGUCCUAUGACCGCAUUUGUAAAUGCCAGAUUUACGAAUGCGUGCUGAUCAAAUGCGGUUCUAUGACCGCAUUUGUAAAUUUAAAAUAGCCGCAUUUGUUUUACAUAUCUGCACUAGUCCCAAAGCUUAACAGCAACAUGGUCAGCAAAAUUUACCAGUAAAGACAUAUCAGAAGGUCCUCCAAGAAACCCUUCUUCGUGGUCUACUUGGUCAUCAUUCUGUAAUUCUUGUUCAUUGUCAUUAUCAAUAUGAACAUCAUCAUCAAUCCUUUCCUCGACACCACCUCGGUCUCUUCUACGGACAGAUGUCGUCGGUCUUCUGCGAUCAUGAUCCCUAGAUCCACCACCUCUAGUUUUAGCCAUAUUUAUCCAUAACACAAUUUAAAUUUCAAUUAUUUACAAAUAAUAAAUAAUAUAAUCAUGAAUUUGUGUACAUAAUAUAAAAUUUAAAAAAAGUUUUUAACAAGUGGGUUGGAAACUAAAUAUAUAACCAAAACGCAAAAUCACAAAAAUGCACUUUGUAAGAACACUACCGGAUUACAUAAUCCGAAACACACACAAUGUAAACCUAAACCGGAUUACAUAAUCCGAAACACACACAAUGUAAACCUAAACCGGAUUACGUAAUCCAGAAUUACUAAAAUACCUAAAUCAGAUUACCUAAUUCGGAAUUACUAAAAUAAACUAAACCGGAUUAAGUAAUCUGGUAUUACUUUACAUUCACAACUAUACCGGAUUAUUACAUAAUCCGGUGCCUAUUAUGAAAAAAUGCACAGCGUACCGGAUUACACUACAAACGGAUUACACAGCAGCAACAGGUUUCAAAAGCAAUGAAAAAUCUGGAAAAUUCAACUUACUAACCUGUGAAGAGGACACUUUGGAUGUGUGAGUGCUAGAGAAUGUGGAGUUUAGAGAGAUGAAGAGAAAAAAAUCUUCGAGUGGAGGUGUGGAGCAGCGCUGCUGGAAGGAACAGAGAGAAAACGCACAAAAAUGAAAGUGAAAGUGAAGAUUAAGUAGGUUAAAGGUAUAUUAAACUAUUAUUUUAAUUUUUUAAUAUUUUUACUGAGGAGUAUAUUAGUAAAUGUACUUUUAGUAUGGGGGUGGGAGAAGAAGUCAUGGAGGUGCAGGAAGAAGCUGUCCUUUCUAUUAUACUGAAGCUUUCUUGGGGUUAUGGCAUAGUGUCAUGUAAAAAUGUACUAAUACAAAACAACAUACAACAUUAGCAAAUACAGAAAAUUAGUCCAAAAAUAAAAUAAAAGACAUCUUCUUCAUCUGUGCCUUUUCAGCAUAAUUUUUCUUGGCAAUAAUCUUUCCCUUGAUACCAAGAGCCUGUUCCACACGAAUUAAAAUCCAAUUAGAUUCACGAAAAUACAAUCAUAUAACUCAAAUCCCAAAUUCCAAAUUCCAAAUAAAAAGCGGCAAAACCUUCUGAGCCAUUGCGGAUUAUCAAAUUGUUUAACUUUAAUUGAAUUUCAUAAAAAAAAUCCAUUUCACUUAAUAAAACAAACCCUGGAAAGAGAAUUUUGGAACAUGUGAACUCGUCACAUUCUCAUCCAAAUCCUUUAGCCAAGAUUACUACCGAAAGAUAAAACUAGCUUUUCUUACCUGAUUAUAAGGAUGAACACUCACAAAGAGCUCUAACUCCUAAAGAAAGCAGAGAUAGCCUAACAUGUACCAUAGAGUUCUGAUCAACAAUAUAAAUAUAUCACUAGGAUCUUGAACUAAUAGAGACUAAUCGUGAAGUCACAAACACUACAUGCAAAACAUGUCUACCUAGGUGAACAAAAAACUAAAAAAUGAUCCAAAGUAAAAAGGAACAAGAACAUACUCUAAACAUAAAUCUGAUAAGAAGUUUUGCUCUAUUUAUUGUCAGGAGUCUAUCCAAAGGUGGCCUCCGUCCGUGAAUCUAAUGAAGGAUGUGAUUAUAAAUCUAGAGAGAAGAAAAAGGAGAAAAAAAGUUUUCCUAGAGAGAUAGUGAUUAUUUUAAAAUGAAACCUAAAUUUUCUAAUUAUAUGAAAUUUUUACUUUAAUAAUAAAAUAUUCAAAUAUGAUUUUAAUUAUAUUACACUACUAGAAAAUCAUUAGAUAGAAACUAAUUUUAGAGACAAAAAAUAAUUAGUUGUUAUAUUGAUACUAUUUUAGAGACUAAAAAGAUUUUGAUAUAUAAACUAGUUUUUAUUACUGAUAAAUAGUUUCUAAUAGGUAUCUAAUUAGGUAUCAAAGUUUUAAUUACUAAUUGUUUAGAUUUUAAAUUUGAUAGUUAAAAAAUUAACAGUUAAUUAAAACCAAUUUAGAAACUAUUUAUCAAUAAUAGAAACUAGUUUAGAUAUCAACAAUGUUUUUAGUAUCUAAAAUAGUAUCUAAUUUAAUCAACAUAACAAUUAAUUAUUUUUUAUUUAUAAAAUUAUUUUUUAUUUAAUAAUUUUAUUGUAGAAUUACUUCUCUAAAACUAUUUUCUAAGUACAUAUAAAAUUUGAUUGUUUUAUUUAUAUUUUAAAAUGUUAUAUAAAAGUUCAUUAUUGUGAAUCACAUAAAAUGAAUAAAAAAAGAGAGUAUACUGAUAUAUUAAAUAUUUUUAUUCCCCAUAUAUAUACAUAUAUUCUGUCUCUUUUCUAUCUUUCUUUUCUCUCUUAUCAUAUAUAUAUAUAUUAUUUUAUUUUUUUCUUCUUAUUUUAUUUUGUUAUCUUUAGAGUAUAUAUAUAUAUAUAUAUAUAUAUAUAUAUAUAUAUAUAUAUAUAUAUAUGAUGUUGACAAAAAAUAUUAGAUCUAUAUGAAAUAUUUUUCUGAAAAAUGUUAAAGCAUAUAUAGUUAUUCCGUCACAAAUUCCGGCUAGAAGCCUAGCAUUUAAUAUCAUGAUAAGUUCCUUUCCUAUUUUGGCACAUUGUUGACUUUUCACACCAUCAAAAUCCAAACCACCGAAAACCUCCUUACAUCAAAAGACAAAUCCACCGAAACCUCCUUACAUCAAAAUACAAAUCCACCGAAAGCUCCUUACAGAUUCAUUCAUUAGUUUCUUGUAGUUUCUACUUAGUUUCUCAUCAGCAACCUCAUCAUUGUUUACUUUUCAACUCCUCGCUACUAUAUAUAUGUUUAAUAAACACAAACCAGUCAUCACACACACAGAGCAGAUACAUACAAGUGAAUAUUCACUAACUAAGUCAUGGAGAAGAAAUCAUUAGCUGGGUUAUGCUUCCUCUUCCUUGUUCUCUUUGUUACUCGUAAGUCACUACUUUUAUGUUCAUUCUUCUACAUGUCUAUAACUAUAUUCAUUCUCCUGAAUACUUUAUAAUUCAAUAUGUCUGAUAUUUACUGUUGAAUUUAUUUGAACAUGCAGAAGAAGUUGUGUUGCAGACUGAGGCAAAGACUUGCGAGAACCUGGCUGAUACAUACAAGGGUCCAUGCUUCACCACUGGCAGCUGCGAUGAUCACUGCAAGAACAAAGAACACUUGAGGAGUGGCAGGUGCAGGGAUGAUUUCCGCUGUUGGUGCACCAAAAACUGUUAAGUGGAUUCAGAACUUUUUAUAAAUAAAACAACUAUUAUAUAUAUGGAAUAAGACUAGCACUGCAUCCACGAACUAUAUGUAUAGUCUGUGGCUGUGCAGAACAGCUGAGUUAUGUAUUUACUUUAUGAAUAAAGUUCUUCUGUUGUAAUACAUGAUCUUAUCCUUCUUCGUACCAUCAUUUUAAUCUUUUUCUCACAUAUUUUCUGUUGUUCUUCUGAAAGGAACUUGAUGUAUAUAUGAAAAGGAAUUAGUUAAUUGAUUUAAUACUUUGUUCAUCAAAAUAACUAAUCUUUUUAUGUACAAAACUUUUAAACGUCCUAAAUGAGUCUCUAUUGUUCACUGAUAAAAAAAAAUAGUGAAAGCAAAGAAAUAGUAAUUUAUAAUACUUUUAAAAAAGAAUAUUACAGGUUUAUAAUAGGGUAUUGGUUCACUACAAUAAUUAUCGAUAUUUUAUUUUAAAUAUAAUAAAAAAGUUACUAUUUUAAUAAAAUAUUUUAAUUUUGAUAAUUUUGUUUUAAUAUAAAAAUAUAUUUUUAACAAAAAAAAUUAAUUUUAAUAAUUUUGUUUGAACUCUGUUACGUAAUUAAAACAAUUGAAUACAUCUUUUGUCUUAAUAUAUCAUGAUUUUUUAUUAAAAGAAAAAUUAACUGUAAAGGAACCUUUGUUCAUUUUACUUUAUAAAUUUAAGAAAAAUUUAAAAUCUCUAGUCAUUUUUUCAAAAUUAAAAUUUAAAAUAUUUAAUCAUUUCUUCAAAGUUAAUUAUAUAUUAAUAUUAAUUUUUUUAAUAAAUACGCACAUGUGACUGAAAACAAAAAAUGUUUUUAAUUAUUUUAACCAAGAAUUAAAAAAAGAAUCGUUAUUAAAUACAAAACAUAUUUUUAUUACUUAGCCAAUAACAAAUUUUUUUUAAAAAAGUAACGUAAUUAAGUUCUUGUAUCAAGAAUGAAUUUUUCUAUUAUAUUAAAAACGAAAUAUCAAUAUUUAUUACUCUAAAUUGACUAUUUAUCCUUUAUAAUAUCAUAAAAAAACUUCAAAAUAUUUAUAUUCCUAAAAAUUAAACUGACUAUUUAUCUUUAUAAUAUCAUAGAAAAGAACUUCAAAAUAUGUAUAUUUUUAAAGAUUACACUACUAAAAAAUCAUUAAAUAAAAAUAAAUUUUAAAAAUAAAUUGUUAUAUUGACAAAAUUAGAUACGAUUUUAGACAUAAAAAAUAAAAAAAUUAUUGAUAUCUAAAUUAGUUUCAUAAAUAGUGAUAAAUAGUUUCUAAAUUGACAUCUAAUUAGUUACCUAAAUUUUAGAUACCAAUUAUUUAGAUUCUAAAGUUGGUAUCUAAAACCUUGAUAUCUAAUUAGAUAUCAAUUUAUAAUCUAAUUAUCACUAUUUAUCAAUUAUAGAAACUAAUUUAAAUAUUAAUAAACUUUUUAGUCUUAUCUAAUUUUGUAAUAUUUUAACUAAUUAUUUUUUGUCUUUAAAAUUGAUUUCUAUUUAAUAAUUAUCUUGUAGUGUUAUAAGUGCUCCUUACCUAUUUUUAUAUUUUAAAAAAAUUACAUUCAUUUUUUUAUUGUAAGUUAGUUACGAAAAUUAAGAAAAAAUGAGAUGUAAUUAAUAUUAGAUUACUGUCUAUUUUAUAUUUCAUAUUUAUUUAAAAAGAAUUGUUUCUAUAAAGGUAAUACCAUUUUCAUGAAAAUAAAAAAUAUUACAUAAUUUAAGAAAUGUUAAUGUGGAUCACUAAUGUGCUGGGAAAAUUAGAACUAAUUCUUCCUCCUUGGUAUAGAUAAAAAAUGGACACUGGUGGAAGUAAGAAGCAAAUAAUAGAAAAUAGAAUAAUGAUACCGAGAAAUUUUAACGUGGGAAAACCUUCUCAACUUGAAAAUAAAAACCCACGACACCUAGUCCAGAAAAUCUCUCCACUGUGAAAGUAGGAUUACAAUAUUUGUUUAUGUCAUUCUGAAGGUAACAUUUAAUCUCAUCCUACAAGGAUGAAAUAAAAUAUCUCUCUAGUCUCUCAUUGAUAUUUUAAAUCUCACAUUAUGGUGGAUAUCAACUCUAAUUUACUCUCUGUUGCUCUUUUCACUUGCUUGUAUUUUUGUUCCUCAUAGGUUCCCUUUAUAUAGAGAAUACGAGGAAAACUUCUUCAUAAAGAGAUCAUGAAAAAUUAAUGUUUAUCACAUUUUCAAGAUACCUUGAAAAUAGUAUCUUCAACUUUCUAGGUAUAUGCAUUCCUAGGGCUUAGCAUCUAUAGUUUUUUUUUUCUUUCGUCCUUUGGAAUAUGAACAAAGGCUCUGCAUCCAAAUACUCUCAAAUGGUUGAAGGAUGCCUUCUUAUUGUACCACACUUCCUCUAGAAUCUCUCCAUCUAGAGGUCUUGAAGGUGUCAGGUUUAUGAGAUCAACUACAGUCUUUAUUGCUUCACCCUAGAAAGACUUGGGGAGGUUAGCACCUUGUAACUUGGAUCUAACUUUCUCUUCAAUGGUACGAUUCAUUCUUUCGCCUACUCUAUUCAGUUGAGGAGUCUUUGGUGUUGCCUUCAUCAUUUUGAUGUUAUACAUCUUGCAAUAGGCUUCAAAAGGACCACGGUACUCUCCACCAUUGUCUGCUUUCAGACACUUAAGCCUUUUCCCAGUCUCAUGCUUAACUAGUCAAUAUAACAACUAAUUAUUUUUUUGUCUCUAAAACUGGUUUCUAUUUAAUGAUUUUCUAGUAGUGAUAUCAUUUAAGUAAAUAUAUAUGUGUAAACAUAUCAUUCAAAUCCUCAUUAAAUAAUAUUACGAAAAGACAUCUCUUUUCCAAAUGAUUUCUAAUAUCUACACAUGAAAAAAAUAAUUAAAACACCAGGAUAAAAUAUAAAAACUUCAUUUGCUCAUGGAAGAGUCUUAUAACUGGUAACAUCCUCUAUUCCCGUGUAAUACACAAUCAUCACAAAUUGAAACGCAUAACCACAAAUAAUAGGGUAUGCUAGAGAUUUUUAAAUUUUUCAAUAACUCUAUAUUCAAUUCAUCCAAUCACAAACAUAGGAAUUAUCACACUUGAUCCAUUUCAAUGUAUUAAACAGUCAAUUAUAAAAAAAUAUCUCUUGUUCAACAUCACUCAUUCCAAAAAUUCACUAAUUCACACAUAAUUACUUUACUUUACAUUCGAAAAAGUCAUACAUUGAUUUAAACUCAGAGAUCUGCACUUAUCAUACUAUUCACACUGGGAAAUCUCUCCAUAACUACAUAUACAUAUUAAUCCCUUCAACUUGUAUGACAUAUUGAUCCGUCUUAUCUUCUUUGACCAAUUAUUUUUCAAAUUGUAGACUCACUCAAAUAAACUUUCUUCGACUC
rnacentral:lncRNA from 1 species